UUUUUUUUUUUGUACAUAUUUGUAAUUUCUCAGAGAUAUCAAUAGAUAGGCUUUAUUUCGUUCAAUGUAUUGUGCCAAAUACCAUAGAGCAUAUAUUUCAUUAAGAUGUGAUACUUCUUUUCCUUUUCUGAUUAUAUUUUCAAAAUGGUGUUGUGCACCAUCCCAUAACCUUUCUCUUUUUUUUUUGUUUUUUAUUUAAUUAUAAUUAUUAUUUUUAGAUGGUGCCUGUUGCACUAGGGGUGGGUUCAAAAAACCGAAAACAGAAAAAAACCGAAAACCAAACCGAACCGAAACUGAAAAAACCGAACCGAACAAAAAAACCGAACCGAAUUGAAAAAACCGAACCGAACCGAAUUCUUUUGGUUCGGUUCGGUUUUAGUGAUCUAGAAACCGAACCAAACCGAACCGAACCGAAUUAAUUAAAUUAAUUUUUUUAUUUAAUUAUUUGUUUUGGAUAUUAUUUUCUAAACCCAAUUUGUAAGUUAAAAUAUGCUAAACCCAAUGUGUUGCCAAACUUUAAGCUCAAAAUAUUAAAAAAAAGUCCUAUAAAAACUUUAAACCCUAACCUAUUAUUUAUCCCCCAUAUAAGGUUCUGGAGCCAAACCUCAUCCUGAAGUACCUACAUCCAUCUCCAUAGCACUGUCUACUUUUGUCUCAGCUUUCUUUUCCAAAUCUACUCUCAUAUAACAUGUAACAGAAUCUAUAAACAUUUAUUUUCGGGUAGAUUACUUAGGGAAUUUGUGAUGGAAAAGAAUCCAACACACACACUAAAUAAAUCCACCCACGCAUUUCUUUUACUAAUCAAGUUGUCAACAUGCAGUUACAAGCAAACAACCCUGAUCUUUGAACAACAUCAUACAAUUUAACUUUUCUAAGUCAUUUGUACGAUUUUUGUGUUGUGAUGUUGUUAGUUUGGACUUUGGAAGACUUGAUUGAUGAUUUUAGUUCAACUUUAAAUAUUUAUUUUCACUGUCUUUGAUUAUAGUUAGAAUGUUUGUGUUAUGAUUGUGUUGGAUACGUUAAAAUUUAAAAUUUCAAUGUUUUUCAUUUUUUGAAAGAAAAAAAAAACAAAAAACCGAAACCGAACCGAAAAAAACCGAACCGAAAAAAACCGAACCGAAAAAAACCGAAAAAAAAAUGAACCGAACCGAACCGAACCGAAAUUUUGGUUUGGUUUCGGUUUUGGCAAAAAACCGAACCGAAUUAAACCGAACCCACCCCUAUGUUGCACCAUCCUCCUUUUUUUUUUCUACUUUUCAAUUAUUUUGUCAACACCAUCCCCCUUUUUAACCUUUUUAACUUUCCAAUAGUAGCAUGCAAUUAUGAGUGGCUUGAAGAUGGCACGGCUGGGUUCUUCGGUGGGCACUUGAAUUUGCUUAGGAUAUCAUUCCUCUUUAGAAAAAUGUGAACUCCACAUUUGAAUUGGCAUGCGGGACCGCUCAUCUGGCUCAGAAACUUGGCCCUUGGUCCAAGACUGAUUUCAUUGAUAUCUUUGAGAACCUCCUGCUGACAUAAUAUCCUUCAUUAAAUCCAUCAGCAAGAAGGCCUUCGAGCAAUUUAUCCUCUGGCACCUCAACAGAUUGAGAAAACUGAUCUUCUAAACCUUUUCUGGGUUCCACUUUAAGAACUGCAACUUUUGAAGUUUCAAAAACAGCAUCCGAAGGCGGGUAUCUGAGAACCACAUUCACUGAGAACAACACCAAAAAUAAAAUCAAGCCAGCCUCAAAGAUCCCAAUCACCUUCAGCGCACACGACGCAGAUUACCUAUCCGGCUCCCUCAGGCAUCCAAAUCCAAAUGCUUCGACAAAUCAUCAACAUCAAGGUUUUGCUUGAACCCCUUCAUUUUCUGAAAAACUUUAUCUGGGUACUGCAGAGAUUGGGAGGAUUGGCGCCCAACAAAGUCACGACCAGGCAGACGACUGGGAAGAAGACGGAGUUCGGGGAUAGGAGGAGCUCGGCGAUUGGUUGUUUGGGUGGAGAGGAACCAGAUCAGGUGCACCAUGCUCUUCAAUCCUUGCGAUGCGGCUUUCUGCUGUGGCACAACCUUGUCGUAUGGGCACGGCUCAGAGGCAUAAGCUUAGGGGUCUCCCAACAAAGUCAACGAGCAACGUGGCAAGCAAGGCCAUUAUGGCAAAAAAUCCAAAGAAGAGGAACUUGGUCCAGUUGGAAAUCUUCUAUAGGCGGAGGAACGCUGCUAUACGACUUUGGCGCAGAUCUGGGGACGAUGACUUGAUAGGGGAGAAGGUGGAAAGUCGGAGAGCUUAAUGAACGACCGGCACUUAGACUUGGUUUUGCCGAAGCUGAAAUUAGCGGGGUCGUUGUUGCAGAAAGGUUGAGAGCUUGGAAGCCUCUGAUGUCGCUGAGUUUGGAAAAGAGAGGUUCAUUGUAGAUCUCUUGAGUGAUAGAUGGUGGUCGGCUCGUGACCAGCAACGAUUUGUAUCCUUCUAUGUUCACUGAUUUUAAGACUCAUACGUCGAAACAAGUCGGACUUGCUGCUGGGUGGCUGGCGGUGAUGAUGAUGGUGAGGAAUUUGGCGAGGUGCUGUUACGGGAGUGGAAUUGAUGACGGCACUGGGCCGGCCCGUUAUGUGUGGUAAGCUGCAAGGCGAAGGCACGAAUGGAGGAGAAAACACCGAUUGGGCUUUGAGAGCCGGGCCUGGGCAUGAAGGGUGAAAACCCAACAAGAUUCUCUUGAAACUGAUGAUGCUGUUGGUGAUGGAGAUUUGCAGACUCCAUAAUUAAUGAUUAUAAUAUUUUUUUUAUUUUUAAUGAAGAAACUGUAAAAAAAAAAAUUAUUAUUAUUUUUUUACAAAAAAAUUUGUUUGUAUUUGUAAUGGAAUUGACUCUUAAUAGUCAAAUGUUUAAUAAAACCUUUAUUUUUUAUUUUUUAUUUUGAUGUGACUGAACUCGAAGUUGAAUGUUCGAGCUGCCUAUGUACCCUUCUAAAGAAGAGAUUAAGUCAUAACGUAGUUCAGAUACAUUUUGUUUUUGUUUUUUUGUUUUGUUUUUGUGUUGUAUGCAGUUUAUGCUGUUGCGGGCCAGGAGCAUGAUGCGUUUGUUUUAGGAGUAGUAGCACUCCAAGAAUCUGCCAUUGAUGGGGCCGAUCUUCAAGUCGUCUUCCGCCAUGAUUAAGUAGGCGCUGUUGGUGUAGACUUCUUGUAUUACGUAAGGUCCAUCCCACUUUGAUGUGAACUUGCUUUUUGUUUUGUGAGUUGAGAUGAUAAGCCUAUGUAAUGCAAAGACGAGAUCUCCCACUUGAAAAGAAUGAGGGUGAACUUUCUUGUUGAAAGCCUUGGAGAGUCGUGCUUGAUAACACUCCAAGUGUUGCUGAGCUUCGAGCCUUCUCUCAUCCAGCGUUUCCAGCUCUUGAAGACAUAACUUUGCAUUAUUUUCAUUAAUCAAGCCUUCUUGUAUAGCCAUCCUUAGUGAGAGGAUUUGACUUUCGAGCGGUAGAACAGUUUCUGAGCCAUAUACGAGAGAAAAAGGCGUAGCUUGGGUAUGAGUCCUAUGUGUCGUCCUAUAUGCCCAAAGUGUUUCUCUUAUUCUUUCGUGCCAGUCUCUCUUUGUUCGGCUGAUCACCUUCUUCAGGAGGUUGCACGAUGUUCUGUUGAAUGCUUUUGCAAGACCGUUGGCCGGAGCAUGAUACAUGGAAGACUUAUGUUGCUUGAACUUGUAUUUCUCGUAGAGCUCAUCCACGAGUCGGUUGUAGAACUAUUUUUCGUUGUUAGUGAUAAUGUAGCGAGGCACACCACAUCGGUGUAUGAUAUGCUCCUUGAUGAAACAGACGACAAUUUCCUUCUGGACUUCCCUUGGGGGUAUAGCUUCAGCCCACUUGGAGAAGUAAUCUGUUGCAACUAGGAUGUAAGCAGCUUCUCCUGCAGAUGACUUUGGCGUAAUUGGUCAUACGACGUCCAAUCCCCAUGCAUCGAAUGACUAUGAAGCAGUUGUAAAGUGUAAUGGUUUAAGCGGUUGAUGUAUGAAGUUGGCAGGCUUGGCACAUUUUGGCAUGUUCCAGGUAGUCCUUCACCAUGCUUGGCUAGUAGCAACCCAUUCUUUUGAGCUGGAAAUGUAACUUCGGUCCAAACUGGUGCGCCAUGCAUACACCUGAGUGUGCUUCUUCCAUGGCUUGAUUAGAUUCUUCCUCACCUAGGCAUCUCAGAAGUACUCAUUCAAAAGAGCAUCGGUAUAGUGUUUCUUUGUAGUAGAGGAAGCGAGGUGCUCGUCGACGUAUUUCAAAGCGGUGUUUAGAAUCAUCUGAAAGCCUUCCAUGCUCUAAGUAGUCGAUCAACGGCUGUCUCCACUCUUCAGCGUCGACCGGAAGUAUUGAGAUGACGUUUGUAUCAUCCAGUAGCAUUUCAACGAUAAGCGGGAUCACCUAUCUUUGGCAAACUGGCACGUCUGCAGCUUUGUCUUAUCCUAGUGUAAUACUUGAGGCUAGGUUGGCGAGAGCGUCUGCCAUUUGAUUUUCUUUUCUUGGCACAUGUUCUAGUGUUACAGCCUCGAACUUUUGUAGCAGUUGAGUUGUCAGCCGGAAGUAUGGGACAAUAUCAUCUUUCAUCACCUCAUAUUCAGUCAAGAGUUGAUUGAUUAUGAGCUUGGAGUCACCAUAUACCUCAAGGGCUGUGAUUUCCAUAUUGAUCGCCAUUUGGAGCCCGAUAAUCAGUGCUUGGUACUCAACGAUGUUGUUGGAGCAUAGUUUGCUUAGUUGGAAGAAAUAAGGUAGUAUUUGCCUUUGUGGCCACAUGAAUACUACUUUUGCCCUCAUUCCGUCUGCUCGUGCGGAUCCGUCAAAGAACAUCGUCCAUGUCAGGAAGAUGUCGAUGUAGAACACUUCCUCGUCAGGUAAGUCGUCUGAGAUUUUCCAAUUGGCUGAGAUUAGAUGAUCGGUAAGGAAGUCUGCUAGCGCUUAUCCCUUGACGACUUUAGCUGUGAUGUAGAUGAUCUUAUAUUGAUGGAGAAGCAAUGCCUAUUUAGCUAGUUGCCUUGUCAAAACUGGUUUGGACAUGACGUAUUUGAUCGGGUCAGCUUUAGCAACCAAGUGGAUGGUGUAAGCAUGUAUGUAAUGUAUGAGCUUCUGAAUGGCAAACACCACGGCAAGACACAUCUUUUCUAUCGGGAAGUAGUUCAACUCAGCACAGGUGAGAGUUUGACUGAGGUAGUAAAACGUUCAUUCUUUCUGGGAUUCAUUUUCUUAUGCCAAGAGUGCUCAUACUGAACUUUCCUGAGCGGCGAUGUACAAUAUGAGCGGCUUCCUGGGCACAGAUGUUCCCAGGAUAGGUGGACUUGACAAAUACCUUUUUAUGAUUUCAAAGGCAUUGUGGCAUGCUUCAUCCCAUACGAACUGUACAUUCUUCUCAAUGAGUCAACUGAACGGUUGACAACGUUCUGCCAGGUUGGAGAUAAACUGUCUGAUGAAAGAGAGUCGUCCUUGUAGACUUUUUAGCACGUGUAGAUUUCUUGGCUCAUGCAUGCUUUGAAUGGCCUUGAUAUUUGAUUUGUCCACUUCAAUGCCACGGUGCUUGACAAUGAAACCGAUGAACUUUCCAGAGGUAAUCAAAGGGCAUCACCUUGUAGUAGUAGAUACAUUUUGGAUGCGGAAGGUUGUUAGUUCCUCGUCUUUGAGAGUCAUGCGAAUUUGAUUGUAUCCAUAAUAGCUGUCCAUGAAUGACAGUGCUUCGUGGCCAGUGGUUCCGUCCACCAUGAUUUCGAUGAUUGGCAUGGGGAAGUCGUCAUUCGGGCAAGCAUCAUUGAGGUUUUGGAAGUCUACGCAAACAUGUAUUUAUCCAGAUUUCUUAAGGAUAAUGACGAUGUUGGAGAUCCACUUGGGGUAUUGCACCUAUCAAAUGAAGCCUACUUCGAUUAGCUUGUCAAUCCCGGCCUUAAUUUGUGGGAUGAGUUCGGAUCGAUAACAUCUUUGAGUUUGCUUUAUCGGUUGCGUUCCAAGCUUGACUGCAAGAUGAUGCACAACGAUGAUAUGGUCAAGGCUGGGCAUUUCUUUAUAGGUCUAAGCAAAUACAUCUUUGUACUCUAAUAACAAUUGGUAAUACUUCUCUAUCUCGUCUGCACUUAGUAGUGCACUUACAAAGAUAGGUUUUGGUUCCUCGCUUGUGCCUAAGUUGAGUUCCAUAAGAUCAUCAACCGUGGCUUGCCCCCCAUCUUCGAGCUGUGGUGGCACAGCAGUGACAUCUUCCUCGAGGAUUUCAUCUUCUUUACCUUUUUGGAUCAUGAUGUGGAAAACAUCUUAGACCUCAUCUUCAAUGUUGUCCUUUUGAGCUUGUUGGCAUGAAGUUGUCCAGUGUGGAUGAUGGUGCACCUUCUGACUUUCAGUGGUCCAUUUGUGUUAACCUCCAAAAUUGCUUGGCCCUUUAUCCUUGAAGGAAUUGAGCUUCGAACAUUGCAUUUUUGUGCUAGCACAUCGAGCUUUUCUUCCUUUGGCGUUAUCUCUAUCUUUCUAGAAGGUUUCUUAUUGUCUUCAAGUCUUUCCAAAGUUGACCGUCACUGAUGAGAGCUAGUCGUGUUGCGUUGUUUCUUAGGUUUUGACAACAUUUUGAAAACAGAGCUUUGGGAUGUUGGCGUAUUAAGCUUCUUGAAGAUGGAGGUUCGGUCUUGACCACCAAUGCUAUUAAGUGCCGAAAUUCUGGGUCUUAAACGAUUCAUCUUAUCGAAGACUGAUGUUCAAGGGGCGAGUUUAGGCUACUCUUGAUCUUGUUCAAUGGUCACGUUGAUGUGUUGAGCGCUAGCGUUUUUCGUUUUGCUUGAAAUCUUCAUGGGGGCAUUUGGUGUGAAGCCAAGUCCAGCUUUGUUGUUAUUAACUCCAUAACCAUGCUCUUUCAACUUCUUUUGAGUCUUGGUGAGGUCACGAUCUUUGUUGUUGACGAUGUUUGCAACCUUAUUUCCAGGAUUUAAAGAGGAAGCGAAGUCGUACCCAACCUUCGACAUGAGUUUAUAGGCGUUUGAAUCAAAACCUUCUUUGGUCCUUUUGGUCGGAAGAAAGCUUGGUUCCACCCUCUUUGGCAGAGCUUUUAUGAAGCCUUAUGGUGGUCUUACAACCUUAGCGUUGCCUAGCUGUGUUAGAGGCAAAACUACAUUCGUCUUGAGCAACUUUACAUCAUUCUUGUGCCGCUGUGUCUCGGCUUUGCUUGCUCUAGUUUUGAACAGGGAUUGACCAUUCUUUCUUCUCGACAUUGGGAUGUAUCAGAAGACGGGUGUGUUCGGUCCUUUUGAGGGCGUCCUACUCCCUUUGGUUGUUGCAGGUUUAGCAGGCUCAUCAUCGGUUUUGCUUAAAGAUGGCACAACUUUUCCUUCUUGCUUCUUGGGCAUGGCUUGCCACUCUUGCUUUUUAGGUAUUGCUUUGCCUGUGGAUUUAAUCUCUUUGGAAGAGCUUUGGGCACCAUGUUUUCCUCCAUGUGGAACUUGGCAUUUUCGAAGUGUGAUUUGGCUUCGGUGAAUGGCUUGGUAUCGCCUUGGAUCACCUUUAUUCCUCUUUGGUAGAAUUCUAAGCAUUGGUGGAGGGUGGAUAAUACUACUCCAUUCUCGCGGAUCCAAGGCCUUCCUAAGAGCAAGCUGUAGGAAGUUCUUGCAUUAAUCACGUGGAAUAUUGUGCUUAAUUUGAGUUCACUAAUGGUCAUCUCCACUCGGAUCAUGCCCAUCGCUCUUUGUCUUCCUUGAUUAAAACGUUGGAUUAAUAGAUGGCUUAGGGAUAGUUCAUCCACCUUGAUUCCGAUUAUGGUCAUUGUUGACUUUGGCAUGAUGUUUAUGGCCGAUCCACCAUCCACAAGCUUGCGAUUGACUUUGUGCUCCCUUACGUACCCAGAGAUGAAGAGCGAACGGUUGUGAGGCUUAGAUCCUAGUAGCAAGUCUUCGUCAGUGAAGUGGAUUGUGUCCUGGGCAACAUAACACGUGGCAUACUCAUGUGGCUGAAGUUUCAAGCAUACGUCAUUGCUUUCUUGCACUUCGUGGUCGUCGGGACUUGCCAAGACCGCUGCUAGUGCUCUUCGCAUUUUCUUUGGCAAUCGUAGUGCUUCCUCGAUGCUAACUUUGCCUUUUGACGAUAACUUUGCCUUUUGAGGGCUCUUUAAUCUCUACUUCAACCAUGUGACAGGCAAUGGUAGUGCACUGUUGGAAUAAGUCUUUCGGAAAAUACUUGUGCAAGGAGAUGGAAAUGCGUGGCUCUUACUCCAUAGGUUCCCCAUUGUAUGUUAGCUUAGCAGCUUUUACGUUUCCUUUGGGAUUCAUGUUGUUGUGGCUGCUGUGAUGUCCUCCUUGUUCCACCUUUGGCUGUGUGACUUGUGGUUUUGGCUUCCUUGUCUUUUUAUAUGUCACCAAUGUCCAUCUUUCUUCAUCAUUGGUAAGUGCAUUUUGGUCACUUGCCCUCAGCGAUGGUUGUGCAGAAGGUGUUGUGUGGCUUGAACAUUGACGUGAGUGGUCAUGCAUUAUUUGGAGAUGAAUAAAAUCAAAUGAUCUAAACACGAUCACAGUAGUGUGCGUUGUAGCCGUGUUUUCUAGGUCGAGUUCAAUUCGCCCUUGUUGUGCUAGCUUCAUGAUGAGCUCUUUGAGGAUGAAGCACUUGCCAACGAAUGACUUACGAUACGAUGGUACUUGCAGUACCUGGGAUCGUUAACGCGAUUCAUCUUUUUGGGUCACUUGUAUUCCGUUAACUCGAUCACCUUCUUUUUUAGUAAGUCGUCUAACAUUGCAGCCAUAUUUGAGUCAGGAAAAGGGUACAUCUUUUACUCCAGCUCUCUCAAGGUGUUUUUGCACCUGUCUUGGGUGCGAGAAGGCUUAUCUCUCUUUAUCUCAUUCGCUUUGUUCUUGGAGGAGAUCUUGAUGGGCGCAAAUGAGGUUUUAAUGGGGGUAGUGUUGAUAGUAAAAGCUUCAUUGGCGGGCUUCUUCCCAUGAUUGUCCACCUUCGGAGCAAAUACCUUAUCUUUCUUGAAGUUGGAUAUUGGCUUUUUUUUUCUUUCUAUGAUGGGCAAUGCUUAACUCCAUGUCGUGGGCGCGGGUGGCUAACUCUUCAAAGGUUCGUGGUUUGAUGCCUUGAAGGAUGUAGUGUAACCCCCAUGAUAUGCCUUGGACGCAUAUCUCGAUCGAUGAGAUAUCUGAGAACCUGUCUUUACAGUCGAGACUUAGAGUACGCCAUCGGUUGAUGUAGUCCACGACUGGCUUAUCCUUCCAUUGCUUCGUGCUUGUCAGCUCUAGCAUACUUACAGUGUGGCGAGUGUUGUAGAAACGGUUGAGGAACUCCAGCUCCAAUUGCUCCCAGCUGUUGAUGGAUUCAAGCUCAAGGUCCGUGUACCAGUCGAAUGCAUUCCCUUUCAAAGAGCGAACAAACUGCUUCGCGAGGUAGUCUCAUUCCGUCCUCGUGUUGUUGCAAGUUUCCACGAAAUGGGGGACGUGCUGCUUUGGGUUUUCUUUUCCAUCAAACUACAUGAACUUUGGUGGUUGAUAACCCCUCGGCAUUUUCAGGGCAUCGAUCUUCUUGGAGUAGGGUUUUGAGUACAUCAUGGAGGUAUGUAAGCUCCCUUGGUACUGCGCUUUGAUGAUGCUGGCGAUCAUCUCCUGUAGUUGUUGGAUAGAGAGAGAUCCCAUGAGCGCUGCUGCUUGGUCUAGCUCUAGCUUAUUUUUGACUUUCUCCACCGGAGGCUUCUCUUCUUCGUCGGCUUCUUUCUUUAGUGGAUCAACCUUUAAGUUGACUUUCACGUCAUACUGCACCUCCAGUUGGUUGGCGAGUGCGGUGAUUUGCAAGUCUUUCGCCUCCACAGUCCGUGUGAGUUUUAUGACCGCUUUAUUCAUUUGAGCCAGCUGCUCCUUGAUUCAAGUCGUUCAUGUGGUCAUGACUUGCAUGACUGAGCUAUUGCUCGAGUCGACAUCAGAAAGUAAGGACUCUGAGUACUUCAUCGGGCUUUCUUCUCUUGGCGCCUUUAGCGAGGCUAGGGUGAUCACGGACUCGUGCCUCGAGUGCUCUUGUUCAUUCGGUAGAGUUAAUGCAGGGGUGGAAGCCGCGACAGAGAGAGCUUUUGCCUUGCUUCGGGUUGUGAUGCCCAGUGUCCACUUAUGUGCAAGGAUUUUGUUGUCCUUUGCUUUGGUUGCAGAAACAGUUUGAUCAUUUCUUGAUGCCAUUUGUGUUUUUUUUACGGAUUUGAAGAUAGAGAUGAGAGGCAGAGAUGGUCCUACCGGGCGUGCUAAAUUUGUAAACACGAAUAUUCCUGCAAUGAAUGAGACAAGAACACGUGUACAAAGUAAUAUUUUGUAUUAAUUUUGGGGUACAAUCUCUUUUACAAUUUGAUCAUUUGCUUUUAUCUUUGUAAGACGUAGAUUUGUGGGUGGGCUAUUGAUCCAAAGGGGUCGUUGGGGCUUGAUCUAGGGAUGAACAAGUAUGAAUGGAUCUUCAAGGGCCUUUGGGGCUUGAUCUUGACGAACAGUUGUGUGAAUUUCUUUCAGGGCCGUUGGGCUUGAUCUUGAUGAACAGUUGUGUGGAUUUCUUUCAAGGCCGUUGGGCUUGAUCUUAAUGAACAAUUAUGUGGAUUUCUUCAAGGGCCGUUGGGCUUGAUCUUGAUGAACGAGGAUGAACGGAUCUUCAAGGACCUUUGGAGCUUAAUCUUGAUGAACGAUGCGGGGAUUUCUUCAAGGGCAGUUGGGCUUGAUCUUGAUGAACGAGGAUGAACAGAUCUUCAAGGGCCUUCAGGGCUUGAUUUUGAUGAACAGUUGCGUGGAUUUCUUCAAGGGCCAUUGGGCUUAAUCUUGAUGAACGAGGAUGAAUGGAUCUUCAAGGGCAUUUGAGCUUGAUCUUGAUGAUCGAGGAUGAACGGAUCUUCAAGGGCUCUUGGGGCUUGAACUUGAUGAACAAUUGUGUGGAUUUCUUCAAGGAUUUGACGAAGAACGAAGAGAGCUUUCUUGAUCCUUCGGGAUUCUUGGGAAUUUGGGAGGUUGGAUGCUUGAAAGCUUUAGAGUUUCAAAGUCUCAAGGAUUUGAGGAAUUCUCUUCCAAUUUAGGAGUAGAGAAAUGUAUAUGUGAAUUGAUCCCCCAAAAUGAAUGCCUUAGCCUUCUAUUUAUAGAAUUUUUUAAGGCUUAAUUUCGAAUAUAAUAAUAAGAUGAAAUGAAUCAUUUUUGCCAGAUAUUGACACGUUUCCUUUUUGAUGACUUUUCCAUUUUUUGUUAUGUGAUACGUGAACAUUGAAAUUUUAGUUCAUUGGUCAAUAUUUAUUUCAACGAAAUUUCGAUGUCUACAAAGUGUGUAGGUACAAACCUUUUGUUAUGAACUAGAGGCAUUGAUUUUAAUUUGGGAAAACUUUAUUAAGUUAGGCUAAGAGUCCCUAUGAAGUUUCAAUUACCAAUUGAUUUUUAGUUUUUAUAUUUUGUGCUUGAAAUAUAGGAAACUUUAGGUAGGAAGGGGCAAAUGGAGAUGAGUGGUGUGAUAGAAGAUAGGAAAUUGAAGAACAAUCAAUGCAACAAAAUCCAGAAAGUGAAAACAACUUAAAGUCAAUUUUAGUUUUCAUUUUUGUAUUUCUUUCCUUGAAUUCUUAUAUAUUUAUUCAGCGUUAUCUUCCUUCCUCCACUUUUCUAUGUCCCUCCCUUCUUCUAUGCAUUCCCCCUCCAUCACUAACAAAAAAAGAAAAACUAAAGUAAACAACUAAGUAAAUAUCAAAACAACCCUAAGUUGUUUGAUUACAUGGCUUAUUUGAUAUCCUGAAGCUCUCUUCAAGUCAACUAACCUAAUCGUUGUUGUGAUUAAGUAAUAAUUGAUAAGAUAUGGCCAAAGAGUGAUAUAAAUAAUCCAUAGAAAUAUCAGUCCUUUAUUCCUGGGAUAGAUCGCGACCAAAACAUACACGAAUAAUUGACAAAGUGGUCAUUUUCUGUGGGCGAAUUUCUAAGAGCAAGAUAAUGUAAUUUUUGUGUGUGGAUGAACUAACAAUUGUCAGUUGUAAAUAAUGCUAAUUGUCCAAACGUUUCUUUUGGUUAAUUGUCCUAAGAUUGGUUCAUGGCAUCUUAUUAAGAAGGGAUGAAGUCUGCUGCUUAACAGACAAAUCAAACGUACACAUCAAAGUGAAGAAAAAAACACAUUUGAAAUGUUCUUGUCUGGGUCCCUAAUUAAUUAGUGUCAAAUAGUUUCUUAAAGAAAAAUAAAUUUGGCCCCUUUGGAAUCUAUCCCUCCAUGGUCUCGUAAAGUGUGUUUAUACCAUAUUUAGGGCCUCGUAUUUAGACCUCGUAUAAAUACUCGAGGGACUUAAAUGUAAUUAUGUAAUAAAGGAAGGGGCAAAUAUGUAAUUAGGGGAGGAGCCCUUAUUCUAUAAAAGGGCAUCCUCACCCUCACAAACCCUAAGCCUCCUCACAUCCCCUAAGCUCUAAGCUCUCUCUCCCUCUUCAACAGAGAAAUAUAAUACAAUCAGUGUGGACGUAGCCCAAACCUUGGGGUGAACCACGAUAACUCUUGUGUCAUUUACAUUUCAUGCAGAUUCACGGUCGGAUUUACGUUGUUCCAAGACCUCCGGUUUUGUGCAUCAACAUUUGGCGCCGUCUGUGGGAAACGACACAAAAAACUAUGUCGGUUCUCUUUCAUUUUUUCAUCAAAUCUCACCACUAUGAAUCUGCAAAAUCUACAAAAUCAAUACUGCAAAAUCUGCAGAAACCCAGAACCUCCUUGGGCUUUUCCAGAAAACCCCCAUCCCAAAAGCCAAAAGCAAAAGCACACCAAAAAAGAAAAGGCAACAGCAUCAAAACCCAAAUCAUCUUCGAGAAGCUCGGGAUCCCGACCUCGCUCCCUCCAGAAAUCCCAGUCAGACGGAAUCCGCUCAUUCGUCUUGAAAAUCAACCGGUCCGACAAGCGCCGUGUGUUUCACCAGUACUUCCAGCACAUCCUCACCGUCGCCGACGAAAUUGAGCAGCGGAACAGAGAGAUCAAGCUCUACAUAAACCUCUCCAGCGAAAAUGAAAGGUGGCGAUCGGUUCCGUUCACGCACCCCGCCACCUUCGACACCGUGGUGAUGAACACUGAGCUGAAGAAUAAAAUCCGGUCUGAUCUCGAAAAUUUCCACGUUUGGAAGCGGAGCUUUUUGCUCUACGACCCCUCCGGCACCGGAAAAACCAGUUUCGUCGCCGCUAUGGCGAGGUUCCUGAGCUACGACGGGUACGACGUCGACAUGUCCAAAGUCGCCGACGACUCCGAUCUGAAAAUGCUUCUCCUCCAAACGACGCCGAAGUCGCUGAUCGUGGUGGAGGAUCUGGACCGUUUCUGGACGGAGAAAUUCACGGCUGUGAGUUUGUCCGAUCUUAAAAUACUUUUCCUCCAAACGAUUAUCCCAGUACGAGCUUGCUUUACACCUUGCACCUGACAUGCCAUCGUCUAUCGAAUUACGUUCUAUUUGUCAUUUAAACAGCGCAAUAUGCUUCUUGAAAUUGGAAAAAAUGAAGAGAGAAACUCACCAUCUGGAAUUAAGUUUGCAACGCUACACGAGCGAGGAUCUAAGUUGCAUUUGAUUUGAAGAUCUGGUGGAGCUUGAACACCAACUAGAGGCGUCUGUUAACAAGGUUCGAACUAGGAAGGAGGUUUCUGAGUUCGUCGUUAAUGGCGAAAGUGGGGAGGGACUGCAGGAUUUGUCACCUGAGCUUGGAUGCAACGAAUCAUGAAUCUGGGAUUCCUAUUGAGCUGGGGUGUUCUUGUAAGGCUGAUUUGGCUGCUGCCCACAAGCAGUGUGCUGAGGCUUGGUUCAAGAUCAAGGGUAACAAUGCGUCUGCUUUCUAAUUCACGACUUUGGUCAACACUCUCGGCAGAGACACUUGCCGGUCCAAGCUCUGGUCAACACUCCAGUCUUUGAGCAUAGCAGUCAUGGUGGCAGACGGCUCCUGAUCAUCGACAGACCAACGUGGCAAAGUCCUUAUUCCGUCUGAUUUCAGAAACAAUCUUCCUGCAAUACGCAGUGGAGGUACCAAGAAAAGCAGGUGGGUGGGGUCGAAGAGGUUGUCCAAAUAGCUGUGCCCUUAAUCAUGUCGUCAAGCGACAUAUCAAAAGCAGAAAAGAAGAAGGCAAAGAGAAAAGCAGUGGGAAACAGAAACAAAAGCAAAAGGAAAAGUAGAAAAGGAAAAGAGAAAAGCAAAAAAUCUUCCUAUUAUUAUGAUUUCUUAUGUCUGUCAGAUGAAGAGACAGAGAGUGCAGCAGAAAAACACUACAAAAACAAGGAAUAAACACCCCACCAGAAUGAUGUGUUUUACUUUCCUUAUUUUUUGAAUGAUGUAAUUUUCCUUAUCUUUCGGAAACAUCUGUAUAAACCCCAUCAAAGGGUAAAAAAAAAAAAAAAAAAAAAAAAAGAACGGCAAAACCCAAAAUAAAUGGGCUGGAAUGUUGUGGAGGGCGAAGGCCCAUAAGCCCAAAAUAGCUCCAACCAAGUGAUCAAAAGUACGCCCAGUACUCAACAAUUAUUCGGCAACCUGCCACUAUUAUCGCCAACCAGGUGACCAAAAGUACGCCCAGUACUCCACAAUUAUUCUGCAACCGACCGCUAUUACCACCAAUUACCACCAACCAGGUGAUGAAAUGUACAACCCGUACUCUAAUAUCAUUUGGCAACUAGCCAUUCAUGCCACCAACCAGGUGAUGAGAUGUACAACCCGUACUCUAAUUUGGCAACUAGCCAUUCAUGCCACCAACCAGGUGAUGAAAUGUACAACCCGUACUCUCCUUCAUGCCACCAACCAGGUGAUCAAAAGUACGCAUAGUACUCCAAAUUAUACAUGAGCAUUACUCAUGUCAUUCAUACAUAAACAUUCAUGAGCAUCACUCAUGACAAUCAUACGUAAACAUUCAUGACCAUCAUUCAUGUCAACAUUCAUGAACAUCACUCAUGUUAACAUUCAUGAGCAUCACUCAUGACAACAUCCAUGACCAUCACUCAUGUCAACAUUCAUGAGCAUCACUCGUGACAACAUCCAUGAGCAUCAUUCAUGUCAAUCAACAUAAACAUUCAUGAGCAUCACUCAUGUCAAUCAGCUUCAAAAGCUUCAUUUACAGAGCUUCAGCUUCAAAGCUUCACUUGCAAAGCUUCACCUACAAAGCUUCAGUGCAGGAUAUACAAAUACCGCCUCCGAACAACCGCCACUUCGGCCCAUAUAUGGAUUCAAUUUGAAGUCUCCAGCCAACAGACUCUAUUGACCGAAGACUUAGGGGACUACAUUAUGUACCAUAUAUUGGGCCUCAACUAGGCCUCAUGAAAAAAAUACUUGGGGGACUUAGCCCAUCACUUAUGUAUUGAGGAGUGAGCCCUUAUUUUAUAAAGGGACUCCCUCACCUUCAUUAGAGAACAACGCCGCCAGCUGAGCAACCGCCUCGCCGCCAGCAUCAACUCUAGCCCAUCACUUAUGUAUUGAGGAGCGAGCCCUUAGUUUAUAAAAGGGACUCCCUCACCAUCAUUAGAGAGCAUCGCCGCCAGCUGAGCAACCGCCUCGCCGCGAGCAUCAACUCUAGCCCAUCACUUAUGUAUUGAGGAGCGAGCCCUUAGUUUAUAAAAGGGACUCCCUCACCAUCAUUAGAGAGCAUCGCCGCCUGCUGAGCAACUGCCUCGCCGCGAGCAUCAACUCUAGCCCAUCAUUUAUGUACUGAAGAGCGAGCCCUUAAUAAAAUGGACUCCUUCACCUUCAAACGUCACAAGCCGAGCCAACCAAGGCAAUAUAAGCCACAAGCAGAGCUGCCUCGCAACAUGUGCUACUUCUAGUUGAGCAUCAUUUCACUUUGAGCACUACCUCAUAUCAAGUACCAGUUCAAGACGACAUCUAGUUACUUUGGCCCACACAUGGAUUGAAUUUCAAGUCUCCAGCCAAAAGACUCUCUUGACUGAAGACUUGGGGGACUACUGUUUAUACCAUAUUUAGGGCCUCGUAUUUAGGUCUCGUAUAAAUACUCGGAGGACUUAAAUGUAAUUAUGUGAUAAAGGAAGGAGCAAAUAUGUAAUAAGUGAGGAGUCCUUAUUCUAUAAAAGGACCAUUCACCCUCACACUUUGGGAGAGCCUGAUUCUCACCUUCAAAGGCCAAUUUCUUAGGCCAUGGAAGGGCUCUCUCACCCUCAGAAGCUCUAUCCAUCUCUCUCCUUCACUUCUCAGAGAAAUACAAUAUAAUCAGUGUGGACGUAGCCCAAACCUUGGGGUGAACCACGAUACAUCUUGUGUUAUUUACAUUUCAUGCAGAUUCACGGUUGGAUUUACGUUGUACCAAGACCUCCUGUUUUAUGCAUCAACAUUUGGCGCCGUACUCUAAUUUGGCAACUAGCCAUUCAUGCCACCAACCAGGUGAUGAGAUGUACAACCCGUACUCUAAAUUGGCAACUAGCCAUUCAUGCCACCAACCAGGUGAUGAAAUGUACAACCCAUACUCUCAUUCAUGCCACCAACCAGGUGAUCAAAAGUAUGCCUAGUACUCCAAAUUAUACAUGAGCACUACUCAUGUCAUUCAUACAUAAAUAUUCAUGAGCAUCACUCAUGACAAUCAUACAUAAAUCAUUCAUGACCAUCAUUCAUGAGCAUCACUCAUGUUAACAUUCAUGAGCAUCACUCAUGACAACAUCCAUGAGCAUCACUUAUGUCAAUCAACAUAAACAUUCAUGAGCAUCACUCAUGUCAAUCAGCUUCAAAAGCUUCAUUUACAAAAGCUCCAGCUUCGAAAGCUUCAUUUACAGAGCUCUAGCUUCAAAGCUUCACUUGCAAAGCUUCACUUACAAACCUUCAGUGCAGGGUAUACAAAUACCGCCUCUGAACAACCGCCACUUCGGCCCAUACAUGGAUUAAAUUUGAAGUCUCCAGCCAACAGACUCUAUUGACCGAAGACUUGGGGGACUACAUUAUGUACCAUAUAUUGGGCCUCAUGAAAAAUACUUGGGGGACUUAACCCAUUACUUAUGUAUUGAGGAGCGAGCCCUUAUUCUAUAAAAGGGACUCCCUCACUUUCAUUAGAGAGCGCCCAUUAUUCAUGUACUGAGGAGUGAACCCUUAUUUUAUAAAAGGGACUCCCUCACCAUCAUUAGAAAGCAACGCCGCCAGCUGAGCAACCGUCUCGCCGCGAGCAUCACUCAUAACCCAUCAUUUAUGUACUGAGGAGCGAGCCCUUAUUUUAUAAAAGGGACUCCCUCACCAUCAUUAGAGAGCAACGCCACCAGCUGAGCAACCGCCGCGCCGCGAGCAUCACUCCUAACCCAUCAUUUAUGUUAAGGAGCGAGCCCUUAUUCUAUAAAAUGGAUUCCCUCACCUUCAAACGCCGCAAGCCGAGCCAACCAAGGCAACAUAAGCCACGAGUCGAGCAGCCUCACAGCGUGUGCUACUUCUAGUUGAGCGUCAUUUCAGAUUGAGCACUGCCUCAUAUCGAGCAUCAGUUCAAGACAGCAUCUAGUUACUUCGGCCCACACAUGGACUGAAUUUCAAGUCUCCAGCCAAAAGACUUUCUUGACUGAAGACUUGGGGGACUACUGUUUAUACCAUAUUUAGGGCCUCGUAUUUAGACCUCGUAUAAAUACUCGAGGGACUUAAAUGUAAUUAUGUAAUAAAGGAAGGGGCAAAUAUGUAAUUAGGGGAGGAGCCCUUAUUCUAUAAAAGGGCAUCCUCACCCUCACAAACCCUAAGCCUCCUCACAUCCCCUAAGCUCUAAGCUCUCUCUCCCUCUUCAACAGAGAAAUAUAAUACAAUCAGUGUGGACGUAGCCCAAACCUUGGGGUGAACCACGAUAACUCUUGUGUCAUUUACAUUUCAUGCAGAUUCACGGUCGGAUUUACGUUGUUCCAAGACCUCCGGUUUUGUGCAUCAACAAAGUGUAUACACUACAGCCUAAAAAGGGCAUCAGGUAUAGUGCAUAUGAUACAAACAACUUCAUUCCCAAAAAGGCUAUCACGUCAAACUAAUGUAAUGAGAGAGAUAUACACAUGAAUGUGUCAAACUAAUAUAAUGAGAGAGAUAUACAUAUGAAUGUAUACACUUGGCCAUGUGUAAGAAUCUCUUGUCAUCAUUUUAGAGGUGUUACUGGCUGAUGAUCCAGUUGUUAUCCUCUUGAGGAUGAAGCUUAUUCAGAUUUUAGAAAAUUAAACUAAGAGCUGCAAGUUAAGUAAACAAAAAGUUGGCGCCGGCCUUUAUCUAAUCAAUUUAUAUGAAAAAUAUAAUUUUGUUUCUUUUGUAAUUGGUUGAAGACCUGAUCCAAUUACCGUCACAUUAGAGAUAAAUAAAAAUAUAUGGAUCAUGAACAGUACUUGUGCUGGUGCCAUGCAUGCAUACCAUGGUCUAAAAUAUCGAUGAUAUCGGAAAUAUCGGUAAUCCAAAAAACACGGAAAUUUCGAUGGAAAUAUCGGGAUAUUAUCGAUAUUGAUAAAAAUUGAAUAAAAAUCACGGAAAUUGUAAGAAAAACUUGGAAAUUUUUAUUGAAACUUUGCAGGAUGUUUAUUUGGUCAAUUAUCUAUUAGUUUAUCACAAAAAAUUGGAAGGAAAUACUUUGCAUGAUGGAUUUAACUGAUUUAAGUUGAUUAUAUAGCGAGCUGGCAAAUAUUGUGAGUGUAGAAAAUAUGUAGUAAUUAAUGAAAGAAGUUUAAACACACCAUAAUCAUUAAUAUAUAAUGAAUUAGUACAAUAUUUUACACUUUAUACAUUGCAUGGUAAGAUACAUGAGUGACUUAGUACCACAUCGAGUUCCUAUGAGGUUCAAAAUUUUCACUAUCUUCAUCAUCUCUAUGUGUAGAGUAAGUGUAUUGUGAAGAGUAGUCAGUAACCAUGACAAUGACUUUCAAGAACCAAAACCCAAAAGUCAAUAGGAAACCGAAUACUUCGGUAAUUUUUCGGGAUUUCAGGAUUACCAAACAAAUGGGAUUUGGAAGCCAAUCCCAUAUCGAAAAUUUCGGUAUUUUUCAGGAUGGGAUUCCCGAACUUCGGGAUGGUUUUGGUUUGGGAUUUUUCGGUUUGGGUUUGGGACUUUUUCGGUUUGGUUUGGGAUUUUCGGGAAUUUUUUCCAGCCCUACAUGUAAGUGACCAAAUAAAAAAUAGAAAAAUUAAAAACCACAUGCCAUUGACUAAGUAAUUAAUUGACACAAUUUAAAAUAUAAUACCACAAAAAAUUUGGAAUAUGUGCAAAUUUGUUUCUUGCAAAAAGAAUCAAAACAAAACCAUAUAUAUAAAUAUUUUAGCAUAUUUUCACAAAAACAUAAAUGAUAUGGUGGUCAAGGCGUUGAAGUAGUCAAAUGGGAGGGGUUUGAAUCCAUCUGUGCGCAAGAUUGAGACUUUUCAAAAAUUUUCAAGUAUUUUUGGGUUGCAUAUCGCGAUAUUAUCGCGGUAUAUUAACAAUAAUUAAGGAGAUAAAUCAUGAAAUAUCGAUAUUAUCGAUAUUUUGGUUCAUGAUGCAUACUGAAUACUUUGUGCUUUAAUAAAUUAAUGGAUAGUACCAACAUAUUGGAGCUCUCAGCUGUUCAUAUUAAGUAUUAACUACAGUUUGAUCUCUCAUUUGCAAACCUUCAAAUCCCAAAUCCUAGCUGGAGUAGGAGAUCAUGGAUUUGCAGGUCAAAUGGCAAUCUUAUUUUACAACGCAAGUUCUAAAACCCAAUUGGACAAUUCAACCUUUACAGUCCUUAUUUAUAGAGACCUCGUGCAUGACAGCUUUUCUUGAGGCUUGCUUUGAUCAUUUGUUGCAGCCGCAUGAGCUGCAGCUGCAGUUUGAGCCACACUUGCAGUCAUUUUCUGCUCCAUAGUUCAUCUCAGACCCCUCAAAGGACCUGCAAUAAUAAUAAUUUAACUUCAUUUUUUAAUAGUCCUAUUUUCAGCAUAUAUAUAAGGGAACUUUAACGAAAAACUUCCAGUACUGUUCAUUAGUUUUCAUUAGUUUUCAUUAUAUAAUUCAUGAAAUUAAAACAAUGUUUCAAAGAGUUUAUCAAAGGGCAAUAUGGGCAAAUAGAAACUAGGGGACACUAAGUAAACAACAAAAGUAUAUAAAUCACGAUUCAACAAUAUUAUUGUCUGUUUAGUGUUAUUCCAAUUCUAUUUAUUACAAAAAGUUAGUAACCGAUUUUAUUCAGGUAUAUUUGUCUUUUAAAAAUCUUACAUCUUCACUGGUGCAACCCCAGCAAUGAUGGUAUCAAUGGAAGUGGUCUGAGUAACCCAAGUCAAUGUGCAUCCCACAUCUACACAUAUAUACAUAAAGAGAAAACGAUAUUAUUAAGAAAAUAUAAACAAAAUAAUUAAUUCCUAGUUAAGAACAUUAGGAAUGAUAGAGAAUGAUGAUCGAUCACAUAUAUGGUUAAUUAGGGGUAUAGAAGAUUACUUGCAGCCACUGCCGCACUUGCAGUCACUACCACAGCUACAACUGGAAGACAUUUUCUCCAAAAGUUGGUAUAAGGACAAGGAGAAGAUUAAUUGUUCUAGUGCUGGGAACUGAAUUAACUUCAAAGCUGGGAUGAGUCUUCUUGUGAGGGUCUUAACUGCUAUUUAUAGUGCAGUUUAAGAUUGAAGUGGUCGAGAUCCACCGUACACGUGGAUCAAUUGUAUAUAUCUAUGCUAAUUAAUAAAGUUUAUAGAGAUUACUUGCUUUGUCGAACAAUCCAAAUUCCUAUACAAAUUGAAUUUUUUUUAGUGCGAGACGUUGUCAAGUAAUGUUAUUAACAAUUAUAUGAGGGCUAGAAGAGGCUUGUAUUUUUAGACCUUGCUUGUUUUUUAUGUGCUAAUUUAAUGCUUAUAGCAAAAAUGUUCGACAUAUUUGGGUUAUAGACCAGCUGGUCUACCACCGUGUCCAUCCAUGCAUCAGUGGUUCCUUUUUAUGCACAAGACGUAUAUGAAUUGACAAAGUGGUCAUUUUCUGUAGGUAAAUUUGUAGGAGAAAAAUAAUGUCAAUUGUUUUCUUUUGGCCACGAAGUUGUCUUAAGGCAUGAAGUCUACUGCUUAGCAGAAUAGCAGAAAACACAUAUUAAAUGUUCUUUUCUGGGUCCCUUAAUUAAUCUGUAAUAUUUUUCACAGACAAAUAAACUUGGUGGCCCCUUGGAAUGGAUUCAAUUGUUAUCUUAUACCCUAAUAUCUAGGAUGGUCGAUGCUAUCCAAGACAGUCGGAAAAGGACUUCAAAUCAUUUUAUAUGAUGCAAUUUUGUCACAAAAAUUCCCAACCAAUCAAACUAAAGUUCAUAACGUUCUGGGGCAAGUUACCUCAUCAAAUUAUUGGCGCAAUUUGGUUAUUUUAUUGUUACCAAAAAGGGAUUAAAAAAAGAACUAGCCUAAGCUAGCUAUCUCGUAAAAAAUAUGAGUUGCUCACAAGUUUUUCAAGAUGAAUAUACUCAUGUUGAAGCUUGAUUUGUUUCUUAAUCGAGCCAAAUUAGUUUUGGCUUGUUUUCUUCUUGAGCCAAGCUUCAACGAGUCAAACAUGAACCAAACGCAAUUAAUUAUGAAUCGAUCGGUUUUGAGCCAAUUUGAAACCCUCUGAGAAAAUGGUAAUCAGUGAGCCCUUUCUCUUGUUGGCGUUGUCUCCUGUCUCGAAUCUGAGCAGUCGUGUUGCUCUCCACAAAUAAGAGGAGGGUGAGAGAUUGACUUUAGAUAUGAAGAUAAGUGCACACUGCUCUCAAGGCACUAAAGUCGCAAAAUCUUUGUCCAUCUUUUAGGGAUAAAGACACACCAUUCCUCCAUUUUUUUGUGGGUUUGAUUUACUUUCUUUUAGUUAGUUCGUCUCACAUGUUCUGUGGAGUAAAACAGAAAAGAUAUUGCGACAAGGAGACUCCCUCCAAUUAUUGAUCCACCUUUCAUCGGGUGGGGCAUCAAGGGCUUCUAUACCCAUAUUGUGGAGCCAGCCAGUGCGGAAUAUUUUUGGUCACCACCUUUAAGUGAUGGAACCCUAUGUAUUACAAUUGAAUGAGUUUAAAUUUUGAGAUCUUUUUAUUUGAUAAACUUAAAUCUAAAAAAAUUAAAUUCAUCUAACGGUGAUAAAUAAAGACGGUGAGCAAAAAUGCACCUGUAAUUGUGACUUAAAAGUGAAGGGAUGAUAUUCUCUUCAAAUCUCUUCACCUCAUCCUCACCUGUCCUUUUCUUUUCCAUCUUUUGUUAUCAAAGGUUCUCCAUUUACCUUCUCUUUCCUUUGAAAAGAAGAAAAAGAAAGAAUUCCUCUAAAGUUAUUCUAACUUGCUGAUAUCUUAUGUAACGAAUAUCAAAUAUUAAGGGAAAUGAAAAUCGCAAAUCUUUUUUUUUUCUUUUCUUUGCGUACUUGUGUUUAUAUUUAGCUUUUUGAUUGAAUAGAUUGGAAAAAAAAAAAAAUCAACAAGUAUAAAAUAAAGAAUAGCGUCCAGAUGCAUAAAAAGAUUGUUUGGAAAUGAUCUCCCAAUAUUAAACUUUAUUGUAUAAAUUUUCAUAUAUAUACCGUUACAUAAGGAGCGAGAUAGAGAGAUUUAAGGAGCCGAAGGCUAGUGGUAGAAUAUGGGACAUGCACACACACACACGUGAAAGACAAGAAGAAAAACAGAAGUCCAUCAGAUAGCAAAAGCUGAUGGAUAAUGGAUGGGUACCAAUUUCUUGCAAGGAUAUACACAGAAAUGACAAGGACAGAUUUAACAGAAGAUAGAAGCCUCAAAAAUCACAGUAAUGAGCUUCAUCUUCAUUUCAUUCCGGGGGUUCCAACACAGAGAGUGUGAUACAAUUUUUUAGAUUGGGAAAGUUUUCUGGCGUGACUAUAACACCGUCACAUAGUAUUACCAAUCACAUCGUUCAUUUAUAUAAUGAUACAUGGAUUAGUAACAACAUUGAGAUGUGACCAUCACACUAAAAAAGUUCUCCUGCAUUUCAGUGUCAUGAACUAUUUGCUAUUUUGUGUGUGGAGGAAGCCAGGCCACCACUAACCCGUAAACCCUAAACCCUAACAUGACGCCUCGGACCACCGACAGAAAAAUCCACUGUUCAUAACUGAAAUAUAUAUACAUUGGUAUACUGAAACUGAACAAGAAGUGAUGUUUCCAAAUUUCUUUUUAGCCUGAGAGUGAAAGCUUAUUGAGAGAGCUUGCAACGAGAGGAAGGGGUAGAUCAGAGAGCACAAAGAGCAGAGCUCUGCAACUGGUUUCGUCGAUGGGCUGGAAAUGAUUGAUGGGCUUGUUUCCGACUAAAUUAUUUCUUCAUAAAUCAUGGCUAGAAUACAUGAAGCCAUGAAACCAAUUGGUCCAAGAACAAUGAGAUAAUUUUGUUUCUACUUUGUACCCAAAAACAAAAAAAACAAAAAAAACAAAAAAACACUGAAAUAUAGUGUUAUUCUUUGUAAAAAAACUUACACAAUGUUCCUCUUUAAUGUAGAAUACAUCUUACACCAUUUAAGUUUGAGGUGAUUUUCAAAACGGGUGUGAAAUGUGGUUAGCCCUAAAACCCUAAAAUGUCUUCCAAGUUUUGACAUGAAUUGAGAAUCAUUUGGUGCAGGUAUGGAUCCAAUUUUUUUCGUAUUUCAUUUCUAUUUUACGAUCAAGGUAGGUCAAGUCAGCUAUUCGUAUUUAUUAAGGAAAGCAGCUUGAGAUCUCUGGUUUCAACAAUAUUAAAUAUAAAUAACUUCAUCUAAUAGUUCAUCAAAGAUCAAUAAUAAAUAGGUUUAUUUAUAGAUCACAUAAGAAAUAGGUUUAUUUAUAGAUUUGCCAACCGUCUUUUAGUCUCACCUCCAAAACUGCCUAAAUCGAGCUAUUUCACCCUAUUUUUGUCAAUUCUGUCUCAUGGACGUAAAAUGGAAGAGCAUUUCGGACAUUUAAUACCAUGCUAGUAGCGAUGAGGUAUUGUGGUUGACGAAAUAUGAAAUUUCCAAACUGCCGUAAACCUCUAAAAUGCCAAAUCGGCCAACGUGGAAGUAAAUGGGUGAAAUGGCUCGAUUUUGGCACUUUCAAGGGUUAAAGUAAGACAAAUCCUGUUUCAAGGGAUAAGGUGAGACCAAAGAAUAGUUUUAGGGGCAAUCAAUAAAUAAGCCUAAUAAAUUUUCUCGAAACUGUUACAGGGUUGAUUAGGAUUUGGAGUUUACUAUCUAAGCGAACUUAUUGAGCUAUUAAGCCAAAAUGGUCAUUGAGAUUUGCAUAACACCUCACUUUGGUCCCUGAGAUUGAAAAUCAAUAGAAAUGGUCCCUGAGAUUGUCCACCAUCCAUUAUUUUGGUCAUUCCGUUAAAAACUCCAUUAAGUGUCUUGGAGCUCUUGGCCAAAAGUUUUGGCAAUAUUCAAAGCUUCGUAACUCAAUUGUUUAUUAACCAAAUUCGACCCAUAAUAUAUCAAAAUGAAGAUAGGAAAGUAUAGAAGAAGAUUAUACCUAUUUGGAAGCCAAAUGGUUGCCAGAGAUGUUCAGAAAAUAGCCUGAAAGGUGAUUGGUCCAUGGGAAAACUGGAAAACUUGCCGGAAACUGGGUAAACUUUAAAUGUCCAUAACUUCUUCAAUACUCAACGAAAUCAAGUGAUUCAAAAAAGAAAAUCAUACUUUUCGACAAGACGAAGAGAAUGGUAUCUUUCUGGAUGGCUAAAUAGCCGUGGUAUGGCCGGAAAACGGCUCGAAAGUGGAUGUCUUGGUCUCGAGUUAGCCACUUUCGAGCCAUUUUCCGGCCAAACCAAGUCGAAUUAGCCAUCAAGAAAGGUACCAUUCUCUUUGCCUGGUUGAGAAGUAUUAUUUUUGUUUUUGAAUGACUCGAUUUUGUUGAGUAUUAAAGAAGUUAUGAACGUUUAAAGUUUACCAGUUUCCGGCGAGUUUUCCCGCUGACUAGUCACUUUUCAGGCUAUUUUCCGGCCAUCUCCGGCAACCAUUGGGCUUCCAAAUUGGUAUAAUCUUAUUCUACACUUUCCUAUCUUCAUUUUGAUAUAGUAUGAAAUGAUUGAGUUACGAAGCUAUGAAAAUUGCCCAAACUUCCGGCCAAGAGCUCCGGGACACUUAACGGAGUUUUUAACGGAAGUACCAAAAUAAUGGAUGGUGGACAAUCUCAUGGACCAUUUCUAUUGAUUUUCAAUCUCAGGGACCAUUUUGGCUAAAAAGCCCACUUACUGAAGUUCUAUUCAUGAUCCUAAUAUUACAUUAAUCCAAAUUUGAGGCUUUGCUCAAUAUUAAUCUAAUGUCGAGCUGCAUGAUAGAAAUUCCCAGCAAUUAAUGAAAUGUAGUGGAAGUUGGAAGUAGAGGUCCCUAUUAUCUAGAGAAAUGUAGUUAUUACAAGAAAAGAAAAGGUUGGCGGUAAUACAGGAUUAACGGCUGGUGCCAUCUUCAACACUUACCACAAAUUUUGAUUGAUCCAUCUAUAAGACGAAUCAUCGUCGGAGUUAUAUCCGUUUACAAACAUCAAUAGAUUAAUGUUCAAGAAUAAGAAGGCGCGUGCUGGGCCAGGUACGUAGGAACCUUUAACAUCCAUGACAGGAGCAAGGAGCACUACUAUGAAGACCGUGAAGAAAAAUCACAUGGCAUAAAAAAAGAUGCGAAGCCAUAAAACGUGAUACACUGUCAGUGCAACACCAGCCAGGAAUGACGAGGACAACAUGGUAAGCGUUACACCUGGCGCCGGUAAGGUAAACCUCAAGGCAGCAUAGAUUAUACUAGGGUCAUGCGUUUGUGCCCACAUAAGGGCAAUUGAAGCAGUAAUGGAGCCGCACAUCGCCACGGUAUUGCAUAUCAAGAAAAUUUUGAAUAGGAUAUGCGUAAGAAAAAUUGGGGUGCCCACAUCAUUUCCAGAGCUACUGUAUCCACAUGGUAUUGUGAAGCCUUGAACAAACGUUAUACCAGCCACCAGCGUUGACACCAAUAGGAGAGUAUUGACACUCUCUUUCGAAAACAUUAGGCUAUCAGAUUGUGCAAGGACUUCAGAACAGAAUCCUCUAUCACUAGAUUUGCUUUGGUGGCUGUUCGCUCUUCAGAUCGUGGAGAAUUAGCCAAGGUCAAGGUCAUAAGUGUCAGUUUCUGCAAGAAAUAAACGAAAGUUUCAGUUCUUGACCAAGUUGUUAUCAAUAUGUAGAUCUUGGAUGACAAACAAGAGAAACGAUUAUUAAAAUAAAGGCCAUAAGGGUCAGCUUCUGCAGGAAAAAUCGUAUGUAAUCAGGAUAUCCUCCCCUCUUUAUCUCUCAUAUGCAAUGAGAGGGGCAAGAAGGGGAGACAUAUACCUCUGGUUAAUUAAUUACGUUGUAGAAUUCUCUCCUAUGUACGACAUACUUGUUGGUAGUUGUAGUGUCACACUGUGUAGGUAAAGGAAACUAAUCGAAACAAUGCGUUGAGAAAUUACGUACUCUCCGAAACAACAUCUCUUUAUCUACCUCGGUCUUCUCUGCAAGGUCCAAUGCCGUCAUACCUGCAUUGUUCAAACUAUUUAAAUUGGCUCUCUCAUGCGCAUGGAAGGGGGAAAGAAUUUUGACAAUCUUAGGAUGCCAGUUUUGGACGGCUAUGUGUAGAGGGGUAUUUCCACUUUGAUCUCUUUGCUUGCUAAGCACUUGAAGAUUGCGCUUUCCAACAAUAUAUUGGACAACAUUAACUCUUCCAUGCGCGGCCGCAACAUGAAGAAUAUUCCGGCCUUCACCGUCACAUGACUCCCUCAAGUCGGGGCAAUGAUUGAGAAACUCUUCAACAAUCCUGCAAUGGCCUUUUUUGGACGCCACAUGUAUGGGAAGGAACUGAUUUUCGUCACCUUUGUAUGCCAAUCCAGUAAAUUUGUGUAACAAUACGCGUACCGCCACGAAGUUACUUAUAUAAGCCGCAAGUGUAAGAGGAAUCAUCCACUCUUGUUCCGUUGAAUUGAUUAGGUCAGCUGAAUCCAUUUUGCUCAAUAUCGUCUCUAGGAGAUCUACGUAGCAUAUGCAUUUUAGAAGCAACUCUGUCAAGAAUAAGUAUUUAUGAAGAGAGAAAUGGAAAGGGAUCCUCUCUGGAUCCCUUCUUCCUAAUCCACCAAAUUAGUGGAUCAAUGCCAUUAAAAAUUUGAUCUAACGGCUACAAACAGGAGCUCACUUUAAUAAUUAUAAUAACUUUAGCCGUUGGAUCAAAUUUCAGUAGCACGGAUCCACUGAUUUGGUGGAUUAGAAGGAAGGGAUCUGGAUCCCUUUCCGAGAGAAAUAAAUGAAAGGUAAAUUGUCAUAAUGCCAUAUUACAAAGAGUUAGAGCAUCUCCAAUAGCGUAAGAAAAUGAUUUUGAUGAGCCACGUGGAUAAAACGUUGCUCUUGCUCCAAUGGUAUGUGCAAUUGAGUAGGAAAUUUUUGCUCAUUCCCACAAAGUAAGCAAUAUUAUUGACUACUUCAAUAUUGUAUGCUGAUGACAUGAAAAUGGCAAAGACAGAGCCAUACUUGUAUAAUUCUUUCUGGUGGCUCUGGGCAGCCACCAUUGAGAAUCUAUACGCUUAAAAUACAUCCUGUAUACAACCCCGGCCAGCAAAAAGAGUGGACUGAUGAGAAAGCAUAACAUGAGCUUGACCAACUCGAACACUGGACUACUUUCCUUUAGUCCACCUUUUGCUAUAUUUGUACCCCAUGCCAAAAUUUAAAAAGAAUACUCAUUACUAGCUAUAUGUACCAAAAACAAAAAGUACUCACGAGUACACCAAAAAGAAAAAAAGGUAACUGCAAAAUGCUUAAUAUUUACCCUGUUUCCUCCAUAUGAUCGCACUACGAAGAAUUGAAUUGCCGUUCGAUCCUUGCCAAAAAUUACCAGAAUUAACGUCUGCUGUGCUAUUUGGCGUGUUGGCUACCAUUGCUUUAACGAGUUCAAAAUUGGCAGUUUCAGCAGCCAUGCACAAGGGAGUCUUACUGAAGUUAUUUGUAGAAUGCGACGUGGAUCCAUCUUUGCCGACCAAAAACAUAGCCACAUCUUGAUGAUUAUUUUCCACAGCGACAUGCAACGCAGUGUUUCCUCUCCUGUCCUUUUCAUUAAACGUAUCACCUUGAGCCGUGUCUACCAAACAAUGAACUGCGGAUAGAUGGCCAGCGGAUGCAGCUACAUGAAGCGGAAGUUCUCCAUCAUCAAUUUUUUUGCGGACAAGCCCCGGAAAAUUUACGGUAAUUAGUUGGAUAAGCUUCACGUGGCCUGUAUUUGCAGGAAGGUGAAGCACCGUGUUCCCACGGAUGCUUACUUUGUUUUCACUACUUAGGACCAGCGAUACUAUUUGAUCAGGAAUAUUACAUAUAAGUAUUGCACAUGUGGCUCCGGCAAAAUACUUUGUGCGCAUAGCCCAUAUAAACUCUUGACGGAGGCAAAUACACUGUAAAGUUACUCCUGAUUUAGGCAUCGUUGCAUACCUGUGUAGUAUAGGAUCCAUGCGCGUGUCGCCUGCCUCGGUGUGUCCUGCAGCGUUCUCAUGAGCACCCUCCCUCGCCAGUUAUUUGAUCUUCUGGUCUUGAACUCCAGCCAACAUCCUCCAUUGCUAUUUCACCUUGUCUUAAACUUGAAGCAGCCAUUAAUUUGCAGAUUAGCUACAUAGGUGCUUUUCCCACGGAGAAAAUAUGACUCUUGUUUACUGUACGAUUUUUGGAGUCUUGAGUCUCGCACAUUUUGAGGGGGUCCUCCAUAUGGAAGACCACUGUCGCCUUCCAAUGCAAGUUGCGGAACUAUUAUAUAUGACAACGUGGUUGACUGACCUAAAAAACAACAGACUAAUGAUACACUUAAUACAUUUUUUUAUAUAAUAUUUGUAUCAUCUCUUUAAUAGGAGUAGCACCCACCAACACAUGUAGAUCUAUACAAAAGUGAUAUUGACACACCCGAUCCUGAUAUUCUCCCAAACACCAGAGUAGGCACGUGCUAGCCGACACUCAAAGGUGACGAAGCCAUAUUAGAAAGCAUGAGAACAAGAAAGAAAUAAGAUUCAUAAAUUGAAAUAUAAUGAAUAUGCAUUUAAGGAACGUGUUCAGAGCACACAUCUAAUCUAGAACACUAAAAGAAAUAAUAUAAAAAUUGAAUGAACAAAUGAAUGGGUCCUACAUCGAGAGGACUCGAAGAUGUCGAUAUGAAAGUGCCUUGACGCCGGGAUUGUACGCCUCGAUUCUAAGUCCUGAGGGGGCGCAAAACAAACAUGAGUGGACUGAUAGGAUUAAAAGCACACCACAAAGUAGCACACAAAUGUCCUAUUGAUUUUCCUUAUUAACACUAAGAUUUGUCAAUUGUAGCAUAUGAAAAUAAGGGUCUUUCCUGCAGAAGAUUGUUUUAUCUAACUACUUAAAAUGUCACAAAAACUGGUUGUUGUCCCUGCUGUCCCUACUAACAAACUUGCAAUCAUAUCCGGGGCUUCAAAACAGCCCCUAACUACUAAAAAUUUAGUUACACAUUAUUAUCAAAUAAAACCGAAAGAAAGACAUGAGUUUGAGAAGACAAAACCGAGAGAAGGGAAUGCCAAGAUUUCCUCCUUCAUUUCCUUCCUUUCCGCAAAGCUGCCUUGUCCUCUUUCUUUUCUAUUUUUUUUCCUUUCUCUUCUUUUUCCAACGCUGCAACCUGCACCCUUUCCCCUUUUUAACUUGCUGCCCCAUUUUCUUCUCCUUAACUCACCCACUAACAGCCAUUUAGUGAUGGCAAUAAGUGAGAGGAAAUGGUAAAACAAUUGUAACUCUUUGGGUAGCGUUUAUGCCAAUUACUCCCACUUAAUCCUCAUCUUUAUUUUCAUUUCCUCUGAUAUUUGAAUAGGUAUCAACUGGCUUGUUCUUGGCUGCAUCAGUUUUGGCUGCUAGCUUUAUUGGGUUUAUUGCUUUCAUUGUAGUUACAAACUGCCCAGUCUCUUGUGAACCUUUCAGUGUUAAAACAGCCAUAACUUCUUCUACAAAAAUGAUAUUAACAAUCCGCGAAAUGUUCCAACAAAUAGACAUCCGUAGCUUUCCAAGCAUAUAAGGCUCAUUCUCUAAUUCAUUUUGAGUUGUUCACAACUAGCUUCCAAAGUCAGCUGACCUGCACAGACAGUUUUGACGAAUUUGUUACUUAAAAUCCCACUUGUGCUAUUUUUCUUUUCUUUGCUUGACAAAUCCUAGAAAACACAAAAACAAAGUAAAUAGCUCAAAAAUAUAAGGAACUAACUAAGAAAAGACAAGUGAAUUUGAUGUAAAGUAUAUAUAAAUAUGAGUUUAUCAAAUACCCCCACACUUAGCUUUUGCUAGUCCUCGAGCAAAACGAAGAAAAUAUUAAAAAGUAGCAACAUGAAAAACAAUAGCUUCCCCCUAUGUGACCCUCAUAGAAUUUCAUUCAAGAAAACAAAUCAUCAAGACCCUUAGCUAGUACCAAACAAGCUAAUCAAGCUCAUCUUCCUUAUUCAAAUGUUAGCAAUAACCUUUUAAUCAUCCAUGAAGUGUAGUGUGUGUAAUAGUCAUGCUAAUGCAAUUUCAAGUUUUUUUUUAAAACACCACAUGCUAACUAGUGACCUUCUUACGGAACAUACACUCAAUCACACAUAUUUAGUUUAACGUGUUUCGCUCAAAGAAUCAAAUGUGAAAGAUCUACCAUAAGCUUGUAUAAAGAUCUCAUCUCCACAAUCAUAAUUGCAAAACUUAAAUCAAGAGGACUUUUAUUGGUUGUAAUGAGGCUUAGGAAGAGGGUUAUAGAAAUGAAAGGAUAGGUAAACACAAGUUCCAAGCUACAUUGCAAGCAAUUCUCUUGUUGAGAUUUACAAGAACUCAAGCUCUCCAACCACUCUACUAAUACCUCCAACCACACCCCUAAACUGAAACUAAAAAAAAAACUUUUUAUUUACUUUGUAUACUUUUUUUUUCUUUCUUUUUCUUCUUUUUCUUCUUUUUCUUCUUUUUUUUUUAUUUUUUUUAAUUUUGAAUCAAUUUUGCACAUAACUAAAUACAAACAUGAAAUACCCCCACACUUAUUCUUUUUCCAAACUCCUUCAAAGUACUUCACAAACAUUUCUCAUAAGACAAUCUCACAUUGCUCACUAGCCAGCUUGGAAAGGGUAAGGAAAUAUGUUAAAGGUAUAAGGGUAGACAUAUCUGGUGAUAAGAAAUAAAAGGCUCAAUAUAUACGGCUCAAAUUGGCAAUCUAAUGAUAUCAUUUCUCUUUAGGAAACAUGCUUAUUUGGGUCAUGGUGAUAAACCUAAUGCCUCUACCUUUUCAAGUUCAUGCAAUCAAAUGACAAACAUUUCAAAAGAUCGUUACGCAAGUUCUAGAGAUGUAAGUCACAUAAGUUCAUCACACAUGAAAGAAUAUGAGUGUAUGAAAAAUGCACACUUUCAAUAGGCUCAAAAACUCACAUAGGUUGUAUAUGGUCACUAUAUUCACAUGUGAAGCUUUAAGUCAUACUUUAGUUUCACAUCAACAAGGCUAUGUGGAUUUGGUUUUUCACAGAUGAUUAAACAUGUACAAGGCCAACAAGAGAAUAAGGAAUUUAACAUAACACAUGCUUACUAAGUUCUUGAUCACUGUUGUUCAAAUUCAAUCCAAUUAUAUCAUUGGGUCAGGAAACUAACAAAAAUCUAAUUCAAAACAAUAAAGAAAAUAAGACUAUUUUUUAAUUUUCAAAUUUUCUGAAUGUUUUUGUGUUUUUGUUUAGAGUAAAUAAAACUAACUAAGAAAACAAAAAGAAACAACACGAAAACAAAUCAAACCAGUUCAAAUUUUCAAUUUGGUCAUUUUUUUUCAAUCCUUACCCCCAAACUUAAACUAGACAUUGUCCCCAAUGUCAAAAAAACACAAUAAUUAAAGAUAAAAUAAAAUAGUAAAAAAAACAAAAUAAAGCAUUUGGACUAAAAACUUCCCCAAUUUGCAGUAAAAUCAAGCGAUGACCCCCAAAUUCCAAUUCUGCAAUCAACUCCAAUGGUAGGCACGAUCAAAUUUUCCUACAAAGAAAAGAAAUAAGUCAGUUUAGCAUGCAAGAAAAUUCAGAAAACAAAAACAAAUGGAAAAUUGAAAAUGACAUAAAAAGACAAUGAAUAGAAAUAUUGGGUUGUCUCCCAAUAAGCGCUUGCUUUUACGUCCGCAGCCAGACGGUGCCAAGAGUAAUCAUCCAAGGGGAGAUGGUUCUUGGAGGGGUACAACCUCCACAUCAUGCUCCGCAAAAGACUCGUAAUAUGGCUUGAGUCUAUGUCCAUUCACUUUGAACACAUUUUCGGUCUUUGCACUUUGGAUUUCCACUGCAUCAUGAGGAAAAAUAUUAGUUACAACAAAUGGACCAACCUAUUGAGAACGAAGCUUACCUGGAAAUAACCGAAGGUGAGAAUUAAAUAGAAGAACUUUUUGUCCAAUGGAAAAGCUCUUCCUUGAUAUCAUCUUGUCAUGAAAUGCCAUUGAUUUCUCCUUGUAUAUUCGACUAGACUCGUAUGCAUCAUUCCGAAUUUCGUCUAACUCAUUCAAUUGGAGCUUUCUAUGCUAUCCGGCAACACUCAUGUCCAUGUUGUAGGCUUUGAUCGCCCAAUAAGCUUUGUGUUCUAACUCUACUGGAAGACGACAUGAUUUCCCAUAAACUAACCGAAAUGGGGACAUUCCAAUAGGAGUCUUAUAGGCAGUCAUAUACGCCCACAAUGCAUCUUUUAAGCGCAUGCUCCAAUCUUUCCUACUAGGACUCACAGUUUUCUCCACAAUUUGCUUCACCUCACGGUUUGAUACAUCUGCUUGACCACUAGUUUGUAGAUGAUAAGGUGUAGACACCUUAUGUGUGACAUUGUACUUCCGAAGCAACGCUUCAAAUGUUCUAUUGCAAAAAUGACUCCCUCCAUCGCUGAUGAUUGCUCUAGGUAUUCCAAAUCUUGCAAAGAUGUUACUCUUAAUAAAAUCUGAAACAACUUUUGAAUCAUUAGUUUUGGUGGCUUUUGCUUCCACCCAUUUAGAAACAUAAUCCACAACCAAUAAAAUGUAAAGAAAACCAUUAGAAGAUGGAAAAGGUCCCAUGAAAUCAAUUCCCCACACAUCAAAGAUCUCAACAAUCAAAAUAGGGGUUUGUGGCAUUUGAUUUCUUAGGCCCAAGUUACCUGUUCGUUGACAACGAUCACAUGUUUCACAAAACUCGUACGCAUCCUUAAACAAACUAGGCCAAUAAAAACCACUCUCUAACACCUUAAGAGUUGUCAUCUUUGCUCCAAUAUGGUCUCCACAUGCAUAAGAAUGACAAAAAGUUAGAAUAGAUUUAAACUCAGAUUCGGGGACACACCUUCUAAUCAAUUGAUCAGGGCAAUAUUUCCACAAAUAAGGAUCAUCCCACUCGUAAUAUUUGGCGAUUUUGACAAGCUUAUCUUUCUGAGCACGUGUAAAAUCAUCCGGAAUCUUUGUGGUGACCUUGUAAUUGAUAAUAUCUGCAUACCAAGGGUUAGUAGCCUUUAAUGAAAACAAUUGCUCAUCCGGAAAACUCUCAUGUAAAGGGAUGAGAUCUUCCUCUGUGUUUGAAUGCACAAGUUUGCUAAGAUGAUCUGCUACAACAUUCUCACUUCCUUUCUUAUCCUUGAUCUCCAAGUUAAACUCUUGAAGUAGAAGUAUCCAUCGAAUGAGUCGCGGUUUUGUAUCUUUUUUUAUGAGUAGAUACUUCAAAGCUGCAUAGUCAGAAAACACAAUAACUUUAGUCCCAAUCAGAUAAGAUCUAAAUUUUUCUAAAGCAAAUACACAGCUAAAAGCCCCUUCUCUGUUGUUGAAUAAUUCAACUAUGCAUCAUUGAGUGUUCGAGAUGCAUAGUAGAUGACAUGUGGCACUUUGUUGACACGCUGCCCUAGAACUGCACCGACGACAUAGUCUGAAGCAUCACACAUCAACUCAAAAGGUAAACUCCAAUCUGAUGGUAUGAUCACAGGAGCCGUGGAUAACAAAUCCUUACGCUUGCUGAAUGCUACCACACACUCUUCAUUCAUAUCAAAUGUUACAUCUUUUUGAAGCAAACGGCAUAAAGGUCUAGAAAUCAUUGAGAAGUCCUUCAUAAACCUACGGUAAAAACCUGCAUGUCUAAGAAAAGAACGAACCUCCCUGAUAGUAGUAGGGAGGGGUAAAGAACUAACAAGUUCUACUUUAGAUUUAUCAACUUCAAUUCCAUUUUCAGAUAUGACAUGCCCUAGAACUAAUCCAUGUGAAACCAUGAAAUGACAUUUUUCCCAAUUUAAGACUAGGUUAGUUUCUUGGCAACGUUUUAAAACUAGAGACAAAUUAGGUAGACAUGUAUCAAAAGAAUCACCAUAAACUAAAAAAUCAUCCAUGAACACUUCAAUUAUUUUCUCAAUCAUAUCAGAAAAGAUACUUACCAUACACCUUUGAAAUGUGGCGAGAGCGUUGCAAAGUCCAAACGACAUCCUCCGGUAUGCAAAUGUGCCAAAUGGACAUGUGAAAGUCGUCUUUUCUUGAUCCUCUAGAGCAACUGCAAUUUGAUUAUAUCCAGAAUAGCCAUCAAGAAAACAAUAAUGAGAAUGACCAGCUAACCUUUCUAACAUUUGAUCAAUGAAUGGGACUGGAAAAUGAUCCUUGCGUGUGUGUUGUUUAUCUUUCAAUAGUCUGUACAAACUCUCCAACUAUUUUGCACACAUGUAGGCACUAGCUCAUUAGCUUCAUUCUUAACAAUUAUGACUCCGGAUCGUUUCGGAACUACUUGAAUAGGACUCACCCACUUGUUGUCCGAGAUAGGAUAUAUGAUGCCAACAUCAAGAAGUUUGAUAACCUCUUUCUUGACAACCUCCAUCAUAAGUGGGUUCAAACAGCGUUGAGCUUCCCUUGUUGGUUUUGCACCUUCCUCCAACAGAAUCCUAUGUAUACAUGUAGCUGCAUUUAUACCUUUGAUAUCUGCAAUACUCCAAGCUAUGGCAGUUUUGUGAUCCUUCAAUACCCGAAUCAGUUUCUCCUUCUCUUCUGCUGUGAGUUGUGAUGAUAUGAUGACCGGUAAUGUUUCAUCCUCUCCUAAAAAUGCAUACUUCAAAUGUUUAGGAAUCGGUUUAAGCUCCAAUUUGGGUGCCUGAGUCCCAGAAGGAAGAGUUUUUUCGUUAGAAGUAGGAAGAGAAAUAAAAUAAGAAAAAGACUUACCACGAAUUGGUGAAAGAGACUCAAGAACGGCCACUGUUUGGAUUAAUUCUUCUUCAGUGUGCUCUGAAUAAUUAAAAUUUCCAUGUGUAAUGCUAUGCACUAAUGUCUUCUCUAAAUUAUCUUGUCCCACACCUUCAUUAAAACAAUCCUACACAAAAUAGUCAAACACAUCAAUAGACAAAUAAGAUUCAAAAUCACUAGGGUACCUCAUAGCAUUGAAGAUUCUAAACUUGACGCAUUCCCCAUCAAUUUCCAUGGUUAAGGUACCAUCGUAGACAUCAAUCUUCGUACGUGCUGUUCUAAGGAAUGGUCUUCCCAAUAUAAGAGGAAGUGCAGUAGGCAUAGGGUCAUGUUCCAUCUCAAGAACAAAAAAGUCAGCGGGAAAAAUGAGCUCAUUCACCUGCACAAGUACAUCGUCCAAUAGGCCUUUAGGAUAUCUAUUUGAACGAUCUGCCAACUGGAUUACUACCUUUGUUUCCUUCAAGUCUCCAAGGUUCAAUGAUUCAUACAUUGAAUAUGGCAUCAAAUUGAUGGAUGCACCCAAAUCACACGAUACUUUCCCAAACUUUUUCCCUCCGAUUACACAUGGAAUGGUAAAGCUACCAGUAUCUUUCAACUUCGGUGGCUGCUUCCUCUGCAAAAUAGCUGAUACUUCCUCGCUUAAUGCCACAGUUUCUUGAUCAUAGAAUCUCCUCUUGUUCGUACAAAGCUCUUUAAGGAACUUUGAAUACUUGGGCACUUGUUUUAUGGCAUCUAAAAGAGGUAAAUUCACUUGGACUUUCCGGAAAGUAUCCAAGAUUUCCUUAUCAGUUUGCUCUUUCUUAGACUUCAUAAACCUAAGAGGAAAAGGAAUAGGGACACAUAAGUUAAAUGAAUUUUGAACUUCUUUACUUACCUUAUCAGAAUCUUUUGUGUUCAAUUUUGUAGCUUUAUGAGACUUUUCAGUUUCUGUUGAAGCCUCAUCUUGCUCAAGAUUCUUGGUUUGUAGCUCCCCUUGCUCAUUUGUAUAUUUUCUAGUUCUCUUUUGCAUCCUUGACUACUCAAAAACUUCUUUUCCACUCCUUAAAGUCACAACAUUCAUCUGCUCUGCAUUUGGAUUCACCACGGUCUGGCUAGGCAACCUUCCUGGUUGGUGUUGUUGCCCCAUCAAACUUGCUAACUGACUCAUUUGGCACUCAAGGUUUUCAAUUGCUUUGUCUGUUUUCUGUUGAUGAGAUUGAGUAGAGUUAGCUAAAGAAGUAAUUAAAUCCUCAAGAGACUUACUUGGAGCUUGUUGUUGUUGAGGCUGAAAUGGUCCCUGCGGUCUUGCUUGAAAGAAGCUAGGUAGACGGUUAUAGUUGUUGGGAACAGAUUGUUAUUCGUUGUCUUGAUUGUUCCACUUUAAGUGUGGAUAAUCUCGCCACCCCGCAUUAUAGUUGUUGGAGUAUAGAUCAUACUUUUGCCUUUGUUGCCCCUGAAACCCUUAUAACGCAUUAGCUUGCUCAAGACCACCUUGAUCCAUCAAUGAAGGGCACAUGUUCGUGGCAUGUCCCGUCAUUGAACAUACACCGCACACCUGUUUUGGAGCCACCAUAACCUGUUACACAAGAUUAGUCAAGUUAGCUAAUUGUAAUUCAAUACUAGAAUUAACACUUACCUCAUUAACUUUCUUAAGAGGUAGCUCAUCUCUCCCUCCAAAUUGUCGUGUAUUGCCAACAAUGUUCUUUAAUAAUGCCUUAGCAUUUGUUGGUGUCUUGUCCAUGAAUGCUCCUCCACUUGCUGCAUCAAGCAUUACACAAUCAGUACCACACAAUCCUUCAUAAAAAUACUGUAUUAAAAGAUGUUAUGAAAUUUGAUGAUUAGGACAAGAUGCCACCAAAUGUGUGAAUCGCUCAUAGUAAUCUCCAAAGGGUUCUCCAUGUUGUUGUCGGAUUGCACAUAUGUCCUUCCUUAUGCUUGCAGCUUUUGUGGUUUGAAAAUAUUGCUCCAAGAAUGAUUACUUCACCUGGUUCCAUGUGUUCAUUGAUCCCGGAGGUAAAUUGUAAAGCCACUCUUUUGCCUUAGCUUCUAAUGUAAAUGGGAAUGCCCUCAACUUGACUUGCUCCUCAUCAACAUUUGUGGUCUCAUUCCCGAGUAUACCACUUGAAACUCCAUGAGAUACUUGUUGGCAUCCUCUGUUGAGAAGCCACGGAACUUAGGCAAGUAGUGAAUCAUGCCGGACUUGAGCUCAAAUCCUCCUUCUACAUUUGGAUAUGUGAUGCACAAUGGUUGUUCAUCUGUAUUUGGCGUUGCCAAUUCCCUCAAAGUACGGUUAUCAGCCAUGCCUUCUUGUGGUUCUUCCUCCUCUUCCGAACUCAAAUGUGGUGCAGAAGAUGGUGGUAAAGACACCGAUGCAUGCUCAGGAUCGUAGGAAGCAAUUCCCUCAAAGUUCGUUCAAGCUCAGAAUCGUAGGAAGCAAGAUCAAUGCUCUUGGACCUUCGAGUAUGCAAAUACUACGAAUAGUACCUGAAAUAAAAACAAAAACAAAACACUAAUUAGGCAAGAAAAGAAAACAAUAGAAAAUUAGUAAUUAGAAAUAACAAUCCCCGGGGACACAACGCCAAAAAUUUGAUAGGAUUAAAAGCACACUACAAAGUAGCACACAAAUGUCCUAUUGAUUUUCCUUAUUAACACUAAGAUUUGUCAAUUGUAGCAUAUGAAAAUAAGGGUCUUUCCCGCAGAAGAUUGUUUUAUCUAACUACUUAAAAUGUCACAAAAACUGGUUGCUGUCCCUACUGACCAGCCACCAAAAAAUAAUUAUUAGACCGACUUACAAUUAUCUAAAUUCUACAAAAUUUUAUAUAAAGACACUAGACACACAAAGCUACACUUCUACAAUUUUUUGGGAUUUUUGGAGUUGAUUUGCUAAUUAAAUUGAACAAAAACAGGACAAAAACAAAUUUUAAGUAGUUCACAAAUUAAGAAAAACGAGUUAGGGGAAUUGCUAUCCACCACCAAAUAAUCAUGCAAACAUGUUAUGUUUCAUUCAAUCCGGAUGAAGAUGCUCAAGUUGGCUCAAUGUUAGAACUCAACCUAUUACUCUUUCUUAUGUAGUAUGUUAAAAGAAUGACGCUUUCAACUUAACUUAGUCCCUAGCAUGCAAUCUAGAAUGGCGUGUUCAUAGAUUUAACAAGUAGAAAUCAUUAAGAAUGAAAAGAGUUUGAGUCAUCACAAGACAUCGUAAGUACUGGCGUUGUCUUACUUAUCCUAAAAAUUGGUUCACAUGUUAAUUGCAAUUAACAAGUACUACUCUAGAACAUAUGUAGGUCCUCAUUCGACAAGGGCAGGCACACACAUAUUCAUAGCGUUAGAAUCCUAGAUAUGCUUACUAAGUAUGCAUCCGUAGAAAACACAUAAAGAAUUCAUCAAUGAGACAAGUAGUGAAUCAAUUUUCAUCCAUUCAUAAAAGUAAUUCAAACAAAAUGUCAUAACAAACUUGCAAUCAUAUUCGGGGCUUCAAAACAGCCCCUAACUACUAAAAAUUUAGUUACACAUUAUUAUCAAAUAAAACCGAAAGAAAGACAUGAGUUUGAGAAGAUAAAACUGAGAGAAGAGAAUGCCAAGAUUUCCUCCUUCCUUUCCUUCCUUUCCGCAAAGCUGCCUUGUCCUCUUUCUUUUCUAUUUUUUUUUCCUUUCUCUUCUUUUUCCAACCCUGCAACCUGCACCCUUUCCCCUUUUUAACUUGCUGCCCCAUUUUCUUCUCCUUAACUCACCCACUAACAGCCAUUUAGUGAUGGCAAUAAGUGAGAUGAAAUGGUAAAACAAUUGUAACUCUUUAGGUAGCCUUUAUGCCAAUUACUCCCACUUAAUCCUCAUAUUUAUUUUCAUUUCCUCUGAUAUUUGAAUAAGUAUCAACUAGCUUGUUCUUGGCUGCAUCAGGUUUGGCUGCUAACUUUAUUGGGUUUUAUUGCUUUCAUUGCAGUUACAAACUGCCCAGUCUCUUGUGAACCUUUCAGUGUUAAAACGACCAUAACUUCUUCUACAAAAAAUGAUAUUAACAAUCCGUGAAAUGCUCCAGAAAAUAGACAUCCGUAGCUUUCUAAGCAUAUAAGGCUCAUUCUCUAAUUCAUUUUGAGCUGUUCACAACUUGCUUCCAAAGUCAGCUGACCUGCACAGGCAGUUUUGAUGAAUUUGUUACUUAAAAUCCCACUUGUGCUAUUUUUCUUUUCUUUGCUUGACAAAUCCUAGAAAACACAAAAACAAAGUAAAUAGCUCAAAAAUAUAAGGAACUAGCUAAGAAAAGACAAGUGAAUUUGAUGUAAAGUAUAUAUAAAUAUGAGCUUAUCAUGGACCAAGUUGAUAUAUAAUAAUAAUAAAACAGUUAUUCAACAUACUAACCCCUAAAGUUUAUGAAAAUUCAAUAGUAUAAUAUGUAAUAGGUUUUCUGAAAACCCUAGCAUGCCAUAAAACCUUCAUAAAACAUAUAUCAUAUCGUGUGCUAAAUAGUGGUAUCAUAUAUCAGUGUCAUACGGCCAAAGCCACCAACCUACGCCCGACCGAAGCCACCAACCUACGCCCGGCCAAAGCCAUUAUAAGUAUCAUCACUCGCAGGCAGAACAGUGACUACUAGAUACGCAUAAAACAUUGAAUAUAAUCUUUCCAACAUAUGCGUGUGUGUGUGUAUAUAUAUAUAUAUAUCUCUCUCAAAAACAUCUUCAUAGUAUAAAGUCAUUCAUCAUUUAUACUACAAAGAACGCGAGUUCGAUAAAAUAUGGUAAUUCAAAAUAUUUUUAGUAAGCAUAAUAUCUCAUAAAACGUAAUCAUUAAAUCUUGCUUUUCAUGUAUGCAUUUCUAAUAUUAAAACAUGCAUUUUAGAAGGGGUCCACUCACAUAUACUUCGCCGUCGGAAAGCCACGCAAACUAGCGAAGACGGAAACACCACAAUAGAUGCCCCUAAGCACAUAAAAGGUCCAAUUAAUAAAACUCUAUUAAAACGAUUGAAUUUGGGAAAACAGACAUCAAAAACGGAUUCAGAACGUCGAAUUAACUUAAAAAGGGUCUCGGGUAAAUUUCGAAGAGUCAACACAAAGAAUAGUCCCUAAAGGAAUAUUCCAUCAGUUGGGCUGAUGGGUUUGGGCUGAAAGGUCCUAGGCCCAAAGGCUUGGGUUAUAAGGGUUCAUGGGUUUUGGAUCAAAGGGAAACGGGCUGGCUCCCUUAAGUUUGCAGACAUGGGCCUGGGCUUGAAAGCCUAGCCCUUACAAAAUAAAAUAAGAUAAAAACGGUUGGGCUUAGGGGUUUAGCGGGCCAAAGGCCAAAUGUUGGUCAUGACCCGAAGGGCUUGGUCUCAUUGGUUUGGGCUUGAAAGCCCGUGUCUCGCCAGGGAAGAAGGCCGAAAAACAACUGGGGAUUCCUUGAUCUCCAAUUGAGCUUGAUACUCAACCAAAACAUGCAAUCAAUAUACCAAUUUAAAGCCCGUACAAUAAGGAAUCGAGUUAUACCUAUCUCGUGGCCUGCCGUGGCCGCGUUUGGCCGAAAAGCCUUGGUUUUGUCACCAGAAAUAUGGGAAACAUGUCUUAGUCGUUUCUACGUCUUACAGUCAUAAAAAAUGACUCAAAACGUCCCUAAACUCACAAACAACACUAACCAAGAGGUACAAAGGGCUUACCUACGUUGAGGAUAAAAGAUUAUGGUCGGAGUUUGAUGAGAGAUGAAGAUAACAAUGGUCUCUGCCACUGUGGUGCACUACGGACCUAUCCUGGGUUCGAGGUCUUGCUUGGGAGGAUCCUCGGGUGUGUGUGUGUGUGUGUGUGUGUGUUUCAGAAAGGGGAGGGAUAACGCAGAAAAGGAGAGAGUUGCCGAGAGAGUUGCAGAGAGAGUUUCGGGGGAGAGAGUGAAGAGAGAACCGGGAUAGAGAAGGGAGAAAAAGUGGGAAGGAGAGAGGUGCCACUUAGCAAGCGGGGAAUAUGGGAACUGGGGACACAAAUCAGGGGGUGGGCCCCUUGGGCUCACCAUUUAAGACCAAAAAUAAUAUUUUAAACAACCCAAAUGAAAAAUACGAUAAUACCAAUUUCCUUUUGUAAGCUUCGGGACAAGUUGUUACAAUCCACCUCAAUUAAAUGAAAUUUCGUCUUGAAAUUUAAAAUAACUUGGUACACUAAAAACUCAAAAAUAGGGAGAAAAAAAAAAUAUAUAUAUAUAUACGUAACAAAGAAAUCAAGUCAGAGUGGUUGCACAAAAGGAAAAAUGUCACAUCGUCGCGAUCGGGUUGCAAUGAUUCCAUCUUUCGUGCCUCCAAGCUCGUACCUUUUUCCCCCAUCAGUGUAAAAGUAUAAGCAUACUUUAUAAAGAUAUAAAAUCAAAAACAUAUAAUAACGUAUGGUAAAAAAUAUGUACGUAAAAUACGAUAAUGUCAAAAUAGAUAUGUACUAACAUAUAGGUCGAAAACUCGUGCUAAACUUAAAACUGAAAAUGGAAAAGACUGCCCCAAACAUUUGUAACCUCGAAAAUAAGUUAAAACUAUAAUAAGGUAAUUUAAAAUACUUUUACUGAAAACCAAAACCGAAUAUGAAAGUAGGUCUCGCCCACGCAUACAUAACGUCACGUACUCCGACAAAAUGUGUCUUUGGGUCAAGCCCCAACAAUAGCAAAUCCGUAACAACUGUCGUAGAAGGGUCUUCCUACCUACUUGCUUAAUGAACCCAACAAAUAAGUUAUCUAUACAACAGUCGGCCACCCGCGAUAUCGACCACACAUUUGUUGUCUCGAUAAGCAAACAGUAAUUUCCCAAGGGUGCACAAUUUACCAUAUCGUAAAUUCGAUCCUCCGAAUACAAGUUCGCAAAAGUCCUCUGUCAACCAGUGUUGCUUGUAGAAACUCUUGUACCAUGUUGCAAAAAGUGCCAUACCCAAACCGAACAAAACAAAAAUGAUCAUCGUAAAAACUUCAUCCAGUACCAAGCACCCUAUCCUCAUCAGUUCUUCCAAAAGUGACCAACUACUCUAGUGUUUUGCUAACAAAGAACCCAUUUGAAAAAUGUACCUUAGGAUUCAAGAGAAGUGGCUACCAUAUUAAUAGUAGACCCAAAAGCUCAAACCAAGCAAGUAGAAAACGAGAAGUCACCUUCCCCAACAAGCAGUAUCUCUUGGGAGCUGUUAUAGUGCUCAAACCAGCUCACCAUUUUUGCUUAGUUGCAUAUUUCUAGUCAAACAAGGUCAAUGUUGGUGGAAAGAAGAAAAGACUCGCAAAUGAUCAACCUAAAAUCCCCAUGAGAGCACACACACCAUUUGAGAAGAGUGUAAAUUUAAAUGUGCUUAAACCACAAGACAAGUGAACACAAAGUGUCCCUCCAGGUCUAGAUAGUUCGUGGAUGAUACCCUAAAAAAUAUUGAGGCAAUGAACUUAUAUAUAUAUCGUUGGGAAGGAACUACUAGAUUACGAUAUGAUGUCUAUGAAUUGUAGCAAGAUAAUAUGAGGUGGCUAUUCAUUUCUGCAUGAAGAUAGUGAUAGGUGAUGCAAUCCGCUGACCAUCCGCACUACAAUCUUCAUCAAUCUCUUACUAAAAGACGACUCAAACCUCAUGGCCAUAAGAAACUCUUCUUGAUAAGUCUGGUAAGCUUGUGAAAAUAUUAUGCUUUUAACGUUCCUGUCCGAAAUGAUAUGAACUGGGCGCACACUUCAGCCGAGUUGAUCCCUCGUGAAUUCCUUACGAAUUGAGCGAGAAACCAUGUCGAGAAGGCUAAAAGAACACUCAAGAAUUUGAGGGUCAAAACAAGUCCAAGGAUGUUUCGUAAUUUCAUGACACCUUGUAAAGAUUUUCAAUUGCCAAUGGUCACAAACCUUUUGGAAAUUGAUGAGAAUAUCGUCUGCUACCAAAGAGUUGUACUGAUUCUGCAAAAUGGUCGAAGCCGAGUUGUACUGAUUCUACAAAAAUGAUUGAGGACGGAUUGAACUGAUUCUGCAAAAAUGAUUGAAGAGUGAUUGAACUGAUUAUACAAAAAUGGUUGAAGACAGGUUGAACUGACUCUGAGAAAAUGGUCGAAGACGGGUUGAACUGAUUCUGCAAAAAUUAUUGUCGAAUGAUUUAACUUAUUCUCCAAAAAUAGUCGAAUACGGGUUUAACUGAUUCUGCAAAAAUGAUCGAAGAUAAGUUAAACUGAUUCUGCAGAAAUGGUUGAGAACUGAUUAAACUGAUUCUGCAUAAAUGAUUGAGGACUGAUUGAACUGAUUCUGCAAAAAUAGUUGAAGGCAGGUUGAACUGAUUUUGCAAAAAUGGUCGAAGACGAGUUGAACUGAUUAUGCAGAAAUGGUUGAGGACUGAUUGAACUAAUUUUGAAAAAUGGUUGAAGACGGGUUGAACUGAUUUUGCAAAAUAGUUGAUGAUGGGUUGAACUGAUUCUACAAAAAUGGUCGAAGACUAAUCAUUGAACUGAUUCUACAAAAGUGGUCGAUGAUAAGUUAAAAUGAUUCUAGUAAUAAAGGAUAGAAACAAAUUCUACAUAUAAUUUCAAAACUGAUUCUGCAUAAAUAGUUAAUGAUGAGUUGAGCUAAUGACACAUUAAUUUUGUUGGAGUUGUGAAUGUUAGAUUCUAUUAACAAUCAUAAAGCCUUAGAAGUAUGGCUGAUAUUUUAAAACAUUGUUUUCAUGUUUUUUAGGCAAGACUUUAGUUGUUUUUAUAUUUUUGUCUCUCAUUGAUAUGUUAUAAAACUAGUGGAGUUCCUUGAAAUAUAGUGAAAUUUUUUAUCUCUAUAUAUGAAGCUCCCUUAUAAUUAAUGAUUUAAAAUAAUUUUUUUGAAAAAUUAGUUUACGUGGGGUGGUGAUUUUUGAAUUUUUUUCAUUUCAAAUUAUUUUACUAUUUUGCCCCUUCUUCAUUGAGUUGUCUUAUUUCAGUGAUGGAUGUAAGGAUGGGCAUUUUUUAAUACUAUUGUACAAACUUUGCUUUUCCUUAAAUAAUUUUUUUUUCUCAUAUUAUAUUAAUACUAAACCUCUUACCACAUGCUAAUGCGUAGGACAAUUUGUUCUUUUACAUUUAGUUUUUACUAGCUAGAGUGCCCGUGCGGUGCUACGGUGUUGUGUCUUGCUGCUGUACAAUUUACAAUAAGAAACAAUGAGUAGUGUUAAACUUCAUUAAUGUAAUGGGUCUGUUUUUAUUUCUCUUAGUGUCAUUGGCUGAAAUUAGGAGAAAUAUAAAAAAAAAUUUUGAAAUUGUCUAUUAUGAAGCAAAGGAAUCCAAUCGAAAUUAUACAUGUGCAUUUCAGUGGAAUCAAAUCAAAUUUAAUAAUAAUAAUAGAUGAUGUAUUACCUAUGAGGAAAAGGAGUUGGUAAAAUCAUUUCUCAAAUUAGGAAACCCAUGGCUCCAUCAUAGAGAAAAAUGUUAACAUUGAGAAAAGGUAAAAAAAUAUAUAAAAAAAAUUAAAAAAAAAUAUCUCGAAAGGAAACUGAGAUGAGGGAUUACAUUGACUGGAAACCACAAAUACCAAGCAAAGGAAAAAUGAUCAGCUACACCAAAUGACAACAUUUUGAUCCUUCAAAGUGUCAACUGAAAACAUAAAAAACCCAAUUAAAUGAAGGGAUCUACAUGUUAAGACAACGAAAAAAAAAAGUAGAUCAAAGCUAGAAAGUAUCAAACUUUACAACUUCGCUAAAAAGCAUAUAUUACUACAAAAGUACCUAUUUUUCGCAUUAAUGAAAAACGAUACAAUAUUAUUUCUUAUUUUUCAAAGAAUUUUAAACCUAGAAAUUGCCAUAUCUAGGUUUUCUUUUAUUCCAAAUUUAUUUAAGAAGCUCUGGUCAAAUCUCGGACAAAAUUGGGCAAUUCAAACAAAAUCCACACAAUGUAGAGAAUGGUUUGGGAGUGAGGUGCUUAAAAAAAAAAACCCAUGAAAAAAAACUGUGAGGGUUUUAGGUGUUUGGUAAACUAAAAAAAAAAAGCUUAUUUUGGAAGCUGCUGUGAGAAUAAGCUGAAAUCAAAGGAAAAAACUGAAGCUGCUAUUUGCAGCUUUGGAAAAUUGGCUUUUUUUCAAAGCACACAGAGCUACAGUGCUCCUUUAAUGAAAAUACCCACUAUCAGACUGCUUUUUUUUCCAAAGCACUUUUACAAAAAAGUUUACCAAACACUCUGCUAAUUUAUUUCACAACCGCUUAUUCUCACAGCACAGCCGCUUAUUCUCACAGCAGCUUUUUUUCAAAGCAGAGCAAUACCAAAUCAGCCCGUAGUCAUUACAAUCCUGAGGACCAACAUUUGAAAAAUUCAAAUAAAUUCACUGAUAAGGUACUUAAAAAAUAUAUAUAUAUAUAUAUGAGAUGAUAGAAUAACAAACUUUCUAGGUAAGAUCGCUUGAAUAUUGCGAGUCCAGAUGGAAUAGAAGGCGUUUCUGCUCAAAACUUUUCAAAUCAAGCUUUUAAAUAGUUCUAUUGGCGUACAGCGUAUUCUUCCAACCUGUAAUAGUCUCUGGCAUGAGAACACCAAGUUUUAUCAUGCAAACAACGCUAGCCUCCUAUUUCUUAUUAGGAAUGUGACCAGACAGUUUCUAAAGUAAGCGGGCACACAUUUUCCCCUAGAUUUUUCAAGGUUAAAAUGGUAUUGUAAUUUCAAAUUUAAAUUUCAUUUUGUCACAAUAUUAUAGCUGAUAAUCUUGUUUAAUUUAUUAUGCGUACAAUACAAUUUGUACACAACUAUAUUACAAACGAAACAAACAUAAACACUGAAAGAGAAAUCUUUUUUUUUAUAGCAGAGGAAGAAAUAAUUGCCUACUAAAAAACUUGGAGUGAGAAUCAGUGGAUAAAUUACAAAUCUAAUGGAUUUUUUAAAUAUAUAACUGAUAGUUUCAAACGGCAAGCAGAAGUAAAUGACCUGAGAUCGCAGAUGCUCCAGUAGUUUCAAACGGCAAGCAGAUUGUUUGAGGGUGUGAACACAGAUAGCGAUGGAGAGGAAGAGAAGUGGGGUCCAAUGUUUGAGGACUGCGAUAUUACGAUAUACCAAAUAAUCUUUUUAUUUAUUUUUAAAUGAUUAGAUUAGGUUUUCAAAAACAAAUUCAUACACUAAAAGAUAAUGACAUUUCAACUUUGUAACACAUGCUGAAAUCAUUUUUAUCAUACAUGGAAGACCAGAUUACCAUUAUGCUAAAAAAGAUCCACAAAUGGCAAGCAAUUCAGAUUUGGAAAGGAAAAGGGGUGUGCUAUCCACACAUCCCUUUUUACUUCUCACACACUCCUUGUUAAUUUUUAUCCAUAGAUCUUCUUCAAUUCAUCCGAUCCGACGGCCGAAAAUCAAAAAGAUGUGAGACAAGUAAAAAGGGGUGUGUGGAUAUCACACCCCAAGGAAAAAAGUACAAAUUCAUUCAAACAAAGAAAGCAGUAAUUGCAAAAGAAAAGAAAGAUAGUAGACCAAUGGUUUAUGGUGAUAAUCAUUAUGAAGAAAAGAAAUUGUUGGUUAUCAAUGUUGUGACACCCAUUGAUAAGAUUCUUUUGAGAGCUUUCAUAGUUGUUAAACCAAUUUGACUUUUGUUGUUGAGAAGGGUGCUUUCUGUAUGAAGAAAACAAAAUAUGAAGUUGGUUAUAAGCUUAAUGCACAAUACAAUGAUAUGUAUCACCAAAUGAGAAUACAAAACGUUUGUUCAUCUCAAUCAAAUUUUGUGAUUAAAUUAAAACAAAUGAAAAGAGAAAAACCCAAAAAAAAGACAUUAACAAUGAGAAACAUGACACGCCCCAAUCCAGAUAUCCAAAUGACACCUGGAUGGCACGUGUUGGCCAACACUCGAAGUGACGAAGCUAUAAAUAUGUGAAAAUGCAAGUAUAAAAAAGGGAACAUGAAAUUCGAGAAUCAUAUAACAAACAACAAUCAUAGGGAAAAAUACCAACGCAAGAAAGGCAAUCAUAACAUUCCAAAAUAAACAUGAAUGAAAGCGAUGUCCGAUGGUUUCAAUAUCCAAAAUAAAAGAUGCACGAGUAUGUCCAAUGUUCAGAGCAUAUUACAAAACGAACGGCAACGCAAGAAAGGCAAUAAUAACAUUUCAAAAUAAACAUGAAUGAAAGCAAUGUCUGAUGGUUUCAAUAUCCAAAAUAAAAGAUGCACAAGUAUGUCCAGAGCAUAUUACAAAAUGAACGGCUAACGAAAUGAAAGACAAUGAGUUACAGUCAAUCAGAAGGAAGCCAUACGCAAGUAGAAUGACAAGAAAUCACUGAUAGGGAAAUGCCUCGAUGCUCGAGUCUAGUGGCGGAUCCAGGAUUUUAAAUUCGGGAGAUCCCAAUAAUAAAGGUCAAAAAAUUUAUACACAAAAACAACAUUGAAAACUUAAAUAUAAUACAUUUCAUUCAAAAAUCAUAUGCAAAACAAUAUUACAAAUUAUAAAAUCAUAAUUCAAGGGUCCAUUACGAGGUUUCAUAAGUUACUAGGGAAUACCUAAAUUAUUGAUUAUCUAAUAUGGACCACUAAAUUUAAAACACCGGUAAAAUAAAACUGUCCCCAAACUCCCACUAUCUUUCUAACCAAACACACCAUUUUUCUCUUUUACUAGUUUCCAAACAUCCACUUUCUCUCUCACUAAGAACACAGUUGUCAUACCUCCACCAACCGCCUCCCUCCCCAUUCUCCCGAAGCCAUGGCAGCUCCACCCCCAUAUUUCACCAACCCAUGACAGAUCAUAUCCAUCUUACUAACCUUAUGUAGGAAAUUUCACCCAUAAGAAAAAAUACUAAGGUGGUUGAAAUAAUUUGGGGAAAUUUGGGCUUAUGUACUGCCCUGCCAGAUGACAGAGAAAGGUUGGAGGAGAAGUGGGUGGCACUGAUGGAUGAGACCAUGGCAGAAGCAAGGAGGAGAGAGGCUGGAAGGAUCCCUAUUUUCUUUCUUCUACGUGCACGGUCAUCUUCUCCAAGAAGAAGACAGCCACUGCAACCUACAACCUGCACAGACCUCAUGCUCGAGUACGAGGGGUCCCCGAAAAAUUUCUAGCAGUGAUUUAGGAUCGCCGACGGGUCCUAGGACCUCCCAGGUCCCUAUGUGGAUCCGUCCUUGCUUGAGUCGUACUCCUCGUCACUAGGUAUUGAAGGGGACGCAAAAACAAAAAAGUGAGUGGACCAUAAUUUAUAAUAAUAGUAAUAACACGAAUACCGUUUUCUUUUUCUGAACAUACUAACGUCCUGUUUUGAAAACUCAUAUAAUACUACAUAGUAGAUUUUUCUAAAAACUAACAUGCUAAAAAUGUUUGUAGCGGUAAAAUCAUCUCUGAAAAUCGUAUCUAAAUGCCUGAAGGGAAAUCUGAGAAUCUCGUAAAUCAACUCUAUGAUAUACUCUAGUAGAAGUAUCAUAGUCGCCCGAAGGGAAACCUAAUGUGUAUAGCCAGUGCAUUAGAAAAUCAAACCUUGAAUAUAAUACAACGAACAUGGCUCUGCGAGUAGCCCACUUCAAGCAUGAUGGAACUCUGAUGUGACUGUCGCAUCAUGGCACCUAUAGAAAAUACCAAUUGAUAGAGAGUCAAUAUUCAAUAAGUUUAUCUCACAAUUAUUUGAUUUAAACCGAUUCUUUUCAUAUGGUUCAUCACAUAAGGGGUUUCUGAGUAAUCCAAGCAAUUAAGCUACUGGCAGGAUUUGGAGAUAAAUCUCGAAACGAUAUGCAAUUCAAUGACGACUGAAAGGGCUUAGGAUACAAUCAGAAAAGCAUUGUAAUGCUUAGCUUUUAGUUUAACACACUUUUCUUCCUUUAGAGAAGAGAGGCAGGGGAAAGCCAUAGGAACAGUCUGAUAGGUAUCAAGUUUUAUCCAUACAUACAUACAUAUAUAUACACAUACACAAAUAUUCAUUGACCAUAAAGUAUUACAUGCAACUCAAAACUAAAAAUAAGAGAGAGACUUAGUGGAAAACCCGAAAUCUCUUACCCAAAAAACUCAAUGCGCAAUUAGAUCAUCAGGCUUCAUGUCAUAUUGUUUUUCGUUUAAGAAAACCUUCUUCUAGUUCAAGUAAUACCAAUUUAAGUUUAAAUACCUUAAAUAUUCAGAAUACAUAAUUUGGAAAUAGAAAAAAACAUAAACAUAAUCAUACUUGGAGAGUGAUGGCAAAAGUAUUAUAUCAGCCAGAAAAACCUUGCAAAGAACAAAAAUUCCACAAAAUCAGUAUAUUAGCACUUCCUGCAAAAUCCCAAAAUAAAAAAUUAGAAAAAUCAAAUUUGAUAACAUAAUACAAAUUCGUAUCUGUUAGAGUAGACUCCAUUUAAAUUAGAAUAAUUAGGUUUAGGAUAAAUACCCAAACAGUUCUACUUGAUUUGGUCCUUGCUGCAAAAAUGCAGGCAUAGUGUUAUGCACAGUAGACUUUUUCUUGCCGGUCCAGCAAUGACCACUAACACAGCAGGCACAAUUAAAAGGUCCACCACUUCUCGAACAAAAAACCUACUUUACACAAGUUUUUUGAAUUAUAAUCAAAAUAAUUAGAUUAAAUGCAAAAUUAAAACUCAUUUCAGAAAAUGAAAUUGAAAUUAACCGAAACCCUGAUUGAAUUGAAGCCCUUGUUAAAAAAAGCCUCACUGAUAUUGAUUAAACAAAACCCUCCCUGAUUUUGAAACCUCAAACUCAGAGUCUCAUACCUUAAAUUUGAGCAUCGAACCUGAGAGACAAAGCCAUGAAGAUUGGUAAUAACGGUGUCGUCCGUUUCGCUGGCGUCCGGCAAGAAACAGUUCGCCGGAAUUCCAACACCCAAAAACCUGGCUGCUUGAUACUUGAAAUCGAGUUUUUGGUUCUAGGGUUUAGAUUAGGUGUGAGAGAUUGUGGAAUUAAAUUUGUUGGUUUGAGGGUAUGAGGGCUUGAGGGGUUUUGCGGUGGCUGUGAGCGAGAAAGAAAGGAAGCGAGGGUUGAUGGCAGUGAAAAGGUAAAAAUGGAAUAGAGAGAUGAGGAGAGGAGAGAAGAGAAGACCGCAGAGAGAGAAAUGGAAACAGAAGGAAAAGUCGGGAAGAAGGUCUGAGCGGAGCCUUCGACGAUGAUCGACGCGUGGCCAAGAAAGAAAGAAGCAGAAGCCGAAAGAAAACAUCGAGAAAAAGAAACAAAAACAGAGGGUUAAACUAUGAGGGACCUGUGGCAAAAAAGGGCAAAAUCGGAAUUUUAUUGUACCGAGCAAACAACACAACGUGGAUGUGAGAAGAAACAAAGGGCAUUUUCGUCAUUUCACUGUUAUAACUAGAGAUUAGGGCCCACGCGUUGCUGCAGAUUUUAAAAUCCUAUAAAACAUGUCAAAAGUUCUAAUCCGAAAUACUAUGUACGUACAUGUGAUUGAUGUCUCGUUCAUUAAGAAUAGGCAAAUACUAUUUACAUACAUGUGGAAUGCAAAAAGGCAAUUAUUAACCUUUUGCUCUAAAUAAUAAAGAACACUAAAACUAAAAUACAAUUUCGAAAAACCUUUCCAAGCAGUUGGAAUAUCAAGAAUAACGCUAAUUCUAAAAUACAAAUUCAAUUUCUCUCCAUGUUAAAAAGCAUGCAAGCAAAGAGUAAUUUCUAUUACCGGUAUGAUUAGCUUAUAAUGACUUGUCCGCUGUUAUAAAAAGCAUCCAGUUUCUCAUUGUCUCCAAUUUCCAUCACCUCAUUUGCCCCUUUUGCAGAUUUUAUUUUCUUUAUGUCUUUCAGUGAAGCCAACGUUUUGCCUUACGCUUUGAUGCAGCCUCAUCUAGAUAAUGUAAAUAUAAAUUUAUUACAUAUACCUAUAACAUUCGUUCACUAGGAUUUGGAGUUCACUAUUUCAACAAACUUUUAUGGAAGUUGUAUUCAUGAUCAUAAUAUUAUAUUAAUCCAAAUUUGAGACUUUGCUGAAUAUUGAUCUAAAUCCAGUUUAUCAGCCCCAAUCAGUGGCGGAUCCACAGUGGGGUCGUCGGGGUCGCACGACCCCUUGGAAACCAUGGAAACAACCUUGAAGCUCCCAUAUGCGACCUCUUGGAGCUGGGGUCGUCGGGGUCGGAGGCACGCCAACUGUUCGACAAAAGCCCUGAACGAAAACUGGGCAGGAAGAGGAAGAAGAAGCAGCCCACUCAAAUGAGCUUGGUUGUGUGCUUGGUUGCAUGCCUGUUUUUGUCAAGUGAAUGAUAUUUAUACAUGCUACUUUUUAUAACUCUAUCCAGUUUAAUUGGUCUUUCUGAUAAAGAAAUGAUAGGGGUUGGAGGAGUGCUAUAUGAGAACGAGAACAUUAAGAAGAUACGGAAAUUAAUUUGAAACAUCAAGCUGUCAGGGAAAGCAAAAAUUUGGAUACGCCAGUAACAAGACAAUAAAAGAGGAAGUUUAAGUGAAUCUUACUUGCAUGAAUCCACCUAAACGAAUUAUGAUGUGAUUUAUGCCAGAAUCUUGGGUCAGUCCCUAUACUUUAUUAUUGUUCCAUGCACAGAUUAAUUCGACACUGCACCAAACGCCCGACUAAUGGAGUUAGUACUAUCCGACGACUAUUUAUCUUAUCCGACUGAAAUAGUCAAUACAGUCCGAAGUACCAAACAACAACAACAACAACAACAAAGCCUUUUCCCACUAAGUGGGGUCGGCUAUAUGAAUCCUAGAACGCCAUUGCGCUCAUUUGUGUCAUGUCCUCUGUUAGAUCCAAGUACUCAAGUCUUUUCUUAGGGUCUCUUCCAAAGUUUUCCUAGGUCUUCCUUUACUCCUUCGGCCCCGAACCUCUGUCCCGUAGUCACAUUUCCGAACCGGAGCGUCAAUAGGCCUUCUUUGCACAUGUCCAAACCACCGGAACCGAUUUUCUCUUAUAUUUCCUUCAAUUUUGGCUACUCCUACUUUACCUCGGAUAUCCUAAUUCCCAAUCUUAUCCUUUCUCGUGUGCCCAUACAUCCCACGAAGCAUCCUCAUCUCCGCUACACCCAUUUUGUGUACGUUGAUGCUUCAUCGCCCAACAUUCUGUGCCAUACAAUAUCGCUGGCCUUAUUGCCGUCCUAUAAAAUUUUCGCUUGAGCUUCAGUGGCCUACGACGGUCACACAACACGCCGGAUGCACUCUUACACUUCAUCCAUCCAGCUUGUAUUCUAUGGUUGAGAUCUCCAUCUAAUUCUCCGUUCUCUUGCAAGAUAGAUCCUAGGUAGCGAAAACGGUCACUUUUUGUGAUCUUCUCUAGAUUGCUCCGGUCAUUAGUGUGGAUAAGUAUAUAAAUGGAUAGAGAUAGGAAAGCAAACACAAGAUGUACGUGGUUCACCCAGAUUGGCUACGUCCACGGAAUAGAGGAGUUCUUAUUAAUUGUGAAGGGUUUACACAAGUACAUAGGUUCAAGCUCUCCUUUAGUGGGUACAAGUGAAUGAUUUAGUACAAAUGACAUUAGGAAAUAUUGUGGGAGAAUGAUCUCGUAGCCACGAAACUUCUAAGUACCGGAGUGUGGUAUCGUCUUGACUUGCCUUAUCUGUCUCAUAGGUAGAUGUGGCAUCUUCUCUGGAAGUACUCUUCCUCCAUCCAGGGGUGGUAUCUGUAACUGGUGGAGAUGCACAAGGUAAUGUAUCAAUUUCACUUGAAGCUUACUUGUAGUUUCAUGGCUUGGUCCAAGCGAGAUACAAACCAUGUAGUAGGAGUCCCCCAAGUCGCCGAGCUGGGGAUCUGCUGAAAGAGGUGACAGACAAGGUAAGCAAUCAGAGCUCCGGCUGAUUGUUCACAUUCUCCCUAUCUUGCAGGCAGCAUGAAGGAUAAAGAGAAGAAAAAUGAGGAAGAGAUGAUAUGGGAUACUUUUGCUUUUGAAGAAGUAACUUUCCACAGGCUUAUUCUUGAACUGGGCUGGAGGGUUUUCUGGUUUCCUCCAGAGUAUAAGGCCGACUGAAGAAUUUGAGGGUCAAAACAAGUCCAUCAAAUCUAGAGUACGUUCGACCCUGCUGAUAUGGGAUACUUUUUCUUUUGACAGAGUAGUGGAUGUAUCGGCACGUGUGCUGUUACGCUUGUCUCCACAUGCUUCCUUGUAUCCUUCUCACUUGCCCUAUCUGUUCCUCAGGCAGAUGCGGUAUCUUCCCUGGAAGCAUAAGAUGUUGAAGAUGAGUACUCGAGAGCAAUGCCAGGUAAGUAAUCAGGUAAGGGGUUCCAGGCAGUCAGUUCCUGGCUGGAAGCUUAAUUCCAAGUGCUGACUGAUUGCUCUCUUUCUCCUUGUCUUACAGGUAAGAACAAGGCCAAAGGAAAAGACAGGGAAAAAGCAUGAUAUGGGAUACUCUUGCUUUUAACCCUGAUGAUAUGAGAUAAUCUUGCUCUAGUAUAGCUUGUUUAUAGAGGUAUUAUCGGGGGGAAAGAAAGCUGAAUAUUUCGAAAGGCUUUGUUGGGAGUGCCCUCUCAGAUAAGAGAAAGGGUUGAGCAUUUUUGCAGGUCUGCCUGUCCGUUAGGGAUGGAAGGUCGACAUAUAUAUAGGAGUCUCCCUAACAUCAAGUAAUAAUGCUAUUCCUUUACCCUGCUUGGUCAUAGCACGGUAGUGGGAGCUGCCAGCUUCACAUGUUUUAACUCUGUCAGAGCACUUUGAAAAAGUGGUUUGUGGUAUCUGGAAAGCUGAUGUUGCGUGUGAAGAUUACAGACCUGUCGGGGGUCUGGCUCUCGAGAUUCGGAGAACGAUGCCUCUUCGAUUUUUGAGAAAGCAAUCCUGCUGGGGGUCUGGCUCUCGAGAUUCGGAGAACGAUGCCUCUUCGAUUUUUGAGAAAGUAAUCAUGUUGGGAGUCUGGCUCUCGAGAUUCGGAGGGCCGUGCCUCUUCGAUUUUAGAGCAAGCAAUCUUGUUGGGAGUGUUUUCUCGAAUGUGAGUAAAGGUUGGGCAUGUUUGCUAGUCUACCUUGCCACGAAGCACGGAAGUUGACACACAGAGACUUUCCAAUUAUCCAGCAGUGGUACUGUUCCUUUACCCUCUCUUCGAUUUUUGAGAAAGUAAUCAUGUUGGGAGUCUGGCUCUCGAGAUUCGGAGGGCGGUGCCUCUUCGAUUUUGGAGCAAGCAAUCUUGUUGGGAGUGUUUUCUCGAAUGUGAGUAAAGGUUGGGCAUGUUUGCUAGUCUACCUUGCCACGAAGCACAAAGGUUGACACACAGGGACUUUCCAAUUAUCCAGCAGUGGUACUGUUCCUUUACCCUCUCUUCGAUUUUUGAGAAAGUAAUCAUGUUGGGAGUCUAGCUCUCGAGAUUCGGAGGGCGGUGCCUCUUCGAUUUUGGAGCAAGCAAUCUUGUUAGGGAGUGUUUUCUCGAAUGUGAGUAAAGGUUGGGCAUGUUUUGCUAGUCUACCUUGCCACGAAGCACAGAGGUUGACACACCGGGACUUUCCAAUUAUCCAGCAGUGGUACUGUUCCUUUACCCUUGUGGGUAAUAAUAUGGUAGCUAGACCUUCAAAAUUUAUGUGUCUAAACUUUGUUAGUGUUGUUUCUUUGCAAUUCUUUUACCCUUCUUGGUCAGAGCGAUGUAGUGAGCUGCAAGCUUCACGUGUCUCAACUUUGUCAGAGAACUUUGGCAAAGUUAUCUGUGGUACCCAUGAGCUACUGUUGCGUGUGGGAAGUGGGUGAUUGAACAGUACGAUUCAUGUGCUUUCUACUUCGCCAGAAAUCUUCGACAGAAUGCCCAUAAUUUCCGCAAAGCUGAGUGUGCGUGUGACAGGUGCUGACAAGGCUGGAAAAGUAGGUGCCUCUUCGAUUUCUGAAAUCGGCCCUCGUGGUCUCUGAGCAGCCCAGCUUUUGAGAAAGCAAGCCUCUUCGAUUUCUGAGAUCGGCCUUUGUGGUCUUUGAGCAGCCCAGCUUUUGAGAAAGCAAACGCCUCUUCGAUUUCUGAGAUCGACCCUCGUGGUCUCUGAGCAGCCCAGCUUUUGAGAAAGCAAACGCCUCUUCGAUUUCUGAGCAGGCGCCUCUUCGAUUUCUGAAGCUUCGUCGAGUGCAGAUUUUUAUAGGGGCUGACAUUAAGUUCCAAAGCACACUUGAAUAUCCACCAGUAGAAGCUCCAUUCUUGCACUUCUAAGAUCUUGAUUUGUCCGACCUCUUCUCUCUUCAACACCUUUGAAAAUGUCUGGCCCCUCCGACCGUCGUUUUGACUUGAACCUUGUUGAAGAGGCAGCCCCGCCUUCUCCAGACAACAUAUGGCGCCCAUCCUUCGUCUCCCCUACUGGUCCUCUUACCGUUGGGGAUUCCGUGAUGAAGAAUGAUAUGACCGCUGCGGUAGUGGCCAGGAACCUUCUCACUCCCAAAGAUAACAGACUACUUUCCAAACGGUCUGAUGAGUUGGCUGUUAAGGAUUCUCUGGCUCUCAGUGUUCAGUGUGCAGGUUCUGUGUUUAAUAUGGCCAACGCCUAUUUGCUCGAACCCGCCAAGUUGAAUAAUUGGCGGCUGAAGUGAUGAGUCUCAAACAGGAGAUUAGAGGGCUCAAGCAUGAGAAUAAACAGUUGCACCGGCUCGCACAUGACUAUGCUACAAACAUGAAGAGGAAGCUUGACCAGAUGAAGGAAUCUGAUGGUCAGGUUUUACUUGAUCAUCAGAGAUUUGUGGGUUUGUUCCAAAGGCAUUUAUUGCCUUCGUCUUCUGGGGCUGUACCGCGUAAUGAAGCUCCAAAUGAUCAAUCCUCUGAUGCCUCCUCCUUCUAGGGUUUUGUCCAGUACUGAGGCUCCGAAUGAUCCCCCUCCGGUGCCUUCUCUUUCUGGGGCUCUACCGACUGCUGAGACUUCUCCUAAGCAACCUUUGUGAAGGCUCCCUCUUGUUUGUUUAUUUUGACUCAAGUAUAUGUACAUAUUUGUAACUUAUCGGGGAUAUCAAUAAAUAAGCUUUCCUUCAUUUCAACGUAUUGUGUUAAAUACACCAAAGCCUUCUUCGCUAAGUUCUUUGAAUUUUCUUUUGUUGAAGCUUGUAUGUUGAAGCUUUGUGAGUGGAGCAUGUAGGUUGAGGUAGUGUUCCCUUAAUUUCCCGAGUGAGGAAAACUUCUCGGUUGGAGACUUGGAAAAUCCAAGUCACUGAGUGGGAUCGACUAUAUGAAUCUUAGAACGCCAUUGUGUUCUGUCCUGUGUCAUGUCCUCCGUUAGAUCCAAGUACUCUAAGUCUUUUCUUAGGGUCUCUUCCAAAGUUUUCCUAGGUCUUCCUCUGCCCCUUCGGCCCUGAACCUCUGUCCCAUAGUCGCAUCUUCUAAUCGGAGCGUCAGUAGGCCUUCUUUGCACAUGUCCAAACCACCGUAACCGAUUUUCUCUCAUCUUUCCUUCAAUUUCGGCUACUCCUACUUUACCCCGGAUAUCCUCAUUCCUAAUCUUAUCCUUUCUCGUGUGCCCACACAUCCAACGAAGCAUCCUCAUCUCCGCUACACCCAUUUUGUGUACGUGUUGAUGCUUCACCGCCCAACAUUCUGUGCCAUACAGCAUCGCUGGCCUUAUUGCCGUCCUAUAAAAUUUUCCCUUGAGCUUCAGUGGCAUACGGCGGUCACACAACACGCCGGAUGCACUCUUCCACUUCAUCCAUCCAGCUUGUAUUCUAUGGUUGAGAUCUCCAUCUAAUUCUCCGUUCUUUUGCAAGACAGAUCCUAGGUAACGAAAACGGUCGCUCUUUGGUAUUUCUUGAUCUCCGAUCCUCACCCCUAACUCGUUUUGGCCUCCAUUUGCACUGAACUUGCACUCCAUAUAUUCUGUCUUUGAUCGGCUUAGGCGAAGACCUUUAGAUUCCAACACUUCUCUCCAAAGGUUAAGCUUUGCAUUUACCCCUUCCUGAGUUUCAUCUAUCAACACUACAUCGUCUGCGAAAAGCAUACACCAAGGAAUAUCACCUUGAAUAUGUCCUGUUAACUCAUCCAUUACCAACGCAAAAAGGUAAGGACUUAAGGAUGAGCCUUGAUGUAAUCCUACAGUUAUGGGAAAGCUUUCGGUUUGUCCUUCAUGAGUUCUUACGGCAGUCUUUACUCCUUCAUACAUAUCCUGUAUAGCUUGGAUAUAUGCUACUCGUACUCCUUUCUUCUCUAAAAUCCUCCAAAGAAUGUCUCUUGGGACCCUAUCAUACGCUUUUUCCAAAUCUAUAAAGACCAUGUGUAAAUCCUUUUUCCCAUCUCUAUAUCUUUCCAUCAAUCUUCGUAAGAGAUAGAUUGCCUCCAUGGUUGAGCGCCCUGGCAUGAACCCGAAUUGGUUGUCCGAAACCCGUGUCUCUUGCCUCAAUCUAUGCUCAAUGACUCUCUCCCAGAGCUUCAUUGUAUGACUCAUUAGCUUAAUUCCCCUAUAGUUCAUGCGAGGCUAAAAAAAAAUUUCGCGCUGCGCGCGCUAUGACCCCAUAAACAUUUUUUCCUGGAUCCGCCACUGGCCCCAAUGUCGAGCUGCAUGACAGAAAUUUCGAGUAAAUUGAUAUAAAUGUACUGGAAGUAGAAGAAAUUAUCUAGAGAAAUGUAGCUAUUACAAGAAAAGAAAGGUUGGCAGUAAUACAGGAUAAACGACUGGUGCCAUCUUCAACAAUUGCCAUAAGUUUUGAUUGAAAUUCUACAAACUCCAUCUAUUAGACCAAUCAUCGCCGAAAUUAAUUAUAUCCGCCGACAAACAUUAAUAGAUCAAAGCAGAAGAAUAAGAUGGCGCGUGUUGGGAUAGUUUCGUAGGAAACUGGAAGAUCUAUGAGAGGAGCAAGGAGCCCUACUAUGAAGACAGUGAAGGACAAUCCCAUAGCAUAAACAAAGAUGCGAAGCCAUAAAACGUGAUACACUGUCAGUGCAACACCAGCCAGGAAUGACGAGGACAUCAUGGUAAGCGUUACGCCUAGCACCGGUAAGGUAAAUCUCAUGGCAGCAUAGAUUAUACUAGGGUCAUAUGUUUGCGCCCACAUAAGGGCAAUUGAAGCAGUAAUGGAGCCGCACAUAGCCACGGUAUUGCAUAUCAAGAAAAUUCUGAAUAGGCUAUGCGGAAGAAAAUUUGGGGUGCCCACAUUAUUUCCAGUGUCACUGUAUCCACCUGGUACUGUGAAGCCUUGAGCAAACGUUAUACCAACCACCAGCGUUGACACCAAUAGGAGAGUAUUGACACUCUCUUUCGAAAACAUUAGGUUAUCAGAAUUGUGCAAGGACUUCGGAACAGAAUCCUGUGUCUCUUUGGAGACUUUUCGCUCUUCAGAUCGUGGAGCAUUAGCCAAGUUCAAGGCCAUAAGUGUUAGUUUCUGCAAGAAAAACGAAAGUUUCAGUUCUUGACCAAGUUGUUAUAUAGAUCAUGCAUGACAAACACGAGAAACGAUUAUAAAAUAAAGGCCAUAAGGGUUAGCUUCUGCAGGGAAAAAUCGUGUGUAAUCAGGAUAUCCUCCCCUCUUUAUAUCUCUCUUAUGCAAUGAGAGGGACAAGAAGGGGAUACAUAUACCUCUGGUUAAUUAAUUACGUUGUAGAAUUCUCUCCUAUGUACGACAUACUUGUAGGUAGUUGUAGUGUCACACUGUAGGUAAAGGAAACUAAUCGAAAAGAUGCGUUGAGAAAUUACGUAGUCUCCGAAACAACAUCUCUUUAUCUACCCCGGUCUUCUCUGCAAGGUCCAAUGCCGUCUCACCUGCAUUGUUCAAACUAUUUAAAUUGGCUCUCUCAUACGCAUGGAAGAGGGAAAGAAUUUUGACGAUCUUAGGAUGCCAGUUUUGGACGGCUAUAUGUAGAGGGGUAUUUCCACUUUGAUCUCUUUGCUUGCUAAGCACUUGAAGAUCGCGCUUUCCAAUAAUAUAUCGGACAACAUCAACUCUUCCAUGCGCGGCCGCAAGAUGAAGAAUAUUCCGGCCUUCAUGGUCACUUGAUCCCUCAAGUCGGGGCAAUAAUCGAGAAACUCUUCAACAACCCUGCAAUGGCCUUUUUUGGACGCCACAUGUAUAGGAAGCAACUGAUUUUCGUCACCUUUGUAUGCCAAUCCAGUAAAUUUGUGCAACAAUAUGCGUACCGCCACAAAGUUAUCCAUAUAAGCCGCAACUGUAAGAGGAGACAUCCACCCUUGGUCCAUUGAAUUGAUGAGAUCAGCUGAAUCCAUUUUGCUCAAUAUCGUCUCUAGGAGAUCUACAUAGCAUAUGCAUUUUAGAAGCAACUCUGUCAAGAAUAAGUAUUUAUGAAGAGAGAAAUAAACAAAAGGUAAAUUGUCAUAAUGCCAUAUUACAAAGAGUUAGAGCAUCUCCAACAGUGUAAAAAAAUGAUUUUGAUGAGCCACGCAGGUAAAACUUUGCUCCCGCUCCAAUGGUAUGUGCAAUUGAGUAUGAAAAUUUUGCUCAUUCCCACAAAGUAAGCAAUAUUAUUGACUACUUCAAUAUUAUAUGCUAAUGACAUGAAAAAGGCAAUGACAGAGGCAUACUUGUAUACUUCUUUCUGUUGGCUCUGGGCAGCCACCAUUGAGAAACUAUACUCUUAAAAAAUAUCCAGCAUACAACCCCCGCCAUCACAAAGAGUGGAUUGAUGAGAUUGAUUAAUAUGGACAUGACCAACGCGAACACUGCUAUAGAAAAUAGCAAUGACAGAGGUAUAUUUGUAUACUUCUUUCUGUUGGUUCUGGGCAGCCACCAUUGAGAAACUUCAAUCAAGCAUACAACCCCCGCCAGCACAAAAAAAAGUGGAAUGUUGAAAUUCCAUAACAUGAGCAUGACCAACACGAACACUGCAUCAUAUUUCUUGAGGCCACCUUUUGCUAUACUUGUAACCCAUGCCCAAACAACCGCCAGCAAAACAAAGAGUGGAAUGUUGAUAUACCAUAACAUGAGCAUGACCAACACGAACACUGCAUCAUAUUUCUUGAGGCCACCUUUUGCUAUAUUUGUACCCCAUGCCAAAAUUUAAAAAAAUACUCAUUACUAGCUAUAUGUACCAAAACAAAAAUUACUCACAAGUAUACCAAAAAGAAAAAAGGGUAACUGCAAAUGCUUAAUAUUUACCUUGUUUCCUCCAUAUGAUCGCACUACGAAGAAUUGAGUUGCCGUUCGAUCCUUGCCAAAAAUUACCAGAAUUAGCGUCUGUUGUGCUAUUUGGCGUCUUGUCUACCAUUGCUUUAACAAGUUCAAGAUUGGCAGUUUCAGCAGCCAUGCACAAGGGAGUCUUUCCGGAUUCAUUUGUGGAAUGCAACGUGGAUCCAGAUCCAUCUUCGCCGACCAAAAACAUAGCCACAUCUUGGUGAUUAUUUUCCACAGCGACAUGCAACGCAGUGUUCCCUCUCUCGUCCUCUUCAUUAAACGUAUUACCUUGAGCCGUGUCUACCAAACAAGACGAAGCCAGAAAUUUAACUAAGAGGGGGCACCUUAAAAAAUUUGAGCUCUUUUUUUGGAUAAAUAAAGCUAGUUCUUUUACAAAUAUUGAAAAAAUCAAUUACAAAAUGCCUAAUUUUAUUACGCUAUUGUCUAAUUUUGUUUUUAAUUGUUGUAUUGACAAUCUAAUACUCAUUACUUUAGUCUAAAGUAGGGGGAGGGUGGCACUGUGUAAUUUUGAGGUACAUUUCAGUUUAUUUACGAAAUUGCCACUAAAGCUCCUUGCCCCUGAUUUAAAGUAAUUUGCAAAAUUGUCAUUGGGCUUCAGAAAUUUUUUGUAGUAUUAAAUGAUGAGACUGCCCAUUUGAGCUUCAGAUCACACAGUGAGGUUUUUGUCCUUAGGGUUUUCGGAAUGAUUGAGGUUAAGUUGUUUCCCCAUCAUUUGUUUCUUUCUUCGGCGCAGGCAUGCCCAUGCCGAUCUUAGCAUGAGUGAGUGGGAGGGUGACAGUGAGAGAAAGAGAGAGUGGUUGUUCGGAUUUCAGGGAUCAAAAGAAGGACUAAGAUAGAGAUCGGGAUCGAGAGAGGGAUUGAGAUCGCGAUAGGGAUCAGAUGAGCCGCAGAAAGAGGCGAAGAGGCGAGAGGUUAAUGCAAUCGCUGGAAGCAUCUUUCGUUUCUCUCUUUCUUUCGCCUCUUCCUUUGGUACGCCUAAUCGGAUUAGCAGUGAAAUUGUUAGAAAUUAAAGAACAAUGCAGGAAUUUAAAGGGAGAUAAAGGAAGAAGUCGAGACAAAGGAUAAAAGGAUUAUUCAUUCAUUCAUAAAACCCAACGAGGCUGAGAGUUACAUAUAUAUAUAUAUAUAUAUAUAUAUAUAUAUAUAUAUAUAUAUAUCAAGCCAAUAAGGGGAAACCCUAGCUAUGAGGCUUGGGCUUGAAGACAAGACAAGGUAAUUAUUAACAAAAGGCUUGGGACUUAAAAAGAUGAGAAAGGUCCAACUGUUAGGUCCUAACAACUCCCUCCCUUAAGAAGGAACAUGUCUUCAGGUUCAAAAGUCUGGAUAAUGUGCAAUGAUCUCGUCGGCUUCCUCCUAUGUGGCAUAUUCAGCUGGAAGAGCCAACCACUGUAUGAGCCAUUUUGUGAUUGUAACGUUCUUCUUCUUGAACAUCCCUCUGUCCAAAAUCUUCUUAGGUUGCCAAUGCAAGUGACUUAUAGAGUCAAUAAGCGGCAGGAUUGGACUUGGAGAGAUGGCAUCACCUAUCUUCUUCUUGAGUAGAGAUACAUGGAAGACUGGGUGUAUUUUGGAGUCAAGAGGUAGAUUCAAAUGGUAAGCCACUACACCUAUGCAAGCUUUCACUUGGAAUGGGCCAUAAAACUUAGGUGUAAGUUUGUUGAAAUGCCGAGUGGCCACAGAUUGCUGGAGAUAGGGCUGGAGCUUGAGAUAGACCUAAUCACCCACAUUGAAUUCGUGUUCAGUUCGACCUUUAUCGUCAACUUAUUUCAUUCGAUUAUGUGCAAGCUACAAGUUAGCACGCAAAAGGCUAAGAAGCUUGUUAUGGUCCUGCAAUGCCACAUCAACCGAGUUAACUGCCGUAGUACCAAAUAUGUAGGAGUGAAUGGUUGGGGGUGGCAAUCCAUACAACGCCUGGAAGGGUGACAUUUUAAUGGCAGAUUGAAACGUGGUGUUGUACCACCACUCGGCCCAGGGAAGGAUGGCAGCCCACUUGCGAGGGUGAUCUGCCGAGAAGCAUCGAAGGAAAUGCUCGAGUGUGCGAUUUAAGACUUCUGAUUGGCCAUCAGAUUGCGGGUGGUAUGCAGAACUCUGACGCAAUUAGGUGCCCUGUUUACUGAAUAACUAUUGCCAAAAGUGGCUGAGAAAGGUUGGGUUACGAUCCGAGACAAUCGAUUUUGGCAUGCCAUGAAGAUGAAAAUUUUCCUUGAUGAAUGUGUCGGCAACGGAUGCAACUGUGUAUAUGUGUUUGAUCGGAAUUAAGUGGCCAUAUUUAGUGAGGCGAUCAACAACUACCAAAAUGACUGUGUAGCCAUUGGAAGAAGAUAAUCAUUCGACGAAGUCAAGAGCAAUGUCCUGCCAUAUGCCGUCAGGAAUAGAGAGCGGCUGCAAGAGACCCAACGGGUGAAUGUUCUCAUGAUUCUAGCAUUGGCAUUCCGAGCAAGUGGAUACAAAAUUCUUUACAUCUUUACGAAUACUAGGCCAAAGACAGUUGCGAGAGACGUGGUUGUAAGUACGGAGAAAACCGGAGUGGCCCCCUUGCAGCGAAAAGUGGAAUUCUUCUAGGAUUUUUGGACGCCAUUAUGAUGUCAAAGGAACAAAAACUCCCUGUUUGUAAUGAAGGACACCAUUAACAAGUGUGAAGCCUCGCACACUGUUGUUUGGUGUUUGGAGCAAUGAAAGCCAGAGUGUUUGAACCUGUGGAUCUGCAGCAUAUGAUUGUUAUAGGUUUGGUAAACAAUCAAAAACUGGAGAGGAUAAACCCAUAAAAAGCAGUAUCUCAUGUUGGUGAGAAAGUGCAUUCGGGGCUCCAUUUUGAGAACCCGAUAUGUAGUCCACUGUGUAAUUAUACCCUAGAAGCUUAACAAGCCAUUUUUGUUGUUGUGGAGUCGUUAUACGCUGCUCAAGGAAGAACUUGAUGGGUUUGUGGUCAGUCACAAUUCUAAAUUGUUGACCCAAGAGGUAAUGGCGCCAAUUCUGCACAGCAAAGACGAUGGCGAGCAUUUCCUUGUCAUAUGUAGAGAGAUCGAGAUUAAGACAGGACAAGGCCUUACUGAGGUAAGUUAUUGGGUGACCAUCUUGGCAUAAGAUAACACCUAUACCAAUACUCGAUGCAUUUGUUUCCACGACAAAUUGUUAGGAGAAAUUGGGGAGAACAAGCACGAGUGUGGUUACUAACGCAUGCUUGAGCUUGUCAAAUGCAGCAAUGGAGUCAGUUGUCCAUGAGAAAUUACCCUGUUUUAACAUGUCAGUCAAUGGCUUUGCAAUCAGACCAUAAUGACGGACGAACUUCCGAUAAUAACCUGUGAGACCCAAGAAUCCACGAAGGCUUUUGAUAGACUACGGUUGAGGCCAAUUUGUGAUUGCUUGAAUCUUGGAGGUGUCCAUUGCCACACCGUGGCCCGAGAUAAAGUGGCCCAAAUAGUCAAUCGUAGCUUGCCCAAAGGAACAUUUGCUAAGCUUUACCCUUAAGCUGUGAGUAGACAAAACUUGAAAAAUAAUCUCCAAAUGGGAGAUGUGGGUAGCAAAUGAAGAACUAUAGACAAGGAUAUCAUAAAAAAAAAAAAACUAAUACAAACUUAUGCAAGUAUGGCCUAAAAAUGGAAUUCAUCAAAGCCUGAAAAGUUGAUGGAGCAUUGGAAAAGCCGAAUGUCAUCACCAAGAACUCGAAAUGGCCGUUGUGUGUACGAAAUGCUGUUUUUGGAAUAUCCUUGGAACACAUGCGGAUCUGGUGGUAACCUGACUAAAGGUCAAGCUUGGAAAAUAUGGUUGCCCCAUGCAAUUUGUCAAGUAACUCAUCCACAAUUGGAAUGGGGAAACGGUCCUUGAUGGUUGCUGCAUUCAAAGCUCUAUAGUCAAUACAAAGACGCCAUGAGUCAUCCUUCUUUUUCACAAUGAGUACUGGCGAGGAAAAAUGACUAUUGUUGUUUCAAAUUACGCUUGAUUGUAGGAGUUCUUGCACUUGUUUCUUAAGUUCAGCUUUUUUGGAGUGUGGGUAUCAACAUGGACGAACCGAGAUAGGUGUAGUGUUGGGUAAGAGCAAAAUUUUAAGGUUUAUAUGGCAUUGGGGUGGGAGACCAGAUGGUAUGGCGAAAAGAUGGCGGUAUUGUGUAAGGAGGGAAAAAAUGGUUGGGUGGGUGUCGGUUGGUGGGGAGAGAAGGGUAUCUGUGGGUGAGUUUGGUCGGGGAAUGAGAUGGGUGAGUUGGGAAGUGGGUUGUAGUGAAUGACAGGUGUGAAAAGGUGGGGUGAUUUUGAAUAGUCCCUAAAGGGAUGAACCUCAAAGGGUGUAGCCUUGCAGAUUUACAUCGACAUCAUAAACUCGCAAGGAUGCAGUAAUUCGUGUGUGAAAGGCUGUAGUGAAAUGAACCGGGGCAAUAUUUUCAAUUGGCAGGCCUAAACGGUGUGCAACAUCCGUAUAAAGCAAAUUGCAAGUAGCUCCAUAAUCGAUUAGGAUCGUAAUUGGAAGGGAGUUAAUGGAGCCUUGCAAUUUCAGUAGUUGACCCAUGUUAAGCCUAAAGAGCGAAAAAAGCUCUAGCAUGUGGCGUGUGGGAUCAGGAGGGAGUUCUUACUCCGAUUGGAAAUCAUGAAACUCAAUAGAAUCAUCUUCAAUGGUAGGGGCAUCAAGCAUCACAAUCAUAGGAACUUUGCAUUUAUGUCUGGGAACAUAAGGUUCUGUGCAAUGGAAGCAUUCGAGUUUGCGAAUUUUUUCUUGAACCUCAGCUGAGGUUAAUUGUUUGAAUGGCGCGGUUUGGAUUGGAGGGGGUUUAAGGCAUGAGAUGGCAGAGAUGGAGUUAGGGUUGGAUGGUUUUGGAAAGCUAGAGGGUAGGUAUUGCCGAGAGAAAUUAGAACGAGAGGUUCUUUUGGACUGCAUUUUGGUUUAAAAAAUUUUGGCCAAUUUUUAAGCUUGGUGUAAAGAAUCGGGUUUAAGAGCUAGGACAUCAUGGCGAAUAUCCUAUUUUAAUCCCCCUAAGAAAACAUGUUUGAGCCGAUUCUCUGUCCAAUUAAUCACCCUACAAGAGAGUUUAGUAAACUCUGCUAUAUAGUCAUCCACAGUGCCCAUUUGUUGGAUGUGGGUGAGCUGUGAUUCAAUGGUCGAAGAGGAUGGUGUGGGUCGGGUAGAGGGAGUAUAGGUGGGGAUUGGGGCUAAACUUAGGGAUGGAGGUUUAGAGAGUCCCAAACUUGUGUAGGUAGUGGUGGGUAGGGCAAAUAAGGAGCGGAAUGAGGGUGGGGGGUUGGUUGCAGGGGUGCAGGUAGAGGUGGGAUUUACUGUCAGUGCUUGUUUGGGGGUGGUGGAAGGCUUGAUUUGAGAGUAUAAAGCUUGUCGAGCAUUGGAGAUUGAAAUGCCACGAACUAGGUAGUCAUGGUGUUUUGAAAGGCUAUAUUGGAGUUGUUGAUUUGGUCAAGAGAUUUUUGGAAGGACACCUGUUGGUUCUCUAGGGCUGAUAUGGAGUCACAAACAUCUACCUGGGAUGUGAUGUGCUCAUGACAGACAUCGACCGCCAUAGUGACGGCGUCUGGGUUAGAGGUUACAGAUGGAGUGUUUUGGCCCAUAAUAUCUAUGGGCUCUGAUAACAAUUGGUACGCCCAAUCAGAUUAGCAGCUGAAAUUGUUAGAAAUUAAAUAACAAUGCUGGAAUUUAAAGGGAGAUAAAGGAAAAAGUCGAGAUAAAAGGAUACGAGGAUUUUUCAUUCAUUCAUAAAACCUAACGGGGCUGAGAGUUACAUAUAUAUAUCAAGCCAAGAAGGGGAAACCCUAGCUAUGGGGCUUGGACUUGAAGACAAGACAAGGUAAUUAUUAACAAAAGGCCCGGGACUUAAAGAGAGGAGAAAUGCCCAACUGUCAGGUCCUAACAACCUUUUUGUUCCAGUGCUUCAUUUUCGAUAGCCUUCCUCAUCUUUCAACGAGAUUCCGGUGACUAGAUCCAUAGCACACUCGAGAACCGCUCCCUUUUAGGGAUGGGCAAAUACCCAUCGGUUAUGGGUAACUGCGGAUAUCCGCCCAUUUAAAUUUCACAGUUACGGUUAUGGGUAACCGUUUAGAUAAUUAAGUUAUGGGUAUAACCGUUUACCUGUGAAAUUUAAAUGGACAUUUAUGAGUAUUAAUUGCGGUUAUAACGAUUACCCGUUUACCAGUUUAUUUUAAUAGAUAUAUAAAAUUAAAAAAACAAAAAACCUAAUAUGUAAGACUGUAACAUGUUCGUUCUCUCUGCCAGGAGGCCAGGACCUGUUUAUUUUAGUAGCUAGGUGAUGAAUAUGACUGGUAUGUUUAAUUCAGUUUUAAAUUGCUGACAUGGGAAUCAGUUGUGGACCUAUGGUACGAAUACAAUGUAUAAUCUGAGGUCACAUUCAACAUCUCUGGUUAAAUACAUUUCUUUUGGGAUACUAUUUCAAUUUAUAAAUUUCUUUUGUAUGUCUACAACGAGUUGAUGAGACUUUGUCAUUGAAUGUGCUUAAAACAUUAGUGUUCGAAAAUGUAUAGUUUUGAAAUAUUUUGGAGCUUUGAAUCAUCUAGUAUUUAAGAUAAUGACUAUCUUGAGUUUUUAGAAGCUAUACUUUGUAAUCAUAUGAAUGUUAUAUUUGAAUACUUGCUUAGGUGUAGAAGAAAAAUAUGUCGAAAAUAUAUGAAUUUUCUUUCCACUUUUUGAAGAUUCCCUUCUCUCUGUUUUGAGAUUAUACUCUUUGGCUAUCUAUUUUAUCUGUAGUUCAUUUCACUAAAUUAAAAAUGAAUCUUUAAUUUUUUAAUUUUUAAAAUGAAAGAUAAGAGAAAAUCAUAAGUACUUAAUUAUAUAUAUGGGUUGCUGCUGAGAAGAAAUGGAGGGAAGUGGAAGGUGUUUUCAUGUUCUCCCCACAACCAAAAGCGCUUCGUUUGAGCUACUCAACCUUUCUCUACCGUUACGAACAAGUUCGCUUUUUUAGGGUGGGUAAUUUUGUGGUUUGAAAAUUAUGUGUUGUAAGUGUAAAUUUGGGAUUAGAAAUGGGUUUUCUGUUAAAAUUUCAUUUUUUUUAAUUUUGGGGGUUUUGUUUCAAGCGAUCUCAUUCUUUUAAUCGGACUUUUGCCAAAGUUUAUUGCUGGGUUUUGGGUGCUUUUGAAUUUGGUGAAAUUUGUGAUUUUUCAGUGCUUCAAUGGUGUUUUGGAAUGAUUGGUAUUUUGGUGUCGAAUGCAACUAAUUAUGUGGAUCUUAAUUAGUAGAUAUCCAAGAGUGACAAAUGCAACUAAUUAUGUGGAUCUUAAUUUGGUGAUUCAUUUCCUUCACUCUGUGUGUCAGGAAAUGAGUUCAACCAUGGAUUCGUAUACGUUGAAGUCCACGUCCGAUUUGCCUGCUCUCUUUCUAUCAUCGUUUAUUUUUACAUAAUAUCCUUGCAAUUGGAGUUUUGUUACUGGUAUUAUUAAGGUUUUGUUCCUGAUAUUAUUUGGGUUUGGUGUUAGUGGGGAUGGCAGUGGCGCGCUAAGUUAGCCGUUCGUGGCUCACCGGAAAACCCUUGGUUGGGCUAUCAGGAGGGAACUCAUAAUGUAGUAGAUAUUUCUCAAUGCAGAGGUCACAAUCCUAAUGACUUUAUAUUUGAUAUUUUAAAUCCUUGGAUUAUGUUAAAUUUUAUGUUUUUAGUUUAAUUUGUAUCUUCUUCUCUGUUUUUGUAGCUCAUCAUCCCAGUAUUAAUGCUGUUGGGGAGCUGCUUAAACAAGGUCCAAUUUCAGCUAUUAAAACUGAAUGUUACCAGUUUUCAUAUCCGGUGUUUGAGUCUUGAAUAUUACUUCUCUUUAUAAUGUUCAGGUAUUACAGAACUACGAGUUGAGCCGUAUGAUGAAGAUGAGGGGACUGGUGAUUUGGUAUUACGGAACUACUUUGUAUAACGUUCAGGUAUUAUGUGCAGGUGACUGAUGUGAUUCAUAAUAAUGCAAUUGCACAUGGAAAACAUGUUAGUAAGUUGUAAUGUUUUGGAAUUCAAUUAAUGGUGGUGUAAUGCAGAUGGCUGUGACAACACAUAAUACUUCCCAUCCCGUUUCUGAAAGAUAUAAGAAUGGUUAGUAGCUGAAUUCAUCAAAGUUAUCUGAGUUUCUAGAAAGACAUUUUACGUGAUACUUCAUUUCAUCGUUGUAAAUAUUUUCUUUAAAAGGAUUAAAUUAAAUAAUGAAAAUGCUCUAGCAAAUGUUCUGGAUGUAAGCUAAAAGAUCAAUUUAACUUUUCUUCCCUGUCAUUUUUAGUGCUUUUUCUUUUCUUAUUACUUUUAGGAAUUAAUUUUUGAGAUAUAUUAUGACUAACAAAUUUACUGUUGCCCCUAUCAUCUUUUUUGCUUAAGAUUUCUUUUGAACCUCGCGGAAUCUUCUAUUUAGAUGCGCCAUCAUCAUCAGUUUGUCUGCUAUUCCAGUUAGAGAUUCAUGCCACAGAAGAAGGUGGGCUUACACCUUCAGUUUAUUCGUGCAAAGAACCAGUAUGUCCAAAUAUAUGUUACUCGAUUCUUAAAAACUGUAUGGCAUGACAAGAUAAAUUUAUAAAUUUCUAAUUUUUCUGCUUUGUAUAAAAUCUUUGUUCACUCUACCUGAAAAGGUACACUUGACUGAGAAGAAAAGUCUUUUCAUAUUAAAUCCUUGUUUUCUUUCAUCUUAUCUUUGGCACAGAAAGCACCAUCAAAAUUUAUUUAUUUAUUUAUUUAUUUUCAGGUGGCUGUUGAGGAAGGUAUUGUUGUCGGUGGAUGAACCCUUUAGGUAAUUAUCUGUUACUUAUUGGACUCCCCCAAUCAUGAGUUUUGACUCGGAAGAAGAUUUUGAUGAUGAUAGAUACUGAAUUGAAUUUUGGCACAAAUUGUAUUGAAAAUUGCAGUUCAGAGCAAUUUUUAUGAGGAAGAAGGAUGAAUCUUAAACAUAUAUAUGAAUUUAGUCAAAUCCACACGCUCCAUUCAAACUUCUGAAUUUCAAGCACUUGAAUUGAAUAGAUGCUUUUAAUUCUUCUCCCAUCUAAACAUUAGAUAUUUCUGCAAUUUUAUUUCUAUGUUGUUUAUAUCAUUGUUGUUUGAAUAUAUGCUUAAACCUAUUUCAUUCAGAAUAUAUGUUAGCAAUAGUUUGAUUGUUUAAGCUAAGAUGUUUUUCAUGGCAUCGCAUGAAGCUUGAUAGGAAAGUAGUUCCAUUAUAUGUAGGCAUUGCAACUCUUUUUUUCUUUUCUAUUCUCUGGUUGCUGCUGUUUUCUCAUAGUGCAGGAAGCUUUAUGGCGUACAACGUGCCAAGUCAUUAUGCUGGCACCAUUCUGUUUUAGUAUUUGUUGGAUUAGAAUGUACUCAUUGUUUCAAGUGAGUAUUAAUUGUGACUCCUAAUAAAUAUUUAGAUUGAUAAAAUCAAAGGCCAGGGAGGGAGAGUUGGAGAAGCUCUUAGUUUGGGUGUUUUAACAUGUUGAUGUUGUGUGUUUUACUGUUUUAUGAGAUUUGGUGCUUCAUAUGCAGAUAAUAUAUUUCUGAUUUGAAAAUUUCAUCAUUAUUCCGUUGAUUUAUAAUUAAAUUUAUGCCUUAAUUUAGCAUUUUCAUCAUGAUGAGUAUUAGGAAUAGAGUAGGAGAGGUUGGUGAUUUUAUAGAGCACAAUUAUUAGGCUGCUUGGGUGCUUUGUGUUUAUUGAUUUAGGUAUACGUUAAAUCGAUUUGAUGUGAUUCUGAUUCUGGAAUUGGGUGUUGACUGCUGAAUUGGUGCUUGAUAUUUUCGUGUUGGAUUUUUCUCCAGCAGUGGAAUCUGAGGAAGAUUUCAACUGGGAAAUCAUUUUGUUCUCCACUUGGUAAUUAGUGGAGAUGUCAAGUUAUGUGGGUGUUUACAUUACGGAUCAAUCGCUUCAAAGCCAGGCCACACAGGUUGAGCUGUGCAGUCUAGAAUCCAAAGUAUGUAUAAUUGAUUAGUCAUGAAAUAUGAUACAUUUUCUCCGUGUUUACAUACUUAUGACAUACAAUCAGUUUCUUUUUGGUUGGGUUGAAAUGAUAUUGAUUGUGUUGUUAUAGAACUCCUUUUUAUAGUUGGGUUGAAAAUCAUGUUAAUAGAAUCUUUUUUUGGUUGGUCUGAUCUGUAACAGAUGAGAUUGUUUUGUUUGAAUCAAAAUUUGAUCGUUUUUUGUGUGAAAUUAUAAUGGAAUCGCAAAUUUAUCAGGUAUAUCUUAGAUUCUUUGUUGCAUAUUCACCUUCUCACAACUUUUACAUUGUCUCUUGAUUUGAUGUAAUUUUUAUAAUUUCCAUGAUCAACGGAUGCAUGAAGUAAGGAGGAAGCUACUAUUAUGGAGCUUCUUAGGCAUGGUAAGUUGAAGUUGUAAAUCAUUUUUUUCGUUCACGGAAUUCAUUAUCUUGCUAUAUUGGCAAUUAGUAGUGUCUGACAAUUGGUAAAGUGUAUUCAUUUUUCUGCUUAAUUUAUGUUGAAAAUUUGUAAUCAUUUAAAAAUGUAUUGUAAUCAAAUGACUAGCAUGUGAAUUUGUGUAUUGUAAUCAUUUACAACUUGCAGAAUUAGUUAAAUGUAUCAAAUGACUAGCAUGUGAAUUUGUGUAUAGUUAAAAAUAAUCUUAUCCUUAAGGAUUAUUGAUUGGGCAAAUUUGGUUGAGUAAAUUUAGGGUUAUUGAUUGUGCUAAUUUGGUUGAUUGGUUGAUCUGAUUUGAGAUUUUCUUCUAAUGAGGAAAGGAUAUUAUAUAACUUGUAAGGAUUGCAAAGUUAUACCGGGGGAGAGCUUGGCUAAUCAACAUCGCUUGUUGGUGAUGAAUGUACAUAUCAAAAGAGUGAGAAAAAAGAACAAGACUUGGAAGUGCCCAAGGACUAGAUGGUGGAAUCUAAAAGAAGAAAAACAAGUCAUUUUCAAAGAGAAAGUAAUCACCCAGUGUGUGUGGGAUAGAGAGGGGGAAGCUAGCCAAAGGUGGGAUUCCAUGGCUAGCUGUAUUCGAAAAGUAGCAAAAGAGGUAUUAGGAGAGUCUAAGGGCUUUGCUCCAUACCAAAAGGAAUCUUGGUGGUGGAAUGAGGAGGUACAAACAAAGGUGAAGGCUAAGAAGGAAUGUUGUAAAACCUUAUACAAGGAUAGGACCGAUGAAAAUGGUGAACGGUAUAGAAGAGCCAAGCAAAAGGCGAAGAAAGCUGUGAGAGAAACUAAGUUAGCGGCUUAUGACGAUAUGUAUAAGCGACUAGAUACCAAAAAAGGAGAGUUGGAUAUCUAUAAACUAGCUAGAGCAAGGGAAAAGAAGACAAGGGACCUAAACCAAGUGAGGUGCAUCAAGGAUGAGGAUGGAAAGGUUCUUGCUACAGAGAACGCGGUCAAAGACAGAUGGAGAGGUUAUUUUCAUAAUCUUUUCAAUGAAGGACAUGAAAGGAGUACUUCUUUAGGGGAGUUGAGUAACCCAGAAGAGUGUAGAAACUACUCAUUUUAUCGUCGAAUCAGGAAGGAAGAAGUGGUUGUAGCUUUGAAGAAGAUGAAGCAUAGAAAAGCAAUGGGCCCAGAUGAUAUACCGAUUGAAGUGUGGAAAGCCUUGGGAGAUACAGGUAUAGCAUGGCUCACUGACCUUUUCAAUAGGAUUUUGAAAACGAAGAAGAUGACAAACGAGUGGCGAAAGAGCACUUUGGUGCCUAUUUACAAGAAUAAGGGCGACGUACAAAAUUGCAUGAACUAUAGGGGUAUUAAGCUAAUGAGUCAUACAAUGAAGCUCUGUGAAAGAGUCAUUGAGCAUAUAUUGAGGCAAGAGACACAGGUCUCGGACAACCAAUUCGGGUUCAUGCCAAGGUGCUCAACCAUGGAGGCAAUCUAUUUCUUACAAAGAUUGAUGGAAAGAUAUAGAGAUGGGAAAAAGGAUUUACACAUGGUCUUUAUAGAUUUGGAAAAAACGUAUGAUAGGGUCCCAAGAGACAUUAUUUGGAGGAUUUUAGAGAAGAAAGGAGUACGAGUAGCAUAUAUCCAAGCUAUAAAGGAUAUGUAUGAAGGAGCAAAGACUGUCGUAAGAACUCAUGAAAGACAAACCGAAAGCUUCCCCAUAACUGUAGGGUUACAUCAAGGCUUAUCCUUAAGUUCGUACCUUUUUGCGUUGGUAAUGGAUGAGUUAACAUGACAUAUUCAAGAUGAUAUUCCUUGGUGUAUGCUUUUCGCAGACGAUAUAGUGUUGAUAGAUGAAACUCAGGAAGGGGUAAAUGCGAAGCUUAACAUUUGGAGAUAAGUGUUGGAAUCUAAAGGUCUUCGCCUAAGUCGAUCAAAGACAAAACACGUACACAAAAUGGAUGCUUCGUUGGAUGUGUGGGCACACAAGAAAGGAUAGGAUUAGGAAUGAGGAUAUCCGAGGUAAAGUAGGAGUAGCCGAAAUUGAAGGAAAGCUGAGAGAAAAUCGGUUACGGUGGUUUGGACAUGUGCAAAGAAGGCCUACUGAUGCUCCGGUUAGAAGAUGUGACUACGGGACAGAGGUUCAGGGCCGAAGGGGUAGAGGAAGACCUAGGAAAACUUUGGAAGAGACUCUAAGAAAAGACUUAAAGUACUUGGAUCUAACGGAGGAUAUGACAUAGGACCGAGCACAAUGGCGUUCUAAGAUUCAUAUAGCCGACCCCACUCAGUGACUUGAAUUUUUUAAGUCUCCAAUCGAGAAGUUUUCCUCACUCGGGAAAUUAAGGGAAUACGUUGAAAUGAAACAAAGCUUAUUAAUUGAUAUUUUCGAUAAGUUACAAAUAUGUACAUAUACAUGAGUCAAAAUAAACAAACAAGAGGGAGCAUUCACAAAGGUUGCUUAGGAAAAGUCUUAGCAGUCGGUAGAGCUCCAGAAAGAGAAGGCACCGAAGGGGGAUCAUUCGGAGCCUCAGUACUGGACAGAACCCUAAGGAUGAGGCAUCGGAGGUUGAUCAUUUGGAGCUUCAUUACGCGGUAUAGCCCCAGAAGACGAAGGCAAUAAAUGCCUUUGGAACAAACCCACAAACCUCUGAUGAUCAUGUAAAAUCUGACCAUCAGAUUCCUUCAUCUGGUCAAGCUUCAUCUUCAUGUUUGUAGCAUAGUCAUGUGCGAGCUGGUGCAACUGUUUAUUCUCAUGCUUGAGCCCUCUAAUCUCCUGUUUGAGACUCAUCACUGCAGCCGCCAAUGAUUCAACUUGGCGGGUUCGAGCAAAUAGGUGUUGGGUCAUAUUAGACACAGAACCUGCACACUGAACACUGAGAGUUAGAAAAUCCUUAACAGCCAACUCAUCAGACCGUUUGGAAAGUAGUCUGUUAUCUUUGGGAGUGAGAAGAUUCCUGGCCACCACCGCAGCGGUCAUAUCAUUCUUUAUCACGGAAUCCCCAACGGUAAGAGGACCAGUAGGGGAUAAGAAGGAUGGGCGCCAUAUGUUGUCUGGAAAAGGCAUGGCUGCCUUUUCAACAAGGUUCAAGUCAAAACGAAGGUUGGAGGGGCCAUACAUUUUCAAAGGUGUUGAAGAGAGAAGAGGUCGGACAAAUCAAGAUCUUAGAAAUGCAAGAAGAGAGCUUCUACUGGUGGAGAUUCAAGUGUGCUUUGGAACUUAAUACCAGCCUCUAUAAAAAUCUGCACUCGACGGAGCUUCAGAAAUCGAAGAGGCGCCUGCUCAGAAAUCGAAGAGGCGUUUGCUUUCUCAAAAGUUGGGCAGCUCAGAGACCACGAGGGCCGAUCUCAGGAAUCGAAGAGGCAUUUGCUUUCUCAAAAGCUGGGCUGCUCAAAGACCACGAAGGCCGAUCGCAGAAACCGAAGAGGCGCUUGCUUUCUCAAAAGCUGGGCUGCUUAGAGACCACGAGGGCCGAUCUCAGAAAUCGAAGAGGCACCUGCUUUUUCAGCCUUGUCAGCACCUGUCACAUGCACACUCAACUUUGCGAAAAUUACGGGCAUUCUGUCGAAGAUUUCUAGUGAAGUAGAAAGCACGUGAAUGUUACUGUUCAAUCAUCCAAUUUUACACACGCAACAUCAGCUCACGGGUACCACAGAUAACUUUGCCAAAGAUCUCUGACAAAAUUCAAACACGUGAAGCUUGCAGCUCCCAUUACAUCUCUAUGACCAAGAAGGGUAAAAGAAUAAUAAAGAAACAGCAUUAACAAAGUUUAGACACAUAAAUUUUGAAGGUCUAGCUACCAUAUUAUUACCCACAAGGGUAAAAGAACAGGACCACUGCUGGAUAAUUGGAAAGUCUCUGUGUGUCAACCUCUGUGCUUCGUGGCAAGGUAGACUAGCAAACAGGCCUAACCUUUACUCACAUUCGAGAAAACACUCCCAACAAGAUUGCUUGCUUCAAGAUCGAAGAGGCACCGCCCUCCGAAUCUCGAGAGCCAGACUCCCAACAUGAUUACUUUCUUAAAAAUCGAAGAGACACCGCUCUCUGAAACUCGAGAGCCAGACUCCUAACAGGAUUGUUUUCGAUGCACCGUUCUCCUAAUCUCGAGAGACAGAUCCCCGACAGGAUCAUUUGUACUAAAUCAUUCACUUGUACUCACUAAGGAGAGCUUGAACCUAUGUACUGUGUAAACCUUUCACAAUUAAUGAGAACUCCUAUACUCCGUGGACGUAGCCAAUCUGGGUGAACCACGUACAUCUUGUGUUUGCUUUCCUGUCUCUAUCCAUUUACAUACUUAUCAACACUAAUGACCGGAGCAAUCUAGCGAAGAUCACAAACUUAAUACUUUCAGUUGUACCAAAGUCCUCACUGCUUUUGUGCAUCAACAAUCCGUAAGUCCUUACCUUUUUGCGUUGGUAAUGGAUGAGUUAACAGGACAUAUUUAAGAUGAUAUUCCUUGGUGUAUGCUUUUCGCAAACGAUGUAGUGUUGAUAGAUGAAACUCAGGAAGGGGUAAAUGUGAAGCUUAACCUUUGGAGAGAAGUGUUGGAAUCUAAAGGUCUUCGCCUAAGCCGAUCAAAGACAUAAUAUAUGGAGUGCAAGUUCAGUGCAAACGGAGGCCAAAAUGAGUUAGGAGUGAGGAUCGGAGAUCAGGAAUUACCAAAGAGCGAUUGUUUUCGCUACCUAGGAUCUAUCUUGCAAAAGAACGGAGAAUUUGAUGGAGAUCUCAACCAUAGAAUACAAGCUGGAUGGAUGAAGUGGAAGAGUGCAUCCGACGUGUUGUGUGACCGUCGUAGGCCACUGAAACUCAAGGGAAAAUUUUAUAGGACGGCAAUAAGGUUGACGAUGCUGUAUGACACAGAAUGUUGGGCGGUGAAGCAUCAACACGUAGGUGUAGCGGAGAUGAGGAUGCUUCAUUGGAUGUGUGGGCACACGAGAAAGGAUAAGAUUAGGAAUGAGGAUAUCCGAGGUAAAGUAGGAGUAGCCGAAAUUGAAGGAAAGAUGAGAGAAAAUCGGUUACGGUGGUUUGUACAUGUGCAAAGAAGGCCUACUGAUGCUCCGGUUCGAAGAUGUGACUAUGAGACAGAGGUUCAGGGCCGAACGGGUAGAGGAAGACCUAGGAAAACUUUGGAAGAUACCCUAAGAAAAGACUUAGAGUACUUGGAUCUAACGGAGGACAUGACACAAAACCGAGCGCAAUGACGUUCUAGGAUUCAUAUAGCCGACCCCACUUAGUGGGAAAAAGCUUUGUUGUUGUUGUUGUUGUUGUUGUGGUUGAUCUGAUUUGGAUGGGUUUGAGGGUUAGUUUCUAGGAAUGUUCCAUUGGUGUUCUUUUUCUUCUACACAGUUACCAAAAUCUCAAGUCCUCAUUUGAUCCUCGAGUACAACCCAAUCAUAUUUGCUGUAAUACAAUCAUAUUCUUGAGGUUUUGAUUUUUUACUCAUGUUUCUGCCUAAACUAAUAUACACGACUUCUAAUUCUUAUGGAAACACCUACAUGUUUUUGCUUUGCACGUUUGUGCUUGAAAACUUAGAUGCUAGAAUAAGAACGAAACAGUUUUUAUGUUUUUUUGUCAACUGCUAAAACAUGUGCCUAACCUACAUGAUAUAUAUUUUGUCAACUUGACUGCAGGGGCAAGAUUUGUGUGAACUGGAUGUUGCUUCUAUUUCUUCUAUUUAUUAGGGAAACAGAACGUUUAGUUUCAUCCUGUUAAUUGUGCAAUAUCUUUUCAUGUCAGCUAAGUUGUAUGUAUAUAAAAACGAAGUUGCAUAUCUUACUGAUCCCAUUCACUCAUUUAUCCUUUUGUUCAUUCAUGAUUGUGUUGAAUUUAUUCAGGCAAAAUGUGUCUUAAUCAUGCAGUUCAAGGUGGUGCAUUCAAGUCCCGCAACAACGUGCAGGCAUAUUUUCUAGUUUGUACUAAUUAACCAAAUACAUGCAACUCAAUAAGAUUUAGACAUCAGUAGUGUGUGAGAAAAAUAUACAUGGAGUGGCAUUUGAAAACUAGAAGAUUUUCACUAUUUUAAUAUGAUUAAUUGAAUAAUCUGUAAAGCAAAAAAAAAAAAUGAAAAUUAUUAAUUGAAUAAUUUGUAAUGCAAAAAAAGCUUUACCUCCCUCUGUGCAUGCUACCAAUUUACGAACUGCGGAUAGAUGGCCAGCGGAUGCAGCUACGUGAAGCGGAAGUUCUCCAUCAUGAUUUCUUUUGCGGACAAGCCCCGGAAAAGUUCGGGUAAUUAGUUCAAUAAGCUGCACGUGGCCUGUAUUUGCAGCAAGGUGAAGCAUCGUGUUCCCACGGAUGCUUACUUUGUUUUCACUACUUCGGACCAGCAAUUCUAUUUGAUGAGGAAUACCUGUGGCUCCGGCAAAAUACCUUGUGCGCAUAUCCCGUAUAAACUCUUGACAGAGGUAUAUUACUCCUGAAUUAGACAUCGUUGCAUACCUGUAUAGUAUAGGAUCCAUGCGCGUGUCUCCUGCAGUGUUCUCAUGAGCACCCUCGCCAGUUAUUUGAUCAUCUUGUCUUGAACUCUGGCUAACAUCCUCCAUUGCUAUUGCUAUUUCACCUUGUCCCUCGCCAGUUAUCUGAUCAUCUUGUCUUGAACUCUGGCCAACAUCCUCCAUUGCUGUUUCACCUUGUCCUAAACUUGAAGCAGCCAUUAAUUUGCAGAUUUAAUUUUGAGUUUUUUUUUUUUGGGGGGGGGGGGGGGGGGGGGGUUCAAACAGACAAAUGAUAUCAUUAUCACAUUUUUUAUACAUUGUAAUAUGGAGUAAACUGUGGAAAACUACUGUUGCCUUGCAAUGCAAGAUGCGGAACAAUCAUACAUAACAACGUAGUUGACUGACCAAAAAAACAAACAAACAAAUGAUAUCAUUAUCACAUGUUUUAUACAUUUUAAUAUGGAGUAAACUGUCGAUUUGUCCCCUAAAUUUUCACCUAGUUUCGAUUUCCUCCCUGAACUUUUCGAUUGGAAAAUUAAAGACUCAAACUAAUUUUUUUAGCCAAUUUGCCCCCUACCGUUAGUUUUUUCAAACAUUCCAUCUAUAUUUCUGUUAUGUGAGACCAUGUGCACAACAUGUGAGGGUAGUUAAGUCAUUUUACUCUUAAAAAUGAUUAAAAAACUGAAAAAAAAUUUAAGAAAAAAAAAACUUUCCCUCUAAUUCCUAUCCUCAAUUUUAUUUUUCACUCAUACAUAUGCAUGAGAAAUGACAUAUGGUGUUAUUGUCUUCAAAAGUAUCUAAGUUAAUUAGUCUUUUUCUUGAAGCAUGUACUGCCAUUUUUAUUUUCUUUAACAAAUUAAUAAUUUGACAAAUGUUCAUAGUGUUAUUGUCUCCAAAGCAUUGCAUUAAUAUAAGCAUGUUAAGUGUUGUGCUUCAUUUUAGAGACAUUAAGACUUUACUAGUAGAAGAGUUAGAAGAGUUAUAAAAAUAGUUUCUAAUAGUUAACAUGUCCGCCUUCUAGUAAAAACUACAACAAGUCAAAGAAAACAACUACUCCAAUCACUAGCAUCAAAACUCCAAAGAUCUGCUAACUGCACUAAUCCUAACUAUUCCUCCAAUUUUCUAGCAAUAGUAUCCAACCAAAUCACAAAAAAAAGAAGCAUAUCAUACCCACGCAGUUCCACAAAACUUUGUUUGCCUCCUUAAAGUACAAUGUUUUCAAAUAAUAAAUUAAUUACUAUAAAAGAGAAGAAAGUGCACAACUCAACCUAGAAUCAAAUGAUGAAUAUUUCAACUGCAUUCUUGCACAUUUAACACCAUGAGCAUUUGUCAAAUUAUUAAGUUGUUAGAGAAAAUAAAAAUGGUAGUACAUGCUUCAAAAAAAAAAACUAACUUAGAUACUUUUGAAGACAAUAACACCGUAUGUCAUUUCGCAUGCAUAGGAAUGAGUGAAAAAUAAAAUUGAGGAUAGGAAUUAGAGGGAAAAAAUAGUGAGAAAUUUAAAAAAAAAAAAUUAUUUUCAGUUUUUUAAUCAUUUUUAAGAGUGAAAUGACUUAACUACCAUCACAUGUUGUGUACAUUGUCUUACUUAAUAGAAAUAUGGAUGGAAUGUUUGAAAAACUAACGGUAAGGGGCAAAUAGGCUAAAAAAAUUAGUUUGAGUUCUUAAUUUUCCAAUCGAAAAGUUCAGGGAGAAAAUUAAAAAUUAGGUGAAAGUUUAGUGGGCAAAUCGACAAUUUACUUUUUUAAUAUGAGUAGCUCCUACCAAUACAUGUAGAUUCCAUACAAAAGUGAUAUUCUAAGAAUAUCAUCUUUGAAACAAAAGAACGUAAUCAUAAGGAAACCUGAACAAGGCAGCUGGUUUAAUAUUUUUACUUUAAAUAUGUGACAUGAGUCACACCUACUUUUGACGUGGUUAGAUAUGCGACAUGUUUCAACCGGUCAUCCAAAAAGUUAACUAAAACCACAAUCUUUACAGAAGAACUUCGGACCACAAUGCAAUUUUAUAAAGAUAUUUUUCGUCCAAAAAAUAAUAAGAGAACGAAAAGGAAAAAUUAAAAGCUUACAAUAAGACUAUAUAGUAUCUAAGUAAUGUGUUUUUCUCAAUUUAAGAUUAAUGUUGUUGAUGCACAAAAUCAGUGAGGAUUUUUGUACAACAGAAAGUGUCAAGUUUGUGACAUUUGCUAGAUUGCUUCGGUCACUAGUGCGGAUAAGUAUGUAAAUGGAUAGAGAUAGGAAAGCAAACACAAGAUGUACGUGGUUCACCCAGAUUGGCUACGUCCACGGAGUAGAGGAAUUCUCAUUAAUUGUGAAGGGUUCACACAAGUACAUAGGUUCAAGCUCUCAUUUAGUGAGUACUAGUGAAUGGUUUAGUACAAAUGACAUUAAGAAAUAUUGUGGGAGAAUGAUCUCCUUUUAUAGAAGAGAGUUUCUAGCUUUGUUCUGACAUUGACACGUGUUGUGUUGUGAUUGGCUUCCGAUGUUAACACGUGUUGUGCUAUGAUUGGCUUAUGAUGUCGACACGUGUCGCAUUGUGAUUGGCCUUCUGGUUGGAGGGAAACUCUUCUGGGUCCUUGACGGUAUAACGUUGACCGGUGCUCAGUAGUUUCGGGAUUGGUCAAGUAUGGUACAAACAAUGCUCCCCUAAGUUCUCGAGUGAGGGAAGCUCCUCGGUUGGGGACUUGCAAGAUCCAAGCCGCUGAGUAAUCACGAAACUUCUAAGUACCGAAGUGUGGUAUCGUCUUCACUUGCCUUAUCUGUCUCAUAGGUAGAUGUGACAUUUUCUUUAGAAGCACUUUUCCUCCAUCCAGGGGUGCUAUCUUUAACCGGUAGAGAUGCACAAGGUAAUGUAUCAAUUUGACUUGAAACUUACUUGUAGUUUCAGGCUUGGUCAAGCGGGAUACAAACCAUGUAGUAGGAGUCCCCUAAGUCGCCGAGCUAGGAGAUUUGCCGAAAGAGGUGACAGACAAGGUAAGCAAUCAGAGUUCCAAGCAAUCAGUCCCAGAUCAGAAGUUUGAUUUCGAGUUCCAGCUGAUUGUUCUCAUUUUCCUUAUCUUCCAGGCAACAAGAAGGAUAAAGAGAAGAAAAAAGAGAAAAGAUGAUAUGAGAUACUUUUGCUUUUGAAGAAGUAACUUUCCACAUGUUUAUUCUUGAACUGGGCUGGAGGGUUUUCUGGUUUCCUCCAGAGUAUAAGGCCGACUCAAGAAUUUGAGGGUCAAAACAAGUCAAUCAAAUCUAGAGUACGUUCGACCCUGAUGAUAUGAGAUACUUUUGCUGUUGACAAAGUAGUGGAUGUAUCGGCACGUAUUCUGUUGCGCUUGUCUCCACAUGCUUUCUUAUAUCCUUCUCACUUGCCCUAUCUGUUCCUCAGGCAGAUGUGGUAUCUUUUCUGGAAGCAUAAGAUGUUGAAGAUGAGUACUCGAGAGCAAUGUCAGGUAAGUAAUCAGGCAAAGAGUUCCUGGUAGUCAGUUCCUGACUGGAAGCUUGAUUCCAAGUACUGACUGAUUGCUCUCUUUCUCCUUAUCAUGCAGGUAAGAACAAGGCCAAAUGAAAAGACAGGGAAAAAGCAUGAAAUGUGAUACUCUUGCUUUUAACCCUGAUUAUAUGAGAUACUCUUACUCUGGUGUGGCUUGUUUGCAAAGAUAUUAUCGGGGGGAAAAUAAGCUGAGUAUUUCGAGAGACAAUGUUGAGAGUGCCCUCUCGGAUGUGAAGAAAAGUUGAGCAUUUUUUUUUAUUUGCAGGUUUACCUCGCUCUGGAGGAUGAAGGUCAACAUAUAUAGGAAUUGUCCCAACAGCGAGUAGUAACGAUGUUCCUUUAUCCUUCUCGGUCAUAACAAUGUAGUGGGAGCUGCAAGAUUGACUUGUUUUAACUUUAUCAGAGCACUUUGAAAAAGUGGUCCGUGGUAUCUGGAAAGCUGAUGUUGCGUGUGAAGAUUGCAGAUAAGUUUUAUCCAAGGAAAUCUGGCUCUUGAAGUUAGGAGAACGGUGCCUCUUUGGUUUUCGAACAAGCAAUCCUGUCGGGGAUCUGGCUCUCGAGAUUCGAAGAAUGGUGCCUCUUCGAUUUUUGAGAAAGCAAUCGUGUUGGGAUUCUGGCUGUCGAGAUUUGGAGAGCGGUGCCUCUUCAAUUUUUGAGAAAGCAAUCCUGUUAGGAGUCUGGCUCUCGAGAUUCGGAGAGUGGUGCCUUUUUAAUUUUUGAGAAAGCAAUCCUGUUGUGAGUCUGGCUCUCGAGAGUCGGAUAGUGGUGCUUCUUCGAUUUUUUAGAAAGCCAUCUUGGUAGGAGUUUGGCUCUCGAGAUUCGGGGAGCGGUGCCUCUUCGAUUUUUGAGCAAGUAAUCAUGUUGGGAGUGUUUUCUCGAUGUGAGUAAAGAUUGGACAUUUUUGCCAGUAUGCCUUGCCACGGAGCAUGGAGGUUGACACACACAAGGACUUUCUAGUUAUCAAGCAGUGGUGUUGUUCCUUUACCCUUGUGGGUAAUUGUAGGGUAGCUGGACUUUCAAAAUUUAUGUCUCUAAACUUUGUCAGAGAUCUUUGGCAAAGUUAUCUGUGGUACCCGAGGAGCUGAUGUUGCGUGUGGGGAUUGUUGACAUAUUUUACUCAGGAAAAUCUGCUUCUCGAAAUCCGGAGAGUGAUGCCUCUUCGAUUUUUGAACAAACGGCCCUGCUGCCCUUUCUUUUAUAAGGGCACCAAUUGUGUGCAAGAAGUACGUUCAGAGAGUUAUUGUUUAUAGGAAUUUUCCCUUUAUUUUCGUACUUCAGAGAUUUAUUGGACCUCAUUUCUCCUUCAUCAUUUUUGAAAAUGUCUGGCCCAUCCGACCGUCGUUUUGACUUAAACUUUGGUGAAGAGCCAGUCAUGCCUCCUCAAGACAACAUAUGGCGUCCAUCCUUCUUAUCCCCUACUGGUCCUCUUAUCGUUAGGGACUCUGUGAUGAAGAAUGAUAUGACCGCUGCGGUGGUGGCCAGGAACCUUUUCACUUCCAAAGAUAACAUACUACUUUCCAAACGGUCUGAUGAGUUUACUGUUAAGAAUUCUCUAGCUCUCAGUGUUCAGUAUGCAGGUUCUGUGUUUAAUAUGACCCAACGCCUAUUUGCUCGAACCCGCCAAGUUAAAUCAUGGGCGGCUGAAGUGAUAAAUCUCAAACAAGAGAUUAGAGGGCUCAAGCAUGAGAAUAAACAGUUGCACAGGCUCGCACAUGACUAUGCUACAUGAAAAUGAAGCUUGACCAGAUGCAGGAAUCUGAUGGUCAGAUUUUACUUGAUCAUCAGAUGUUUAUGGGUUUGUUCCGAAGGCAUUUAUUGCCUUUGUCUUAUGGGGCUGUACCGCGUAAUGAAGCUUCAAAUGAUCAACCUCUGAUCCCUCCUCCUUCUGAGGUUCUGUCCAGUACUGAGGCUCUGAAUGAUCACCCUGUCUACACUUUUUGGGGCUCUGCCGAUUGUUGAGACUUCCCCUAAGUAGCCUUUGUGAAGGCUCCAUCUUGUUUGUUUAUUUUGACUCAUGUAUAUAUACAUAUUUGUAACUUAUCGGAGAUAUCAAUAAAUAAGCUUUGCUUCAUUUCAAUGUAUUGUGUUAAAUACACCAAAGCCUUCUUCACUAAGUUCUUUGAAUUUUUUCUUUUGUUGAAGCUUUGUGAGUGAAGCAUGUAGGUUGAGGUAGUGUUCCCUUAAUUUCCCAAGUGAGGAAAACUUCUCGGUUGGAGACUUGAAAAAUCCAAGUCACUGAGUGGUCGUGAGACUUCCGAGUAUCAAGGUGCAAUAGCAUAUGGUAGGAGUCCCCCAAGUCUUCGGUUGAGUGAGUUAACGAAUGAGGCAUUUCCUUUCUAAGUGGUAGCCCAAAACUCAUCAUUCAUAUAUAUUUGUUAUGAAAGUUGUUAAGCCCAAAGAAGAGGAGGCCUAGGCAAUUUUUUUUUUUUUUCGAAAUUUCAAAUUUCUGAAUAUAUAUAUAUAUAUAUAUUAAGCUUAGUGAAGCUUUGGUGUUGAAGCUUGUAGGUGAAUCUUUGAGGUUGAAGCUUUGUUGGAUACCAUGAAUUGAUUUUGCUUCACACUAUCUUGAUCAAGAGUGUGUGAAGCUUUUGUAUGUGAAGCUUUUGUAUUGAAACUUUGUAGGUGAAGUUUUUGUGGGUGAAGUUUUUGUAGGGUGAAGCUUUUGUGGAUGAAGCUUUUGUAGGGUGAAGUUUUUGUUGGUGAAGCUUUUGUGUUGAAGCUUUUGCAGAUGAAUCUUUGGAGUUGAAGCUUUGGGGUUGAAGCUUUUAUAGGUGAAGCUUUGGAGUUGAAGCUUUUGUUGGGUACCAUUAAUUGAUUUUGCUUCACACUAUCUUGAUCAAGAUAGUGUGAAGCUUUUUAGAAUUUGUAGUUGCCUUCCAUUUGUUAAAACUUUUGUUGGUAAAGCUUUGUAGGUGAAGCUUUGUUGGGUACCCUGAAUUGAUUUUGCUUCACACUAUCUUGAUCAAGAUAGUGUGAAGCUUUUGAGAAUUUGUAGUUACCCUCCAUUUGUUGAAGCUUUUGUUGGUGAAGCUUUUGUACGGUGAAGUUUUUGUACGGUGAAGUUUUUGUGGGUGAAGUUUUUGUGGGUGAAGCUUUUGUGUUGAAGCUUUUGUAAGUGAAGCUUUGGAGUUGAAGCUUUGUAGUUGAAGCUUUGGAGUUGAAGCUUUUGUAGGUGAAGCUUUGGAGAUGAAGCUUUUGUUGGGUACCAUGAAUUGAUUUUGCUUCACAUUAUCUUGAUCAAGAUAGUGUGAAGCUUUUGAGAAUUUGUAGUUACCCUCCAUUUGUUGAAGCUUUUGUACGGUGAAGUUUUUGUGGGUGAAGCUUUUGUAGGUGAAGCUUUUGUGUUGAAGCUUUUGUAGGUGAAGCUUUGGAGUUGAAGCUUUGUAGUUGAAGCUUUUGUAGGUGAAGCUUUGGAGUUGAAGCUUUUGUUCGGUACCAUGAAUUGAUUUUGCUUCACAUUAUCUUGAUCAAGAUAGUGUGAAGCUUUUUAGAAUUUGUAGUUGCCUUCCAUUUGUUAAAGCUUUUGUUGGUGAAGCUUUUGUGGUGAAGUUUGGUUGGUACCAUGAAUUGAUUUUGUUUCACACUAUUGAUCAAGAUAGUGUGAAGCUUUUGAGAAUUUGUAGUUACCAUCCAUUUGUUGAAGCUUUUGUUGGUGAAGCUUUUGUGGUGAAGUUUUGUUGGGUACCAUGAAUUGAUUUUGCUUCACACUAUCUUGAUCAAGAUAGUGUAAAGCUUUUGAGAAUUUGUAGUUGUCCUUCAUUGAUGAACUGGGCUUGAAUUUCCCAAUUUCCUUUUUUUUUUUUCGGAAACUAGAAAUUUGAAAAUGUGGGAGAGACAACAUAUACAAAUUUUGCUUCCACACUGUUGAGCAAGAAAUUGUGAUACAAGCCACACCUUGUAGUAGUCGAAGGUUUGGAUGAACCAGAUAAAUUGAAUUUGCUUCGAAUAAUCUUGAUCAAAAGUGUGUGAAGCUUUUUAUGAGUUGUAGUUGCCCUUCAUUGAUGAAGCUUUUGUUGGCAUCAUAAAUUGAUUUUACUUCACACAAAAGCUUUUGAGAAUCGUGGUUGAACUCCUUUGAUGAAGCUCUUGUUGGCACCAUAAAUUAGUUUUGUUUCACACUGUCUUGAUAAAUAAUGUGUGAAGCUUUUGAGAAUUGUGGUUGCCCUCCAUUGAUGAAGCUCUUGUUGGCACCAUAAAUUGGUUUUGCUUCACACUGUCUUGAUCAAGAAUGUGUGAAGCUUUUGAGAAUUGUGGUUGAACUCAUUUGAUGAAGCUCUUGUUGACACCAUAAAUUGAUUUUGCUUCACAUUGUCUUGAUCAAGAGUGUGUGAAGCUUUUGAGAAUUGUGGUUGCCCUCCAUUGAUGAAGCUCUUGUUGGCACCAUAAAUUGGUUUUGCUUCACACUGUCUUGAUCAAGAUUGUGUGAAGCUUUUGAGAAUUGUGGUUGAAUUCCUUUGAUGAAGCUCUUGUUGGCACCAUAAAUUGGUUUUGUUUCACACUGUCUUGAUCAAGAGUGUGUGAAGCUUUUGAGAAUUGUGGUUGAACUCCUUUGAUAAAGCUCUUGUUGGCACUAUAAAUUGGUUUUGUUUCACACUGUCUUGAUCAAAAGUGUGUGAAGCUUUUGAGAAUUGUGGUGGCCCUCCAUUGAUGAAGCUCUUGUUGGCACCAUAAAUUAGUUUUGUUUCACACUGUCUUGAUAAAGAGUGUGUGAAGCUUUCGAGAAUUGUGGUUGAACUCCUUUGAUGAAGCUCUUAUUGGCACCAUAAAUUGUUUUUGCUUCACACUAUCUUGAUCAAGAGUGUGUGAAGCUUUCUACGAGUUGUAGUGUUUGCAUUGUUACAGAGGAGAAAUGUUUGAAGCAGAUGCAAGAGGGCUGAAUAGCUUGAUCUUCGUAUGCCAUGCACUGAAGUUGUUGUUGGCUUGCAAUAAGACUUUGUUGGUGACUAUAACUCUUGUUGGGCAUAAGUGCUCCCCUAGUUGAGUUGUCAAGCUUGAGGGGUUUUGAUUAUUUGUGAAUGCUAGGAGUUCACAUGUACAAGUUGUACCACUCGUCUUCUAGUAAGUGGAAUGAAUGGUGAGUUGCUUUCAUCACUUGGUUGGUGGUACGAAUGUGAGUUCCUUCAGCACCUUUCAUCACAUUUCAUCAUCUGGUUGGUGGCACGAAGAUGAGUUCCUUUUUCACCUAGUUUGUGGCAUGAAUGGCAAGUUGCCAAAUGAUAUUAGAGUACGGGUUGUAUAUUUCAUCACCUAGUUGGUGGCAUGAAGAUGAGUUCCUUUUUCACCUAGUUGGUGGCAUGAGUGGUAAGUUGCCAAAUGAUAUUAGAGUACGGGUUGUAUAUUUCAUCACCUAGUUGGUGGCAUGAAGAUGAGUUCCUUUUUCACCUAGUUGGUGGCAUGAGUGGUAAGUUGCCAACUGAUAUUAGAGUACGGGUUGUACAUUUCAUCACCUGGUUGGUGGCAUGAAGAAAAGUACGAGUUGUACAUUUCAUCACCUGGUUGAUGGCAUGAACAUGAGUUCCUUCUUCACAUUUCAUCACCUGGUUGGUGAGAAUAAGGGAAAGGUGUCGAGGCACAUUGUAGCAAGUGUCGAAUGACACAAAGUAUGUUGAAACCUUUCGAAGCACAGUUGGCUUAUGUAUGAAUGUGUUGGAAUGUAUGAUUGAACGAAUAUACUGUGAAACUGUUCGUUUAUUUGUACAGUCUUGUUGACAUAUACUUAGACUUUGUUUUAUGUUGGAAACAUUUAUGUUGAAGCUUUGAACCCUAGUGUUUCAUUGCUAGGAAUGUAAGAGGAUUAGGACCGAGUUGUCUAAAUCACCUCUUUAUUGAAUUCAUGCAAAAUAGUCAUCGCUACAUAGGAUGCCGAACGGCUGAAGCUUAACACUUGUACAAUGUGAGUUUACUUGUAAUAGUACUUCAAGUGAUCAGCGUUCCAUGGAUGGCCAAGCGUCUUGCCAUUGGAGCUUUUAAGUUUGUAGGAGCCAGGCGACUGAUGCCAACAACUUCAAACGGUCCAUCCCAGUUUGGACAAAGUGUUCAUUCACUCGGGUCUCUGUCGCAGAGUAAUCUUUUCUUCAAUACCCAGUCCCCUACUGUGAAAGAACGAGGUUUGACCCUUGAGUCAUAGUAGUUGGAGAUGCGCUGCUUAUAGGCGACAUUCCUCAAGUGAGCCUGGUUUUUGUGUUCCUCGACUAGAUCUAAGUUGAGGGUAAGUUGUUUGUCAUUUUCACUUUGCACGUAGUUCUGGACUCGGAACGUUGCUUGCUCAAGCUCAACUGGGACAACUGCCUCCGUACCAAAGGCAAGUGAGAAUAGGGUUUCUCUUGUUGACGUCCGAUACGAAGUACAGUAUGACCAAAGAACUUGGGGUACAAAUUCUGGCCAACAACCUUUAGCCUUGUCCAAGCUGGUUUUCAAAGUUCGCUUGAUUAUUUUGUUGAUGGCUUUGACUUGUCCAUUAGACUGGGGAUGAGUUAGGGAGGCAAAAUAUAAGUUGAUGUUGAACUUAGAGCAAAACAUCCUGAACUUAUUGUUGUCAAACUGUUGCCCGUUGUUAGUGAUUAUCGCAUUGGGAAUGCCGAAUCUGCAAAGGAUGUUCUUACAUACCAAGUCUUCUAUUUUUGCCUCAGUAAUGGUUGCCAAGGGUUCUACUUCGGCCCACUUUGUGAAGUAGUCAACUGCAACGAUUGCAUAGCGGACCUUGCCCUUCCCUGCAGGCAUUGGGCCGAUCAAAUCAAGCCCCUAUUGGGGGAAGGGCCAAAGGCUAAUCAUAGGAGUGAGGGCUCGGGAGGGGAGUGAGUAAUAGUUGCAUAGCGUUGACACUUAUCACAUGAGCGGGAUAUUCUGAUGGCAUCUUGGUGGAGUGUUGGCCAGUAAUAUCCUUGGCGAAAAGCCUUGUGCGCUAGGGAUCGAGAUCCAACAUGAUCUCCGCAGACUCUUUCAUGUAUUUCCCGAAUGACAGUUUCCGCCUCUGCGGGCGUAAGGCAUCUUAGGUAUGGUAGGUUAAAACCCCGCUUGUAGAGUUGGUUAUUAAUGAUCAAGUAACGAGUAGCUUUGUAUCGAAUCUGCUUAGCUUGGACUUUGUCAUUUAGAAGGGUGCCAUGAGCAAGGAAUCUAUAAAUCGAGGUAAUCCAACUAUCCACCUGUUGUAAGUUGCACACUUUUGUAGCCAUGUUGCUUGGUGCUGCUAACAAUUCGACCUAAAUUUUUCUCCCAAUCUUGUCUUCCACCGCUGAGGCGAAGCAAGCCAAAGCAUCUGCAUGAUUGUUUGCCACUCGAGGAAUUUGGGUAAUCUGGUAGUGGAAAUGCUUGAGCAACAAUUAUGUUUAUGCCAGAUAUGCUGCCAUGGAGCUAUCCUUAGCAUCAAAGUUGUUGGUGACCUGGUUAACCACCAAUUGGGCAUCACUGAAGAUAUCAAUUCGUUUAACCCUAAGGUGUUUAGCCAAACGUAAGCAUGUUAUGAGGGCUUCAUAUUCGGCCUCAUUGUUCGACGCCUUGAAUUUGAAACGAAGAGCAUACUCCAUCGUCACUUGUCAAGGGUCGUAAGGACUAGUCCUGCUCCAUAACCUUGUUGGUUAGACGAGCCAUCAACAUAUAGACUCUAUGCUGGGGCUGUUGGUUCUAGUUUCUGAGCUUCCGAGAGUAAUGAAACCACUUCUUUAGGCGUAAAAACAAUGUCAACAAGAUAUGUGAAGUCGGCGAUGAAGUCUACCACUGUUUGGCCCUUCUCAGCUGGCUUUGGUUGGUAGGAGAUGUCAAACUCACCUAAUGCUAUCGCCCAUUUGAUUAUUCACCCCGAAGUGUCAAGACUUUGGAGUAUCUGUCCAAGAGGAUGAUUGGUAAGCACGAUGAUGGAGUGUGCUUGGAAGUAAGGGCGAAGUUUUCGAGCAGACAUGACCAAUGCUAGAACCAAUUUCUCAAUGUUGAAGUAUCGUGUUUCUGCAUCUUGUAAGGCCUUACUAGCGUAGUAGACAGGCCGUUCGACAUUACCAUCAUUUCGAAUGAGAACGGAACUUACUGCUGAAGCCGAUACCUACAGAUAGAUCAUGAGAGUGUCACCAACCUCUGGUUUGGAGAGUAGAGGGGCGUUAUUCAUGUAGUCUUUGAGGUUUUUGAAUGCCUCGGCACAUUCAUCAGUCCAUGUAAUGUACUUCUUACUUCCCUUAAGUGCUUUGAAAAAAUGAGCACAUCUGUUUGUGGCCUUAGAGAUGAACCUAGUUAAGGCUGCCAUCUUGCCAGUAAGGCUCUGGAUGUCUUUUGAAGUUACCAGUUCCUUCAUGUCGAGGAUUGCUUUAAUCUUCUCGGGAUUAGCCUUAAUGCCUCGUUGGCUUAUCAUGAAGCCUAAGAACUUGCCAGAGCCUACACUGAAGGCACAUUUGUUGGGGUUCAACCUUAUUCGAUAACUCUUCAGAAUGGGGAAAGUUUCAGAUAGGUUGGUGAUGUGUUGGUCAGCAUGUUUGCUUUUGACUAGCAUAUCAUCAAAGUAAACUUCCAUGCUCUUCCCAAUCUGUUCGACGAACAUUGAAUUGACCAGUCUCUGAUAAGUUGCUCCUGCAUUCUUUAGGCCAAAGGGCAUGACUUUAUAGCAAUAUAGUCCCCUGUCAGUAGUGAAGGUUGUGUGUUCUUGGUCCGAAGGGUUCAUGAGGAUUUGGUUGUAUCUUGAGUAAGCAUCCAUGAAGCUCAGGAGUUCACACUCUGUCGUAGAGUCUAUAAGUCUGUCUAUGAGAGGAAGAGGAAAGCUAUCAUUCGGGCAUCCUUUAUUUAGGUCGGUGUAAUCGACACACAUUCUCCACAAGACCUUUUGGAGCAUGAGACUUUCCUUGGUCGGAUUCUUUUUAACAAGGAUAACAUUAGCUACCCACGUUGGAUAAUUGACUUCGUGGACGAAGCCUAUGCCUUUGAGUUUUUCAACUUCUACCUUCAUUGCUUCGUACUGUUCAGUGUCAUAAGAUCUUCGCUUCUGUCUCACUAGCUUGGUCUUAGGGUCAUUACUUAAGCGAUGACAGAUGAUAUCAGGAGAGAUGCCAAGCAUGUCCUCGUAUGACCAGACGAAGACCUCAGUGUUCUCUUGCAAAAAAGAAAUUAAUGCCAACCGAAUGGGUGGUGACAAAGUGGUGCCAAUCUUCACCAUGCGAUCCAGAUAAUCUUUUGAGAUAGAGACCUUCUCCAACUCUUCAGCGGGUUGUGCUUGCUGGGUGAAAGAGUCAUCUCGAGGAUCGUCGGGUUGACUGUUGCCACCGUGAAGAUCCAAGUUGGCUUCUUCUGGGCUGGUCUUUAUGACUUGGUCAUGUAUAGAAAGGGUUUCCUUGGGCACAUGCAUGUGUUGUUGCUUAAACGAAGUGUUGUAACAUGAUCGUGCACUAAGUUGGUUUCCUCUGAUGUAACCAUUGCCAUAGAGGGUUGGAAAUUUCAUCAACAACAUAUGUGUGGAUACCAUGGCCUUGAGAUCAUUGAUGCAUGUGCGUCCGAAGAUGACAUUGUAUGCCGUUGGGCAAUCAACCAUCAGGAAGUUAGUGGUAAUGGUAACUGUGUAAGGGCCCGUACCAAUGGUAAAAGGUAAGUGUAUGCUCCCUAAAGGUUACACGAUAUCACCGGAGAAGCUUAUCAGAGGAGAAAUCGAGCGAUCGAGCAAGUGUUCAGCUACAUUAAGUGCCUUGAAAGCUUCAGCAAACAUGAUAUUGACCAAAGCCCCCGUGUCUACCAGGAUUCAUCGUACUUCAAAGUUGGCUAUGUGAGCUUCCACGAUCAGUGGGUCGUUGUGAGGGUAGAUGAUACCUCAUUCUUCCUUAGGGUAGAAACAUAUUGGAUCCCAAUUAGGCUUUUGAUACUUGCCUCCCCUGAUGUCUUCCCCGUGAAACACUUGGUGGCCAGACCUUAAAGCUCGUUCACUAUUUUUCAUGGCCUUGUUGGAAGAUUUAGAUAUGGGUGUGCCACCACUUAUGGAAUAUAUCACAUUCACCUGGCGUUGGUUACAGUUACCCCUUGAAGGGUGAAUGAGGAAUUGAUCAAUUUUUCCUUCACGUGUUAAAGCUUCAAUAUGAUUACGAAGGGUGAUACACUUCUCGCCGUCAUGGCCGAUAUGCUCGUGGUAGCAGCAAAACAUGUCCGUGUUCUUCGUGGACUUGUAAUCCGGGUGCCUCGGCUUUGGCUUUGGUAUCAGGUGUGCUAUGCUGGGGUAAGUGGUCACGCAUGUGGAAUUCAAAGGUGUGUAUGCCUCAUGCCUCGGGGUAGGGCAUGUCCUGACACGUGCUUGACCCACUGUGUUGACUGCCUGGGGUCGGGGAUUAUCGUGGUGAUACCCUUGGUUAUCGUGGUAGUGUCCCUUACUCUUUUUACUAAAAUGAGAUUGGUGAGGAUGGAAAAUUUUCCUUUUGCCCUGAGAUUGAUAUGUCUGUUGACUUGGCAAAGUAUUAAGUAAGGUAGGGGGAGGUACCGUUACCGUUUGGAAGGUUGAGGUCUUCUCAUUUGGGUAGGUCUGGCUUCCACUCCCCACUUGCUGAUAGGGGAUAGUUGUUGGGGGUUUCUCUUGGUAUGUCCUUGCCUCGGCAGAUGCAUGGUAAUAAGUAUGCGCCAUCACCUUAGAGUAAGUCUUCCAAGUGUUGGCAUUGAUCAUGUACUUAAAGAAACAGUCACGUAGGCCUGCUGUGAAGGCUUUGAGGGCAGUCUUGUCGUUUGCCUCGGCACAACGAGAAUACUCAGGGCUGAAGCGGCCAUCAUACAUACGUAAUGACUUGUCUGGCUUCUGGCGAAUAGUGUACAAGUCAUCCGCAGAGUGCAAGCGAUCGGUCUGGAAAAUGUGUUGAGAAACAAACAGUUUCCUCAAUUCCUCAAAUGAGUCUACCGUCUCAGGUGGAAGACGGAAAUACCAGUUUAGAGCUCCGCCAGAGAGGAUAAAGGGGAAGAGAAAACAUCGCUCUUCGUCAGUAUGCAUCCGGUAUGCCAUGGUGGACUCAAAGAGGUUAAGGUGUUCAAUCGGGUCCUCAUUUCCAUUAUAGAGUUGCAAGCCAAGCUUCUGCUUUGUCUUUGCUUGGAGAAGGUGUCAAAGAUCUUCCUUGUAAGAGGGCCAGGCCUAGGUUGGUUCCAAUCAGGUAUCUCAGCUUGUCGUUCGGCCUUCAACUUGUUUACUUCUUUAAGGAGUUGUAGGACAAGAGGGUCCUGAGUGGAGUCAUGUACCAUUGGAGCUUUCUUUCGUAAAUCUCCAUCUCCUCUUGGAAGUAGGAAGGUUUGAUCAAGAACAUGUGAUUUUUCCCUGGAUUCGCCGUACUGACUUUCAAGGUAUGUUUGUCGGAACAUCUCUGAGUCCCCUAUACCUUAGUGUUUCUUUAGGACUUGUUGCCCCUUCCCCAAAUUGGUAGCCGACCUGGGAUAUAGGAAGGGACCGAGUCUUUCAGAGACCUUUGGGUCAUUGAUCUUCGAGCUUACAUGGAUGGGAUUGUCUCAACGUUGCUUUAGGAAGUCUCGACAGUCGUGAAAGACGGCUUUCGAUCCUUCCACUCCUUUUGUAAGGAUGUGCCUUCCUCCACUCAUUCUACUUCGAGUCGAAGCAGCUGGGUUAAGAGAAGUCUCAUGUUGGUCGCCAUUUUGAUGAGUAGCUCGCUCCUCAACAAGAAUACCCAUGUCGAGGGCAAAUGACCCUCCAUGUUAGGGGGCACCCAGUUGAUGGUUGACUUCCACAUGGGUGAUGAGCUCGUGUGUUUUAGUAUAUUUAGCCUCGUGAAGCAUCUCGAAGACCUUCUCAUACUGCUCUUGAAAGAUCUCAUUCUUCAUUGCUAUCUUGUUGUUCUGAGCCUCCAACUCAUCGACUUUAGCCUGAAUAACAAACUUCUUUGUUUCUUCUUUCGUUGCUUCGCACCAGGUGAAAGAGGGGUGUCAUUUUGUGUGUUGUGGCUUCCUUUGCUCCCCAUGUUGGAAAGGGAUGCCUGGUCAAAAGAGAGUGUACGAAUGGUGGAAACCAGCUUAACAAAUUUGAAAAAAGUGGGAAUAAGUGUCGUUCCCACAGACGGCGCCAAAUAUUAAUGCACAAAAUCAGUGGGGAUUUUGGUACAACAGAAAGUGUUAAGUUUGUGACCUUCGCUAGAUUGCUUCAGUCACUAGUGUGGAUAAGUAUGUAAAUGGAUAGAGACAGGGAAACAAACACAAGAUGUACGUGGUUCACCCAGAUUGGCUACGUCCACGGAGUAGAGGAAUUCUCAUUAAUUGUGAAGGGUUUACACAAGUACAUAGGUUCAAGUUCUCCUUUAGUGAGUACUAGUGAAUGAUUUAGUACAAAUGACAUUAGGAAAUAUUGUGGGAGAAUGAUCUCAUUUUAUAGAAUAGAGUUUCUCGCUUUGUUCUGACAUUGACACGUGUCAUGUUGUGAUUAGCUUCCGAUGUUGACACGUGUCGCGCUAUGAUUGGCUUUUGAUGUCGACACGUGUCGCGCUGUGAUUGGCCUCCUAGUUGGAGGGAAACUCUUAUGGGUCCUUGACGGUAUAACGUUGACCGAUGCUCGGUAGUUUCGGGAUUGGUCAAGUAUGGUACAACAAAUGCAAUUCAACAGAAUAUAUGAACAUCAAUCUGAAGAAACUUUUCUGAAUAGAAAAGCAUACGAGAAUCGAGAGAGAGGAGGUGAAAAGGGAAGGCAAGGGGAGUAGGAUAGAGAGCCAAAACAAAAUUAAUUAUUUAAGGGAGAGAAAUGAAAAAAAAUCAUAUUUUAGUUUCUAAUGUAUAUUUGUUUAAAAACGUAAAGAAAAUUAAUUGCCAUUACAUCUCAACUGGGAUAAUCUAAUGGCCUAAAUUUGUGUUAAACAUUACGUAUAAAAUAUGGUGUGAAAGGUUAAAACCAAAUUCAUGCAUCGCUGUGAGUGGUAGUUGUGAACAAUCUCGAGCAACUUACAAAACAGUAGACAACCGUGAGCAAACCUGAGGCCGGGUUAGGGGGUGUGCUGGCCAAAUGCUCUCUGAAAGUCAAGUUAGUGCAUAGUUUUAGACUCAAAUAAAGAGCAAGAGAAUUUAAGUGUUCAGAUUGUGUUACCAUAGAUGAACCCUAGAUGAGUGUAUUUAUAUCAUGGGAAGAGAGCCAAUUUUAAGAUAGGAAUUUAAAGGACAUCUAGAAGUAGAUAUUGCACCUUGAAAAUCUUCAACUUUUGUGAAGGGAAAAGGAAAGGAGGCCAUUCUUAGGAUUUAUUGGUUAGGAUGGGGGGUUGUCCCUUCCAUGGUUUAAACUUUGUCUUUUUGUCGUAAUACAAACUUAUUUUUGUUCCUUCUUCGACUAUGGAAGAAUCUUAAUCUGAUAAACCUCUUUUAAGUAAACGAACUUUGAAGGAGAAAUAAAUGGCAGAGUGGGAUACAAGUAAGUUUGUGGGCGGGAUAUAGCUCAAAAAUUCCCCCUAGUAAUGUUGAUUCGUAGGAACAUUAUUUCUCAAACCUAUAACAUUCAUAAAGUAUUCUCAUCGUGAUAUCCGGAGCAUCACAUUACUCUGAUACCAGGAAUUAAACAUUAAACUCAUGAGAAAAUUUUUGCUCUAUAUUUAUUUAAACACAUUUAUCGAAUUAAGAGUUUCGAGUCGUACCUGAGAACAACUUGUAAAUAAGGGCUGAUUCUUCUAUGCCUUGCCCUAGUUCUUGGGUCAAUGGCUUCAAUACUUGCAACAUGGUGCCAUAGAAAAACGAUCUUUCCUAGCCCAAAUUAUGUAUUCGUUUCUAGUGAAUAUUAAACAAAAUUCUUUGGAGACUUGGUUGUCGGCAUGCAGGUUGGAAACAUUUUUUUAGUUCUUUUGUCAAACCCUAUGAGUCGAACCUGAGCAAUUCCGAUUGGACUAUCUUGAUUGGUUUGGCCAAAACAUUUCCGCGUAUCAGAGCUUUAUUAGAAUAAAAUUCCUCUUGGGGAUUUCCUAGUCUGGAUGCCCUCUUCGGAUUGCUAACACACAAUGUUGCAUAACAUAGUUGACUUAGUAUUUUGGUUCGAGAUAGAAGUAGUCGUACUUAAGGUUAGACUUCAGAGCCACCUUUAGAUGAUUUCCGGAUCGCCCUUUCGACUAUUCUUUCAAAUGGUGUAGAUCCCAGGUUUGAAUGUUAUAACCCACGACUUUUCUCGUUGUAUAAACUUUCCGGAAAAUGGGUGGUGUAUUGGACUUCCGGGUCAAGGUGCCGUGUGCCUGUAUCCUGUCAAUCAUAACCACGCUUAUUACCGUUUGAGUCUCUCAAGUUGAUAACCAUUCAAGAUAGGAUGGGCGGAGAAAGGCUACUUUGAUAGUAUUACUUUGAGCUAUUUUAGACUUGCUUUCAUGAGAAGUUUUCAAAUUUUAUGCCUUGUCUUGCCUGUGGUGAGUGAGGUAAUAGGAUUGAUUCAUGAUUGAAAUAUGCAACUCCACCCCUAAGCAUUUCCAAAGUAGUAAGGCCCCCUUUGGGCUAUAGGCAACUUAAUCCCCUUACUGAAAAAUAAUUGUCUGUAGUGAACAGUAACUGCUCAAGUGUAUCUCCACCCCUAAACUGAAUAGCCUAGACAAUUCGUUAAAAUAUUUUUUUUUCUUCAUAAAAUGCUAAAAAAGAAUUUUACUUUUAAUUUCAGAUAAUAAUAAAAGAUUGGUUGAAAGAAUUUGAAAAUAUUGAAAUAUGAUGUAAGGUGGAAGAACAUGGUUCGGUAUUUGUAGGAAAAAAAAUACAAUUUUUAUAUUUUAUUGUAUUUUUAAUUAAUUUCUUUUAAUUGUUUGUAUUUUUAUUUUUAAUAAUUUUUUGUAUUUUAAUUAUUUUUUUAAUUUCUACUAAUGUCACUACGAUGUUAGCAUUGCAUCACAUAAGCCAGGCGCUGGGCUUGUCAAUUUCUACCUGGGGGAAAAACUGGGCUCCCUUGGAGCCUAGGGGACUUGGAUACGCUGGAGCCCUUUUUGCUCGGGGGAGGGGAUUGGAUCAUAGUGUAAGUGCUUUAAGUGAUGGUGAUGCUCGCCACCCUAUGUAUCAGCAUAAGAUGAGUUUAAAUAUCGAGAUCUGUGUAUUGGAUAAAGACUCAAAUAUCCAAAUUAAACUCAUCCAAAAGUAAUAAAUAAGGUGGUGAGCAAAAAUGCACCCAUAUUUGUGACUUUAAAAAGUGAGAUGAUGAUAUUCUCCUCAAAUCUUUUCACCUCAUCCUCACCUGCCCUUUUCUUUUAUGUUUGCUCCCUAAAUUGGCAGGUGUGGGCGUGCCACUACUAGAUACUGCGAGUAGACGGGCUUUGAAUGAUUAAGGUAGUGUCUGAGUUCGACUUCUAACCAAGAGAUUGUGCCAUUGAGUGGUAGUGGCUCUGGUAUUGCUCAUUUGAAGGUCUUUGGUUCAAUCUGUUAUGUUCACACUCCAUCUGAGCUAAGGCACAAACUAGAAGCUAAAAGUAUAAAGGGAGUUUUUGUUGGUUAUGCCAAGUGUGAGAAAGGGUACAGAAUUUUUGAUCCACUCUCCAAAAGGUUGAUAUUGUCAAGAGAUGUUGUGAUUGAUGAAGAUUCAAGUUGGGACUGGCAGGGAAGCUCAAAUAAACAUGUGACUAUGCCUAAUUAUGAAUGGCAGUCAAUUGAGAUACCAAGGAGUGAGUUCACAGAUGAUGAGACUCAAGUCUCAAAUAAUUCAUCACCAGGUUAUUUGAGAGAAACUCUAAGUGAUACUGAUGAUGCUCAGAUUACUCCACAAUCACAGUCAAGUGAGUUCUCUAGCAGAGUAUGCGAAAAUGUGAGAGAUUCACAAGCUUUUGAUCAUACUCCAUUGAAAUGGAGAAAUCUGGAAGAUGUUCUUGCUCAGUGCAACUUGUGCAUCAUAGAACCAGAAAAGUAUGAAGAUGCUGAAAAGGAUGAGUCUUGGAUGAAAGCCAUGAAGGAUGAGCUUUCCAUGAUAGAGAAGAAUGCAACCUGGAAGUUGGUAGACAGACCAACUAAUAAGCCUAUAAUUGGAGUUAAAUGGGUAUUUAAAACCAAACUCAACCUUGAUGGAACUGUGCAAAAGAACAAGGCUAGGCUUGUUGCAAAGGGAUAUGCCCAGAAACCAGGAAUAGACUAUAAUGAGACUUUUGCCCCUGUUGCUAGGUUGGAUACAAUCAGAACUCUUAUUGCCUUGGCUGCACAAAAGAGUUGGAAACUCUAUCAGCUUGAUGUAAAAUCGGCCUUUCUUAAUGGUGUUCUGGAAGAGGAGGUGUUUGUAGAGCAACCUGAUGGAUUUGUAAUCACAGGAAAGGAAGACAAAGUGUAUAAACUCCAUAAAGCUCUCUAUGGUCUCAAACAGGCUCCCAGAGCUUGGUAUGGGGAGAUUGAUACCUAUUUUACACAGUGUGGUUUUAUGAAAAGCCUAAGUGAGGCUACUCUUUACACCAAAACAAGGGGAGAUGAAAUUCUGAUUGUUUCAAUCUACGUGGAUGACAUUGUGUAUACUGGGAACAGCAAUGAUCUGUUGAAAGAAUUUAAGGAUGAUAUGAUGAUCAAAUAUGAAAUGACUGAUUUGGGUAUUCUCCAUCAUUUUCUUGGCAUGGGAAUUAUUCAAACUCAGUCUAGCAUUUUCAUUCACCAAAGAAAAUAUGUUGUCUCUCUGUUGAACAAAUUUGGCCUAAGUGAAUGCAAAUCUGUAUCUACUCCUCUUGUUCCUUCAGACAAACUGUGUAAAGAUGAUGGUAGUGGAUCAGCAAAUGAGGAACAAUAUAGAAGAAUUGUGGGAAGCCUGCUAUAUCUUACAGCCACUCGACCAUAUAUAAUGUAUGCUUCCAGUCUUCUUGCUAGAUUCAUGCACAGCCCCACAAACAAGCAUUUUGGUACUGCUAAAAGAGUGCUAAGAUACAUUAAAGGCACCCUGGAUUAUGGCUUGGAGUAUGUGAAGGGAAAGAAGGCAAUGUUGAUUGGUUUUUGUGAUAGUAAUUGGGGAGGAUCUGUUGAUGACAGCAAGAGUACUUCUGGAUAUGCCUUUUCUUUUGGCAGUGGGGUGUUUUCAUGGGCUUCGGUGAAACAAAAUUGUGUAGCCCUCUCCACUGCAGAAGCAGAGUAUAUCAGUGCCUCUGAGGCAACUGCUCAAGCUAUUUGGCUUCGGUUUGUUCUUGAAGAUUUUGGUGAGUUACAAACUGAAGCAACUCCAAUGCAUUGUGACAACACUGCUGCAAUUGCAAUUACCAAGAAUCCUGUGUUUCAUCAGAACUAAACACAUUGACAGGAGGUUUCAUUUUAUCAAAGAUGCUCUACAAGAAGGCAUCAUUGAUCUGAUCUACUGUCCCACAGAAGAACAAUUGGCAGAUAUCUUCACAAAGCCUCUCACCAAAGAUCGAUUUAAUCUUCUCAGAAGCAAACUUGGAGUGAAAUCAGCUUUAGACUUAAAGGGGAGUGUUGAAUUAUAAGUCUAUAGCUGUUUUAGAAAUAAGUUGUGAUGUUAAUAUGUGUAUGCACUUAUGUUAAAUACUAAGUGAGAAGAUAUAUAGAUGUAAAGGCCAUGAGUGCCAUGUGUGAUGAUCUUAGCUAUUAGUUAAAGGUGUGGCUGAGAUCUGUUUUCAAUGUUUUGAUCCAGCUCAGUUUUGUAAAAGCAAUAUAUAUCUCAUUUCGCACGUUGUGUGAAAGAGUGUGAGGCAUUCAAUGAAAACAAUGUCCUUCUUCUGAAUUGCUGCAGAAGAAAGAAACAACCACAUUCUUCUCUCUCUGUUAAUUCUUUUCCCCAUUAGAAUUCACUCUAUCAAACACUAACAAGACAGACUCGUUUUAGAUAAAAUCACGGUCGGUUAAAGGUUAAUGAUACUUCUACAACAAAAAAUAUUGUUUCGCGGCAUAGCAGAAGGAUCAUUUGUUGGAUUGUUCAGUUUCAGUUUUAGACUUACGCUGUUUUGCAGUCAUACGAAGUUUUGCACACUAGCAUCUAGGCCUGGCGUUUCAAAUCCGAUAAGUUAACCCGACUCGACCUAUUAAAAUGAGUAUUCGGAUAAGUAUUUAAGAGGUCGGGUGGUCAACGGGUCAACCCGUUAAAUAACGGAUUAUUUUGAAUGAACCCACGAAAUCCGUUAACCAUUCACUAAUACCCGUUAUUGAGGGUUUUUGUGUAAUUUCAAUAGUCAAUAAUGAAACCCUCACUCUGUGUCUCUGUCUCGCAUUGCACUAUUGCGAUUCGGAAAACGAAGCAUCUGCAAAAACAAAAACAAACAGAACCCAGGAAACAAAAUCAAUUCCUGAACAAAGUGACAACAGAAGAGAACAACCACUGAUAGAUUGAAGAAUCGGAAUUUUGAAAACGUGCCCGUAGUUCGUAAGCUAUGAGUUUCGAGAACAAGCAUGAGCAAGGAGAAGAACUCAUCCUCGUAGGAAUUAUUAUUUUUUUUUAAUUUUUAUCAACCCCUCCCAGGAAUUUUCAGUUUUGACCAGUGAGAUAUUGGUUGAGACUUCAGAAAGAGAAUUAUUGUGUUUUACUUAUACAAUUUCCCGACAAAACUGUCAAGAAUUAUUGUGUUUUACUUAUAGCAGAAGGAUCAGUUGUUGGAUUGUUCAGUUUCAGUUUUAGACUUACGUUGUUUUGCAGUCAUACGAAGUUUUGCACACUAGCAUCAUACUCGGUUUAGAAGAAAAAUCUGCUGGGCAAUCAUACUGUGUCUGUGGUUUGAUCAACCGUUCAAAAACUAACAUGUAUUAAGAAACAUCACUUUUGUUCAGUUUCAGUAUACCUAUCACCUAUGUAUAUAUUGUAACCGAAAACACAAUUUCAAUUAUGAACAGUGAAUUUUUCCUUUAUAUUGAAACCGGUUUGUAUGGAUGGGUUGUAUGUAUGAGUUGUCAUCCUCACUUUAGCUAAGUCAUAGGCUAAAGUCACUUUCCAUAAUUUGUCAUUCACCAAUCACUUUCCAUAGCUUGUCAUUCACCUUACAUCAACCUUUCUUAGUUGCUUGUAAAAGCUUCUUUAGUUGUAAUUUGGUUUUUACUUUUCCACUUGUUAAGGCAGAUUUUAGGGAUUGUGUUUGUGUAGUUAUCCUACAAUCUAUUGUAGCUUUCUUUUGGCUCUUUAUAAGAGUUGCCUUCACUCUCUUGUAAUCUUCAUAAUGAAAUAUACAACAAAUAUUGAAACCAAAACAUCAACAUGGUAUCAGAGCAGGAACCAUAGGGUCCUGACUCUGUUCAUUUUUUUUUUUACCUCUUCAUUUGCUCAUCAUCGAUAGAGAUGGCAGAAGAAAAUGUGUCUAGUGCCGACAGUGCCUCAUCCUCCUCCCCAAACUUAACCCAAGGGGUUGAGAACAAUCCAAAUCAACAACUCUGCUCGGUGCUCCUGAACGAGUUCAACUACCUUCCUUGGUCAAGAGCUGUGUCACUUGCUCUAGGAGGAAGAUCGAAGCUAGGGUUUAUCAAUGGAAGCUUUGAGCCCCCAAAAUCCACUUCACCAACUUACAAUGCAUGGCAUGCUACUGAUCAGCUGGUCAUGUCCUGGUUACGUAACUCCAUGGAGCUAAAACUGUCUGAGCUUUUCAGUUACUCGGAGUCUUCCCUUCUCCUAUGGGAGUUAGUUAAAGACAUGUAUGGCAGCCAAAACAACUCAGUUCGCAUCUUUCAACUGAAGAAGAGUAUGGCUAGUUUAAAGCAAGGUGAUCACUCAUUUGUUCAACACCUUGGAAGUAUGAAAUCCAUGUGGAAUGAACUCGAUAUGUAUUGUCCACACACGACUGAUUCUGCUGUGCUACUGAAGAGGGUUGAUGAAGACAAGGUGUUUCAACUCUUAACAAGCUUGGGAGUGGUGUAUGAAGACCUGCGUAGUCAUUUGUUAAUGACUCAAGAGCUGCCUUCUUUUACCAGUGUGUGUCAUGCAGUCCAGAGAGAGGAAACUCGACGAAGGGUGAUGAAUGUUGAGCCCAAAUCCAACUCUGAAGCUAGGGUUUUCAUGACAAAUCACAAAGCAACUGGUGAUAGGGUGCUUGGCAAGAAAGCAGACUGGAAAUGUUCUUAUUGCAACAUGAAGGGACAUUUGAGAGAAAAAUGUUGGAUUCUUCAUCCGGAGUUAAAGCCUAAGUUUGAUAGGGAAGGCAGGAUAAUCAAAGAUGGGAAGGGUGGAGUCACUCCAAAAGCAUUUCUUUCAGCUUGUUCCUCAAUUGAUGGGAUGGCCAAUUUCUCAACAAAUCAUGUGUCCUUGAUCAACGAGUUUGCUGCUUUUCUUCAAAAGAAGCAAGGAAGCAUUGAACCUGAUGAAAUGACACCUGAAAACCUUACUGCAAUGUUAGGGAAAUUUGAUGAAUUCUUGGCUGACUCGGAGAACACAUCGAAAGGCAAUAUUCCAGGUAUUAUCAGUGCCAUUUCCACUGCUUUUAAUGCAAAUGUUACACAUGAUUUUUGGAUUAUUGACUCUGGUGCCACUGAUCAUAUAACUAAUAAACCCUCUAGUCUCCACGAUUUUCAAAGAACUAUUGAUCCAAUUCAUGUAUAUGUUGCAAAUGGGAAAGGGGAACCUAUUCUAGGGAAAGGAAAAAUUAGAUUGCUAAGUGAGCAUACUGAUUCCACUGCUCUCUAUGUACCUUCUUUUCAUUUUCAGCUCUUGUCAAUAGGAAAAAUCACAAAAACCUUAGAUUGUCUUGCCAUAUUUUCCCCUCACAAUGUUGUGUUUUAGGACUGAGUUAUUCAGAAGAAGAUUGGUGAAAGGUUCUUCUUGAAUGGACUUUACUAUCUCUCACAGGAGUCCAAUUUUGUCAAAAAGCUCAAUGUCAACUUAAGUCAAGUCCAGGAACACCAACUCUGGCAUCAACGCCUUGCUCAUCCCUCAAAACAUGUGAUGACCAAGUUGUUUCCCUUUUUUUGUAAAAACACACUAGAGUGUGAAACUUGUCAAAUGUCAAAAGCCACUAGACUUCCUUUUGUUUCCUCUAAUUCUAGAACUAGUAAACUUUUUGAGCUUGUUCACUCUAAUAUUUGGGGUCCUUCUCGUGUAUAAUCCUUUGAUGGGUAUAGAUAUUAUGUUACAUUUAUUGAUGACUAUUCUAGAGUAACAUGGUUGUAUCUUUUAAAACUUAAAAGUGAUUUGUUUGAUGCUUUUAAGGACUUUGACAACCUAAUCACCAAUCAAUUUUCAUCUAAGUUAUAUAUGUUAAGAUCAGAUAAUGGUACUGAGUACACUUCCAAUAACAUGAGUAAUUACUUGAGCAAUCAUGGCAUUUUGCAUCAAACUAGCUGUGUUGGUACACCAUAACAAAAUGGUGUGGCAGAGAGAAAGAAUCGAGACUUAUUGGAUAAGACUCGAUCACUUAUGAUCCAAAUUAAUGUUCCUAAGAAAUUUUGGUCUCAAGCCCUACUCACUGCCACGUACAUCAUUAAUAGACUGCCAACUCGGGUGUUGAAUACUAAAUCUCCUUUUGAAGUUAUGAAGGGCAGGCCUAUAAACUUGUCUCACCUCAGGACCUUUGGUUGUACUUGUUAUGUGCACAUUCAAGCUCUCCAUCGUGACAAACUCGACCCUCGAGCUAUCAAAUGUGUGUUUAUGGGAUACGCUAGUUCUCAAAAGGGUUACAAAGUGUACAACCCUAACACGGGGAAGCUGGCAAUCUCUAGAGAUGUGCAAUUUGAUGAAUAUUCACCUUAUUUCCACAAAGGGUUGGAGACUAAUGCUAAUAUGGAAGAUCUUAUAGACCUAUUUCCACUAUCUAUUCCAGCAGAAAUUCAUGAAGUCACUCCUACUCAUAUCAGCACUGAUAAUUCUUAACUCACUGAGAGUGUAAUUGAUGUAGUGCCAAGCUCAUCUGGACUAUCAGAAGCUCAACCAAAUCAGCAAGCUAUAAGUGCACCAAGAAGAAGUCCUACACGAGAUAAACAUCCACUAGUGAGGUUACAAGAGUAUGUUACUUACACUGCAAGGCAUCUUAUCUCUGUAGCCAUUUCUUAUCACAGAUUAUCAUAUUCUCAUACUUUUUUCCUUAACAAAUUGUCCCACAUUUUUGAACCAAGGAAUUUUCAUGAAGCCACAUGCAUGCCUGAGUGGCAAGAUGCUAUGACUAAAGUGCUUCAAGCUCUGAAUGACAACCAGACAUGGAGUGUAGUGGAUCUUCCAAUUGGCAAGAAGGUCGUGGGAAGUAGGUGGAUAUAUAAGACCAAAUUCAACUCCAAUGGAAACAUUGAAAGACACAAGGCACGAUUAGUAGCUUAAGGCUUUACUCAAACCUAUGGCAUUGACUAUAAGGAGACAUUUGCUCCUGUUGCCAAAAUGAACAGAGUGAAGGUAUUGUUGUCUAUGACAGUCAAUAAUGCAUGGCCCUUAUUCCAAAUGGAUGUGAAGAAUGCAUUUCUUCAUAGGGAUCUUGAAUAAGAAGUGUACAUGAAGUUGCCUCUUGGUCAUCCAAGAGAAAAUGAACCCAACAAGGUCAGCAGACUUCACAAAGCCAUAUAUGGUCUCAAACAGUCCCCUCGAGCUUGGUAUUCGAAGCUUAGUUCAGUCCUUGAAGCUGCAGGGUUCAAAAUGAGUCAUGUUGACUCUUAUUUGUUUGUUCGAAGUAGUAUUGCUGGCAAAUUGGUUGUGCUUAUAUAUGUUGAUGACCUAAUUAUUACAGGUGACAAUAUAAGUGAAAUCAAGACGCUUAAGCAGUCACUUCACCAAAAAUUUUCCAUUAAAGACUUGAGGCCCUUGAAAUACUUUCUUGGAAUUGAGGUCGCUACCUCUUUAAAGGGACUGCUCUUGAAUCAAAGAAAGUAUGUUCUCGAUCUUCUAGAUGAAGCUAACAUAAUGGAAUGUAAACCAGCUCGGACACCCCUAGCUAGCAAACGUCAAUGGCAUGAAAAAGGUGAACCUCUCUCGGACCUUAGUGUUUAUCAGCGAAUGGUUAGGAAACUUAUUUAUCUCACCAUUACUAGGCCUGAUAUCUCAAAUUUAGUUAGCCUAGCCAGUCAGUUCAUGCACUCUCAUACUCUAGUUCACUGAGAAAUCGUCAAGAGAAUACUUCGAUAUCUCAAGGGCUCAGUAGGAAGGGGGAUAAUUAUGAAGAACAAUGGAUCAAAUCACAUCUUGGCCUACAGAGAUGCUGACUGGGCUGGAAAUGCCCUUGAUCGAAAAUCCACAAUAGGUUUUUGCACAUUUGUUAGAGGGAACCUUGUCACUUGGAAGAGCAAGAAACAAACUGUUAUUGCUCGAUCUAGUGCCGAAGUUGAGUAUAGGGCUAUGGCAGCAACAGCCUGUGAACUCAUAUGGUUGAAAGGUCUUCUUUCCGAGCUCCGAUUCACAAGCAUGGCACCUAUGUCCUUGUAUUGUGAUAACCAAGUUGCCAUGCACAUUGCCUCCAAUCCAGUAUUCCAUGAAAUGACCAAAUAUAUUGAAGUUGACUGCCAUUAUAUAUGUGCUUAAGUUCAAUCCAAGGUGACAGACACCGUGUUCACAUGCAGACACGAUCAACUUGUUGAUUUAUUCACAAAAGCACUAGACUCUACUCACUUUCAACGUUUGUUGUGCAAGCUUGGAUCAAUCAAUCCCCUUGAUCCAGCUUGAGGAGGUGUAUUGAAACUGGUUUGUAUGGAUGGGUUGUAUGUAUGAGUUGUCAUCCUCACUUUAGCUAAGUCAUAGGCUAAAGUCACUUUCCAUAGCUUGUCAUUCACCUUACAUCAACCUUUCUUAGUUGCUUGUAAAAGCUUCUUUACUUGUAAUUUGGUUUUUGCUUUUCCACUUGUUAGGGCAUAUUUUAGGGAUUGUGUUUGUGUAGUUAUCCUACAAUCUAUUGUAGCUUUCUUUUGGCUCUCUAUAAGAGUUGCCUUCACUCUCUUGUAAUCUUCAUAAUGAAAUAUACAACAAAUAUUGAAACCAAAACAUCAACAUUUUCGGUGGUCAGAUGCGCCAUGUUAGGGUUUCGGGUUUACGGGUUAGUGGUGGCCAGGCUUCCUCUAAAACAAAAUAGCAAAUAGUUCACCACACUGAAACGCAGGAGAACUUUUUUAGUAUGAUGGUCACAUCUCAAUGAUGUUACUAAUCCAUGGAUUGUUAUAUAAAUGAACGACGUGAUUGGUAAUACUACGUGAUGUUGUUAUAGUCAAGCAGGAAAACUCCUCAAUCUAAAAAAAUUGUAUCACAAGCACUCUCUGUGUUGGAACCCCUGGAAUGAAAUGAAAAUGAAGCUCAUUACUGUGAUUUUUAGGGCUUCUUUCUUCUGUUAAUCUGUCAUUUUCAUUUCUCACUACUACAAAAUUAUCUAUUUCUGACAGUCCAAAAACCAACAAGAAACAUAUAUUACUGUCGAAUAUUAUGCAAAAUCCGACAAAAAAUGGAUGCAGUGGCGGAUAUAAUAAGCGACAGAAUUGCCAGCGUCAGGAAAUGAAUUUUGCGACAGAAAAUACUCUAAAACCGAUAGAACUUGUGUUGGAUAUAACCGACAGAAAGUAUAUUAAAAAAGAAUAAAUAAGAGCAUUUUCUGUCGGUUUUAUCCAACAUGAACUUGUGUCAACUAUAACUGACAUGAAAUAUUAAUAAAAAUAACUAAAGCAUUUUCUGUCGAAUAAAACCGACAUCAAAUAUAUUAAUAAUAAAAUAAAUAAAUAGGACAUGAGAGCCUAACCUUUCUUUUCGUUGAGCAUUCUUCUCCCCUUCUGCUCGAAAUCAGAAUCUGCAGAAAAACAAAAGAGAAAAGCCAACUCCACCAACCUUCUUCCCAACACAAAACACAACAAUCCAUCUUAGAAAAACAGAAGAGAAAAUAGAAACCUCUCAUACAUUGGACAAAAACAAAGGAAAACAGAAACAAAAAUCAACCCUAAAACCGACGAAACCAAUAGAUAAGAUUACUUCCUCAUUUUGACUCGUCGUCGGUUUUUCUCUCCAGAUGAUUCGGUCCCAGAUUCCUAUAUACAAGGACUCGUCAUCAAGACUCAUUGAUACACUGGAUAUCUCCACAAAGAAAUCAAUCUCUUGUUGCACUUUGUAAUCUGCCUUUGUGCUAUAUAUAUGCACAAAAUCUGCAGGUUCCGCGACCACCAUGAACUGACCAUCUGAUGAAAUUGAACAGUACUUCGUUAAAGUUCUCACUAUUGAAGCAUAGCAUCAAGUUCAAUUCAAGUAUUCAAACAAAGCAUUCAAAAUACGCACUCAAAUGCAAACACAGAGCAACACAUUUCAACUAAUAUCAAUAGAUUUAAGGUACAAUUAAGGAUUAAAACAGAAAAAUUCCUAGCGACCUCAUGUUCUUCUAGAAAAAUCCAGAAACCCUAGAUUCUCAAAUUGAAAUUAAAACCAGAACAAAGUAGAAAUCACACCCGAACCCAAGGCAAGAAAUGGAGAAAUCGAAAGCGGAGCAGAGAAAUUACCAAAAGCAGAGGACGAGACGAGAUGAGGGCGAAGAGGAGUGGAAGGUAUCGGAGGCGGAACUACCGAGGGCUUAGGGUCUAAAGCGGAGAGGAGGUAAUCGGUGACGGAGGUGAGCUUGGGAUUCUGGCGUUUGAGCUUGACGGUGGAGGAGGACGAAGACUGCGAAAAGGCGGCACUGGGAGAGAGGGUUUGGGGCUCUCAGUCUUCUUUUGGAUGGCUCAGCUUCCAUUUCUUUUUUCUGCUACUUCAUAGGUUUUAUUUUGGAAAAUGCUCAUUACUGUAGGUUAAAACCGACACAAACAUUUUUUAAAAUACAAACCGAUAGAAAAAAAUAUGGCCGCCAAAAUACCGCCAAAAUUCCCUUCCAAAAUUUUAAAUUCCCUCCCAAAAUUUUAAAUCCCCCCCCCCCAAAUUUUGUUACGAUAUUAAAAAAUAAAAUAAUAAUUGUUUGGUUUAAUAAAUAAAUAAAUAGAAAAAUUAGGUUCACGUUCUUCUUUUUGCUACUCCAUUAAUUAAAAUCUUAAUUUCAAUUUUUUAUUAAGGCCAUUGGGUAUUAAUAACAUCAUUAAUUAUUUGAAUAAUAAAAUAUUUUUAUUUUUAAAUAUAUUCCUUUUGUUUGUACCAUACUUGACCAAUCCCGAAACUACCGAGCACCGAUCAACGUUAUACCGUCAAGGAUCCAGAAGAGUUUCCCUCCAACCAGGAGGCCAAUCACAGCGCGACACAUGUCGACAUCAGAAGCCAAUCAUAGCGCGACACGUGUCAACAUCGGAAGCCAAUCACAACACAACACGUGUCAAUGUCAGAACAAAGCUAGAAACUCUCUUCUAUAAAAGGAGAUCAUUUUCCCACAAUAUUUCCUAAUGUCAUUUGUAUUAAAUCAUUCACUAGUACUCAUUAAAGGAGAGCUUGAACCUAUGUACUUGUGUAAACCCUUCACAAUUAAUGAGAACCCCUCUACUCCAUAGACGUAGCCAAUCUGGGUGAACCACGUACAUCUUGUGUUUACUUCCCUAUCCCUAUCCAUUUACAUACUUAUCCACACUAGUGACCGGAGCAAUUUAGCGAAGGUCACAAACUUAACACUUUCUGUUGUACCAAAGUCCUCACUGAUUUUGUGUGGAAAACGACACAAAAAGCUAUGUCGGUUCUUUUUCAUUUUUUUUCAUCUCACCACCAUGAAACUUCACCACAAUAUCCACCGUGGAUCUGCAAAACCCACAUAGAGACACAGACACAGACACAGAGCUCUCUCUCUCCCCAUCAUUUGAGCUGGGUUUUCUCUCUGAUAUAUUAGACACCCUUCUGGAAAAUUUUAAUCCCUGUUGGGUUGGUUCUGCACUACCUCAAUUAUUUUUUAUUUUCCCUGAAAAUGAGGGAAAAUGGAGGAAAAUAAGUGAAAGAGAUACCCAAGUCACUGUUUUUCUUCCCCAUACAUUGUUUAAUCUUGCUUUUCAGUCUUGGGUUUUCAGGAUUCCAGCUGAAAAAUGAGGAAGCAUGGAUGGCAGCUUCCUUACUAUCCUGGUGGCAGCUCUUCUUCAAGAUUGGAUCAAUCUCUCUGCUCCUCUCCAAUGGCAGCCAUAGCUCGCGUCUCCAAGAGAGCCUUAACCUCCUUCUUCAGCUCAGCCCAGCUAUCCGCCUUCCACCGCACCUUCUCCGCCGAAGCAGCAAAAGCAGCGGCAACAACACCCUCGCCGGAUCGGGUCAAGUGGGACUACAGAGGCCAGAGAAGGAUAAUUUCACUCGGCCAUUGGCUCCCGAAGAUCGUCAUCUCUCUCUCUCUCUCCCCCCACCUGACAACUCGAUGAUCUGAAGUUUUUGAUUCCCACCGACUCGACUCCUCCGCUCUGCCAUGGUGGUCCAGUUCAAAUUCAGAAGCUCCGUCAACUUUGAAUCCUUCGCCAUCGACGACUGCGCUUCCAUCUUCGACCGCGAUCUCACACUGACCAAUCCACGACGCCGUAAUUCCGUUGCUCCACCGAAGAACUCUAUUCGACGAUGGCUUUCAUGGCCGUUUUGGAGUCGGAUCUUCGCGCGCUUUGCACCGAAGCCUGCCGUCACUACCCCGCCGUCAAGAACGACGCUGAGCACACAACUAUCAAGCUUCAUAAUUUGUCAAGUCCCGGUGAGAUUGCGCAAGAUGAGAACAUACUGCGAAUCUUUUUUAUGGCUUGUGAGGUUAAAACUGUGAAGCUGAAUGUUAUCGGACUUUCAUGCUUACAAAAGCUAAUAUCUCAUGAAGAUGCUGCUCCGUCAACCCUGAAUCUUUCCACACUGAAGGAUCACGCAGAAAUGGCUGACAAAAGUGUUCAACUUAAGACCCUGCAAACUGUGUUAAUCAUAUUACAGUCACUUUUACAUCCCGAGACUGAGUGAACAGGAGGAUGAUCGUCUGCACCGCUCACUCCGCUCUCCCCGACGAUCGUCGCUUCCACGACGCUUCUUUCAGCCGACGGUCCUCUCGGUCCGUCCAUCAAACUCAACUCCGAGCCACCUCCUAAGAUCAAAGUUCCCACUACAGUGCACCAAGGUUCCCCAUCUCCACUUUUUGUUGGACCAGAAGAUGCCCUCCAAUAAUGAAACUUUCAUCAUGAAACUGCCUUUUCUGAAAAAGCCACGGGAAAACAAUGAAGGAGAUAAGAUCCUUUUCUUAUAAUAAUUCUGUUAUUAUCCUCUUUUAGUAUUGUCUGCCAUCUGCCAAAAGAAAAAGCGAGGGAGGAAAAAACGAGGGCAGCGUGCGCAUGUUAUGGAGCAAAAGAGGCAGCAAUCGAAGGGAACCAUGAAAUAGAGGAACAGGCUGAAAAUAAGACAUUUUUUAGGCUUAUAGCUCUCGGUUUGCAUUCCCAUCUGAAGAAAGCGGAUCCUCGUCCACAUUCUGCUACCCAUUUAAUGCAGGGGGAUUCAUUUUAUAAUGAGUGGAGCCUACACUGACUUUAGCAAAUCAGGGAAGAGUACAAGUGGCUGUCGACCACCAACUUCUGAAAAAGGACGAAACUUUCACCAUGAAGGGGAGUGCAUGUUCCCCAUGCCCAUUUUCUGAAAAAGCCACGGGAACAACAAGAUAAGAUUCUUUUUUCUUUAUUAUUUUUACUUUAUCAUUAUUUUGAUAAGAUCAUUUUGUUUUAUAUCUGUGUGUAUAUUUUUUAGCAUGAGGCCACAUCAUUUCUAUCACACCUAUAUAGUGCAUUCCCGGUUUGAUUUGCUUUACAAUGUGCAUAUGCUUUACAAACGCUUGUCUGCAAUCUUCCUGACAAUUAUUUUAUUAAUUAAUAUUUUAUUGCAUCUUUAAUCAUUCAUGACUUCAUUAUUUAAAGUGGUAGGGUAAAACUUUAUUAUACAACAUUUAUUCAUGACCUAGAGUAUUGUGACUUACAACAUGUGAUUCACCACACGACUGAAUAAAUUAUUUAUUUAUAGGAGGCACAUGGUAUAAUAUUCUGCCUUAACAAACUUUGUCAAUUUGAUUUAUUCAUUAUACAAUCAUACUUAUACUGUCAUUUAUUGUCAGAAAUUAUUGAGCAACUAGAUCCACUGAUCGACAUUAUUACUGAUUAAAGAAGCCUACCGACAUUAUUGUUGAUCGACUUUCCUUUCUCCCUUUCUUCUCUCUUUCUUCCGCUUCUCUUUUUUUUUUUAAGGAAAUCUAAUGAAAAAUGAUAGAAAUUUUGAGUUUUAACGAUAAAGAUAAAAUAAAGGGUAAAGUAAAUAGUACCAGAAUUAAUUUUUUAAUAUAAAAAUAUAGUUUUUCGUUAAAAUAUUUCUUUAAAAUUGUUUUUUUUUCUUUUGUUCCCUGUUGCUCGACAAAGAGAAAGAGUAUAUCUACUUUUAUUUAUUUAUUUAUUUUUUAUUAUAUUAUAUUAUAGAGAAGGGGCAAAGAAGAAAAUCUAAUCAUAGUUGCCCGACUACCUUUUUCUUCCUGCGGCCCAAAGUGGCUCUCUCUGUCUUUCUUUAUUAUUAUUUCUCUCUCUUUGUUCCCAUUUUUCCUUAUCUCCUCUGAUCUCUUUUGCCCGAAAGUGGGUCUCUCCUUCUUUUUUUUAUUUAUUAUUUCGUGGCCUUUUCUUUCUUUUCCUUCCUUUCUCUUUCUCCCUGUCUUGUCCCUCACUUUGCCUGAAAUGGCUAUAUAUAUUAUACUAUAUUAUAUUAUAUUAAAAGAGAAAGAAAAGGCACGUUGCCCGGCUGUGCUUUAUAUAUGGAAUUAAGAUUCUCUCUUUUCCUCUUUUCAUCAUCUUCCAUCAUUUCCUUUCACAUUAUUUUAUUUUAUCUUUUUCUUGUUAUAAAAAAUUAAUAUAAAAUGUUGAUAUAGCUUAACCAUGACCAUUCAAAUAGGAAAGGAAGGAAGGAGAGGGAAAAAAAGAGAGGAGAGAAUCCUACUCCUUAUAUAUGUAUAUUAUAUAUAUAUAUAUAUAUAUAUAUUAUAUGAAAAGAGGCAAAAAGAACAAGACAAAAAAAAAAGAAUAGUUGCCCAAGUUUGUUUCUCUCUUAUCCCUCUUUUCCAGUUUGCCCGAUUUCGGGCAUUUUUCCAUUUUAUUAUCUCUGCAACCAGCAAGGAUGCUCCCAUGUUUUUUGGUAUCAACAAGAAGAAAUACAAGCUAGACAACAAGAUUCUUUCAAAUGCUAGUUGCAAUACCAAUUGCCUUGCUCCCCUUGCCAAGUUUAUCAACGGCAGAAGGAUUAAAGAGGUAGACGUGCCUUUUCCUUCAACAUCAUUCCUAGCAGCACUAAAGCCACCAAGGCCGUUGGAAAGUCAGGUUUGAGAAAGCUGCAACAUAAGAACAGAUCAAGGCUGCACUUUACAACCAUUCAUACAAGUUUCUCAAUGGCUUUCCAAACCAUGCAUUAUUCCCAUUUGCUGCAAGAGAAUACAUGGCUUAGUGGCGAGGAUAUCUUCAUGUGUGUCUUCAUGCUCAAUGUCUCUGAUGCCUGUUAUAUCAUCAGUCUUCCGGAAGAGCUCAUUAGAGUCGUAAGUUUCACAAACUUUGCUCAAAUUUGUAAAACUUGGGGGGCUUCUGUUUGCACCUAAAAUGAAUCCAAUUUUACUCAUUUAGGCUGUUCGGGCAAAAUAUGGUAUUUGGAGGAUUAUCUGGAAGAAAGGCUAACUUGGAAAAAUAUUUGGCUACAAGUGAGGUAGUUUUGACAUUAUAAUAUUGCUUUUCCUUUUUAUUUGGGUGGUGGAGGUUUGCCAAGAGCUUUGUUUAAUCAACAAUUGCAUGAUUUCCCAUUGCAAGUGGAUUGAAAGGACAUAGACAUUAUGGCAGAUGAUACAUGGAGGAAACAAGUCACCUUGCUUCUUUUAAUUAUUUGUUUAUUGCAAGUGGUGGAGACAUGUGCUAGAAGCAUGUGGUGGAAAUGCAAGUUAGCCUUUUUAAAUAUUAUUUCACAUGCAAGCUGGCAAAUGGAAUGCAUUCGGGCUGGAUUGGUGUUCUCAGCAAGGAGGCUCUUUCAGAUCUCUAUAUAAAGGAGCAGAGGCACAAGGAUUAUGGACACUCAACCAAUCAAACAAACAAACAUACAAACUCUGCUCUCAAGCCAGAUUUGCAUCCAAAAGCUGUAAUCAGCCCAGAUCCCAGCUCUUUUAGCAAUAGAUUCCUUAGAAAAACUAUCUAUUGUCUAGUUUAUUAGCUCUGCUACUCAUCCAGUAGUAUUGAUCUCCUUUGUAGUUUAUGUACAACUCAUUUCAAUUCAUUUAGUUCACAAGUAAUCUACAAUACUAGUCAUUUACUUUCCUCUGUCAUUUACAUUUCCAGCAACCUUAUCAUUUAGUUGUUGUUACAUUUCUCCAUAUAAGUAAAGUUCUUAUCUUUAAGGUAAAGAAAGAACCUUGAUUUCCACUGUAGGCUUCAAAGGGGGUUAUGUUGGCAAGAGAUUUGGUAGGACAUCGAUUUAAAAUGUAAACUGCAGUAUGUACAGCUUCUGCCCACAUAUAGUACGGCAUUCCUUUAUCAUGUAGCAUAGACUUAGCCAUUUCAAUCACUGUUCUAUUUUUCCUCUCAACCACACCAUUUUGUUGUGGUGUGUAUGCAAGAGAGAGUUGCCUUUGAAUGCCUUCUGUGUCACAGAAAUGAUUGAACUCAGAAGACAAGAACUCCCCUCCUCUGUCACUCCUCAGGCAUUUCACCUUUAAACUAGUUUGCAGCUCAGUCAUUGCUUUAAAUUUCUUGAAGCAAGAAAAAGCAUCAGAUUUAUAUCUAAGAAAGUAUACCCAAAUCAUUCUUGUUGCAUCAUCCACAAUCAACAUAAAGUACUUGUUUCCUCCAGUGGAUUCAUUUCUCAUUGGUCCACAUAGAUCAACAUGAACCAAUUCAAGUGGAGCACCUGCUCUUUGUGCUUGACCACUAGGAAAGCUUUCUCUGUGUUGCUUACCAUAUUGACAGCCUUCACAGACUCUAUCAUACUCAUCUAGAUAUGGUAGACCAUGAACCAUGUCUUUAUCCUUCAAUUGUUUGAUUCCACCAAAGUUUAGGUGACCUAAUCUUCUGUGCCAAGUCAAAGAACAAUGAGCAAGACUAGUCUUCAACACAAGUUGUUUCUCAGGCCUUAGAGAUAGAGGAUAGCACCUGUUUUCUUUCAUUUUCACACGGAUAAUUUGACAUUCCAGAGAAGGACCAUCAAAAACAGUACACAUAUGUCCACCAAACACAAGAUAAUAUCCGUGCUCAUCCAUUUGUCCUACACUUAAUAGAUUCUCUUUCAAACCAGGUAAGUACAUGACUUCUCUGAUGUAUUUCUUCCCUCUGUUAGUUUCAAUUUCCAGUGAUCCCAUUCCUGCCACAUUAACUAACACUCCUGUUGGCAUUUGAACUUUCCCUGCAACAUUUGUCUUUAUAUCAACAAGAAGAUCAACAUUCCCUGUCAUAUGAUUACUGCAGCCACUAUCUAUAUACCAUUCCCCAUUAACUUUUGUUUCAGCAAUAGCACUAUUUGCAUAAAAUAAAUUUCCAGUCACCUCCAUUUGAUUUGUACAGUUUGCUUUCUGAAUAGCUUUUCCAGCAGUACAUUCUUUGGCCCAAUGACCAAAUUUAUCACAGUUAUAGCACUUGGAUUUCCCUUUAUGCCUACAUUCACCAUAAUGAAAUUUGGAGCACACUUUGCACUGAGGUUUUGUACCCUCUUGACCCAUGGUUAGAGAAUGAGUACUAUUAUGUGCAGAAUUAGAAAAUGACUUUUGCUGAAACUUGGGUUUUGAGUCCCACUUUUUACCCUUUUGAUUCCAAUUUCUCUGUGGCUUAAAAGUACUAGACUGAGCAUAACUUCGAUUCUGCCCUUUUGAAUUAACAGUAAGUGAAGAAAAUGCUCUCUCAGUUGCAUCAGAGGAAUGCAAAUCAAACCUCUGCUCUUGACUCUUCAAUAUAGCUAGUACUUCUUGCAGUUCAAAAGACUCUAAACAUUUGGUAUUUUCUAUCACUAAACAAAUAGGAUCAUACAUCUUAGUGAGACUAAUUAACACCUUCUGAACUAAUCUCUCAUUUGAUAGAGCUUCACCAAACGUCUUCAUUUGAUUAAUCAGAUCAUUUAAACGAGUAAGAUACCCAGUCAAAGAUUCAUCAUCACGCAUUCUAGCAUAUUCAAACUCACGUCUAAGAUUCUGAAGUUUUACAGACCUAACCUGAUCACCACCAUGGUAUUCUCCAUACAAGAGAUCCCAUGCCAUCUUAGCUGAAUUAGCGUUAGCAAUCCGAGGGAAGAUCUGAUCAGAUACUGCAUUUUGAAUGAUUCCUAGGGCAUUUGCAUCCUUCAUAGACAUAGCAGUCAUUUCUUCAUCGACUGCAUCGUCUGAUGACCCUUCAGCUUCCUUCUUCUUCUUCGAUUCAGGGGUUGUAAUCCAUUUCUCCACCAGGCUCCAUAACCCAAGCGAUUUGAAGAUUGUUGCCAUCUUAAUCCUCCAGAACUCGUAGUUCUCACCGGAGAAAAUUGGAGUUCUCACCUCCGAGCUUCCAGAUCCAGACAUCUUGGUCCGACUGUUGAUUUUCUCCUCAAAUAGAACUCCGGCAACCUUCACCAAGCUUCGACUUAGCUCAGUGACUUCACAGCUUCACGCCCAGACUCAGUUGAUCGGAACCGGCUCUGAGGCCAUGUUAGUGUUUGAUAGAGUGAAUUCUAAUGGGGAAAAGAAUUAACAGAGAGAGAAGAAGGUGGUUGUUUCUUUCUUCUGCAGCAAUUCAGAAGAAGGACAUUGUUUUCAUUGAAUGCCUCACACUCUUUCACACAACGUGCGAAAUGAGAUAUAUAUUGCUUUUACAAAACUGAGCUGGAUCAAAACAUUGAAAACAGAUCUCAGCCACACCUUUAACUAAUAGCUAAGAUCAUCACACAUGGCACUCAUGGCCUUUACAUCUAUAUAUCUUCUCACUUAGUAUUUAACAUAAGUGCAUACACAUAUUAACAUCACAACUUAUUUCUAAAACAGCUAUAGACUUAUAAUUCAACAUUCACAAGCUUCUUAAGAGCAACUGAGCAAGUUUUGCCUCUGGCACUCCGUCCUCCAGAACAGCACAGACAGGGAAGAUAGAAACAUCUUGCACCCUUCUUUCCAAUUCUUCAUACACUUCUUCACCACCGUCCUCUUCUAUUUUAUUUGCUACUAUCAAGGAUUGACGAUUAGAUAAACUUUCUUGGUGGUACUCGAGUUCAAAACUAAAUCCCGAAGUUGUUCCCAAGGUGGGAUUCCAACUCUACCAUCCAAUCCAGAAGCCAGGUCUACCACAUAAGCUAGAACUUUUGUGCGUUCUAUGUAUUGCAGGAAUGCAUGUCCAAGUCCACGAUUUUCAUGGGCACCCUCUAUGAGUCUGGGAAUAUCUGCAACUGUGAGUGAGAAGUCUUCAAAGUUUAGAUUCCCCAAAUUGGGACUAAGAGUUGUGAAGGCAUAAUGGCCCACUGCAGGCUUUGGCCUCGAUGUAGCCCCUAACAGAGUACUUUUGCCAGCAUUUGGGCAUGUCGACGAGGCUCACAUUAGCAAUGCUCUUCAGCUCUAGUAUAAGAACAGCUUCUGAAACAGGCAAACCAACUCGAAGGGACGACUCCUCAUCAUCAAAUACUUUCACAGAGGACACAUUUCCCAUACCCCAUUCCCCUCCACAAGCAAUAAUUACUCGUUGAACUUGUACAGUAAAUUCAGCAACAUUGUGCUGAAUGUGAUCUUUUUUCUCUGUCUCAUUUUCUGAGCAACUCUUAGGCGAAGUAAAUGAAUGAGAAUAAACAUCAGUUGAUCCCACUUCGAUGGUUCCUUCGUACCAGCAGAUUUCUCAACAGUUCUGUCUGGUUGAGAGGAUGAGCUGUCACUAACCUCCGCAGUAUCCAGUUACAUCACUUAUAGGAGUAUCUAGAAUUUCCCAUGGAUCCAAAUCUUUAGGAAUUUGUCUUUAAGCAACACAAGGAGUAUCACCCUUCAAAAGAUGAAUCACGGUACCAAUGGGCAGUUGGGCAACCUACGAAAGUAAAAGAUUUUGACAGUAAAUUUUAGCUUUCUGAUUCCAACCUAGCAUACGAAAAACUACAUGAUACCAAGAACUGCUAACCACAAAUAAACCUUAUCUGCUCAUCUGGUGCCAAUUUCAUUCUUUGAGGAUCCAUGUCCCCCUCUCUGUGCAAUCUACAUAACAAGCCCCUCAAGCAAAAGAUGAAUAUGGACAUUGAACUACAACAGAGAACCUACCAUCAGGUCUGCCACGGAGAUCAUGUCAACCGCAGCGAGAGCUGGUGCAACCACUGCCACCACUACCCCCUUUAGCAUAAAGCCAAAACCUGUCUACAAUUCUCAUUUCCUACAAAGAAAGAACAAAAAAAUUCCAAAUAUUCAACAGGUACACAAAAUGGGUGUAGCGGAGAGGAGGAUGCUUCGUUGAAUGUGUGGGCACACGAGAAAGGAUAAGAUUAGGAAUGAGGAUAUCCGAGGUAAAGUAGGAGUAGCCGAAAUUGAAGGAAAGCUGAGAGAAAAUCGGUUACGGUGGUUUGGACAUGUGCAAAGAAGACCUACUGACGCUCCGGUUAGAAGAUGCGACUACGGGACAGAGGUUCAGGACCGAAGGGGUAGAGGAAGACCUAGGAAAACUUUGGAAGAGACUCUAAGAAAAGACUUAGAGUACUUGGAUUUAAUGGAAGACAUGACACAGGAUCGAGCACAAUAGCGUUCUAAGAUUCAUAUAGCCGACCCCACUCAGUGACUUGGAUUUUUCAACUCUCUAAUCCAGAAGUUUUCCCCACUCGGGAAAUUAAGGGAACACUACCUCAACCUACAUGCUCUAUUCACAAAGCUUCAACAUACAAGCUUCAACAAAAGAAAAAUUCAAAGAACUUAGUGAAGAAGGCUUUGGUGUAUUUAACACAAUACGUUGAAAUGAAACAAAGCUUAUUUAUUGAUAUCUCUGAUAAGUUACAAAUAUGUACAUAUACAUGAGUCAAAAUAAACAAACAAGAGGGAGCCUUCAAAAAGGUUGCUUAGGAGAAGUCUCAGCAGUCGGUAGAGCCCUAGAAAGAGAAGGCACCGGAGGGGGAUCAUUCGGAGCCUCAAUACUGGACAGCACCCUAGAAUGAGGAGGCAUCAGAGGUUGAUCAUUUGGAGCUUCAUUACGCGGUACAGCCCCAGAAGACGAAGGCAAUAAAUGCCUUUGGAACAAACCCACAAACCUCUGAUGAUCAUGUAAAAUCUGACCAUCAGAUUCCUUCAUCUGGUCAAGCUUCCUCUUCAUGUUUGUAGCAUAGUCAUGUGCGAGCCCGUGCAACUGUUUAUUCUCAUGCUUAAGCCCUCUAAUCUCCUGUUUGAGACUCAUCACUUCAGCCGCCAAUGAUUCAACUUGGCGGGUUCGAGCAAAUAGGCGUUGGGCCAUAUUAGACACAGAACCUGCACACUGAACACUGAGAGCCAGAGAAUCCUUAACAGCCAACUCAUCAGACCGUUUGGAAAGUAGUCUGUUAUCUUUGGGAGUGAGAAGGUUCCUGGCCACCACCGCAACGGUCAUAUCAUUCUUCAUCACGGAAUCCCCAACGGUAAGAGGACCAGUAGGGGAUAAGAAGGAUGGGCGCCAUAUGUUGUCUGGAGAAGGCGUGGCUGCCUCUUCAACAAGGUUCAAGUCAAAACGACGGUCGGAGGUGCCAGACAUUUUCAAAGGUGUUGAAGAGAGAAGAGGUCUGACAAAUCAAGAUCUUAGAAAUGUAAGAAGGGAGCUUCUACUGGUGGAGAUUCAAGUGUGCUUUGGAACUUAAUACCAGCCUCUAUAAAAAUCUGCACUCGAUGGAGCUUCAGAAAUCGAAGAGGCGCCUGCUCAGAAAUCGAAAAGGCGUUUGCUUUCUCAAAAGUUGGGCUGCUCAGAGACCACGAGGGUCGAUCUCAGGAAUCGAAGAGGCGUUUGCUUUCUCAAAAGCUGGGCUGCUCAAAGACCACGAAGGUCGAUCGCAGAAAUCGUAGAGGCGCUUGCUUUCUCAAAAGCUGGGCUGCUCAGAGACCACAAGGGCCGAUCUCAAAAAUCGAAGAGGCACUUGCUUUUUCAGCCUUGUUAGCACCUGUCACAUGCACACUCAACUUUGCGGAAAUUACGGGCAUUCUGUCGAAGAUUUCUAGUGAAGUAAAGCACGUGAAUGUUACUGUUCAAUCAUCUACUUUCCACACGCAACAUCAGCUCACGGGUACCACAUAUAACUUUGCCAAAAAUCUCUGACAAAGUUUAGACACGUGAAGCUUGCAGCUCCAAUUACAUCGCUAUGACCAAGAAGGGUAAAAGAAUAGCAAAGAAACAGCACUAACAAAGUUUAGACAUAUAAAUUUUGAAGGUCUAGCUACCAUAUUAUUACCCCCAAGGGUAAAGGAACAGAACCACUGCUGGAUAAUUGGAAAGUCCCUGUGUGUCAACAUCUGUGCUCCGUGGCAAGGUAAACUAGCAAACAGGCCUAACCUUUACUCACAUUCGAGAAUACACUCCCAACAAUAUUGCUUGCUUCAAUAUCGAAGAGGCACCGUCCUCCGAAUCUCGAGAGCCAGACUCCCAACAUGAUUACUUUCUCAAAAAGCGACGAGACACCGCUCUCCGAAUCUCGAGAGCCAGACUCCUAGCAGGAUUGCUUUCUCAAAAAUCGAAGAGGUACCGUUCUCCGAAUCUCGAGAGACAGAUCCCCGACAGGAUUGCUUGUUCGAAAACCGAAGAGGCACCGCUUUCUCAACUUCGAGAGCCCCUUAGAUAAAGCUUGUCUGUAAUCCUCACACAGCUUUCUCAACUUCAAGAGCCAGAUCUCCUUGGAUAAAGCUUGUCUAUAAUCUUCACACGUAACAUCAGCUUUCCAGAUACCACAGACCACUUUUUCAAAGUGCUCUGACAGAGUUAAAACACGUGAAGCUAGCAAUUCCCACUACCGUGCUAUGACCAAGCAGGGUAAAAGAAUAGCAUUACUCCUUGUUGUUAGGGAGACUCCUAUAUAUGUCGACCUCCAUCCUCAACGGACAAGCAAACCUGCAAAAAUGUUCAGCCCUUCCUCAUAUUUGAGAGGGCACUCCCAACGAAGCCUCUCGAAAUACUCAGCUUUCUUUCCCCCCGAGAAUACCUCUGCAAACAAGCUACACCAGAGCAAAAAUAUCUCAUAUCAUCAGGGUUAAAAGCAAGAGUAUCCCAUAUCAUGCUUUUUCCCUGUCUUUUCCUUUGGCCUUGUUCUUACCUGCAAGACAAGGAGAAAGAGAGCAAUCAGUCAGCACCUGGAAUCAAGCUUCCAGUCCGGAACUGACUUACUUACCUGGCAUUGCUCUCAAGUACUCAUCUUCAACAUCUUAUGCUUCCCGAGAAGAUACCACAUCUGCCUGAGGAACAAAUAGGGCAAGUGAGAAGGAUACAAUGAAGCAUGUGGAGACAAGUGCAACAGAACACGUGCCGAUACAUCCACUACUUUGUCAACAGCAAAAGUAUCCCAUAUCAGCAGGGUCGAACGUACUCUAGAUUUGAUGGACUUGUUUUGACCCUCAAAUUCUUCAGUCAGCCUUAUACUCUGGCGGAAACCAGAAAACCCUCUAGCCCAGUUCAAGAAUAAGCUUGUGGAAAGUUACUUCUUCAAAAGCAAAAGUAUCUCAUAUCACCUUUUCUCCUUUUCUUCUCUUUAUCCUUCAUGCUGCCUACAAGAUAAGGAGAAGGAUAACAAUCAGCCGGAACUCGAAAUCAAACUUCUAAUCUGGGACUGAUUGCUUGGAGCUCUGAUUGCUUACCUUGUCUGUCAUCUCUUUCAGCAGAUCCCCUAGCUCGGCGACUUGGGGGACUCCUACUACAUGGUUUGUAUCGCGCUUGAUCAAGCCUGAAACUACAAGUAAGCGUCAAGUGAAAUUGAUACAUUACCUUGUGCAUCUCCACCAGUUAAAGAUACCACCCCUGGAGGGAAGACGAGUACUUCCAAAGAAGAUGCCACAUCUACCUAUGAGACAGAUAAGGCAAGUGAAGACGAUACCACACUUCGGUACUUAAAAGUUUUGUGAUUACGAGAUCAUUCUCCCACAAUAUUUCCUAAUGUCAUUUGUACUAAAUCACUCACUUGUACUCACUAAAGGAGAGCUUGAACCUAUGUACUGUGUAAACCCUUCACAAUUAAUGAGAACUCCUUUACUCCGUGGACGUAGCCAAUCUGGGUGAACCACGUACAUCUUGUGUUUGCUUCCUGUCUCUAUCCAUUUACAUAUUUAUCCACACUAAUGACCGAAGCAAUCUAGCGAAUAUCACAAACUUAAUAUUUAAGAUGAUAUUCUUUGGUGUAUGCUUUUUGCAAACGAUAUAGUGUUGAUAAAUGAAACGCAGGAAGGGGUAAACGCGAAGCUUAACCUUUGGAGAGAAGUGCUGGAAUAUAAAGGUCUUCGCCUAAGCCGAUCAAAGACAGAAUAUAUGGAGUGCAAGUUCAGUACAAACGGAGACCAAAAUGAGUUAGGGGUGAGGAUCGGAGAUCAGGAAAUACCAAAGAGCGACCGUUUUCGCUACCUAGGAUCUAUCUUGCAAAAGAACGGAGAAUUUGAUGGAGAUCUCACCCAUAGAAUACAAGUUGGAUGGAUGAAAUGGAAGAGUGCAUCCGGCGUGUUGUGUGACCGUCGUAGGCCACUGAAGCUCAAGGGAAAAUUUUAUAGGACGGCAAUAAGGCCGGUGAUGCUGUAUGGCACAGAAUGUUGGGCGGUGAAGCAUCAACACGUAGGUGUAGUGGAGAUGAGGAUGCUUCGUUGGAUGUGUGGGCACACGAGAAAUGAUAAGAUUAGGAAUGAGGAUAUCCGAGGUAAAGUAGGAGUAGCCGAAAUUGAAGGAAAGAUGAGAGAAACUCGGUUACGGUGGUUUGGACAUGUGCAAAGAAGGCCUACUGACGCUCCGGUUCGAAGAUGUGACUACGGGACAGAGGUUCAGGGCCGAAGGGGUAGAGGAAGACCUAGGAAAACUUUGGAAGAGACCCUAAGAAAAGACUUAGAGUACUUGGAUCUAACGGAGGACAUGACACAAAACCGAGCGCAAUGGCGUUCUAGGAUUCAUAUAGCCGACCCCACUUAGUGGGAAAAGGCUUUGUUGUUGUUGUUGUUGUUAUUCUAAGAUACAUUGGUGUAGAAAAGAAGUAUCAAUUGAAAAAGUCAGGCAAGAAUAAGGACUGAUGAGAGAGAAGCGGAAAUGUAGAAACCUGCGGAGGAGCAAGCUUUGAUCUUUUAUGGGGAGCAUCCGAGUAUGAAUAAGAAAAGAAAGAAAUCCACAGGCACUUAGAAGAAUGCCUCAACGUCUUUAUGUGCUGAAGUGGUUUUGGAAGGUGCCCCCACAUCUCUCCUUGCUAUCUGUAAAGCUAGAAACCUAGAAAAGAAAACGGCAUAUAAUGGUAACGGUGAGAAAGAUGCUCCCUUUCUACAUUCCUUUAGUGGAUUCAAUACAUUCAGACGGCUUUUCAACAGACACACGAACAUUACAUCUCUGUCAAAGGAAAUUUGUCCAAAAAUGUACUGCCUUGACCUCACUAUUUUUCUUUUCAUCCUUUAUAUUCAAGUGCAUUAGUUGCAUUUGACGCGUCUGAUUGCUCUGAUUACACAGGUGAUCAAAUUCUUACUGCUUAAAACUACGAGCAGCAAGAAACAGUAUAAUAAAAGAGAGACAAGAAAUGAAAGACUAUACAAAAAUGCCUAUAAAUUAUCAAUGUUGAAAAACAAAAACAAAUCACAUAUUAAAACCAAAUAGACAAACAAUCUGAAUUCGAAAGCCGUUUAGGAUUUAUCCCACAACUUUUAAACCCCACGAACACUAAGGGUUAAGGAACAGAGAAGGAAGUAGGAUGAAGCUUGCAACUUUCGACUUACGGGAGAGGUUCGAACUUUGAAAUUGAAAGGAAGGCUGAGAGCCUGAGAGUGAAAGCUUAUUGAGAGAGCUUGCAACGAGAGGAAGGGGGAGAGCAGAAAGCACAAAGAGUGGUUUCAUCGAUGGGCAGGAAAUGAUUGAUGGGUUUGUUUCCGACUAAAUUAUUUCUGAGUAAACUAUCGAUUUUCCUUUGAAUUUUCACCUAACUUUCGAUUUACCCCAUAAACUUUUAAAUUGAAAAUCAAGGACUUAAACUAAUUUUUUGGCCGAUUUCCCCCAUACCAUUAGUUUUCCAUAGAUUAUAUCCAAAUUAACGUUGACUCUUAUCACGUGCACACCACGUGACCCUCCUUUGAGAACAAAAAAAAUCACUUUGCUAGACCUUUAGACACAAAAUUUAUAGAAUCACACAGAUUUGCACAACUCAACAUUUUAGAGAUCUAGGGUUUUCAAUUAUUUUAAAGAACGAAAUAACCAAAUUGCCCUCACAUGUUGUGCACAUGUUUUCAUUUAACAGAAAUUUGGAUGGAAUGAAUGAAAAACUAACAUCAUGGAGAAAUCAGCCAAAAAAUUAGUUUAAGUCCUUUAUUUUCCAAUUUAAAAGCUUAGGGGGUCAAUUGAAAGUUAGGUGAAAGUUCAGAAGGGAGAUCAGCAGUUUACUCAUUAUUUCUUCAUAAAUCAUGGUGUUACUAUUCUUCGUUAAAAACUUACACAAUGUUCCACAUUAAUAGAAGACUAAUUAUAUUUUACACCAUUUAAGUUUGAGGUGAUUUUCAAAAUGGUCACGAGGUUCAAAUUUUCUCACUUUACGCCUUGAAAUUUUGAAAUUGUAUCAAUUUAUACCUUUUGUAUCUUUGGAUAUCUAAUCCUCUAUUAGAUUGAUGAGUUUUUUUUUUUUUUUGUCAAUAUCGUGCAAAUAUGGCUUACAAAUUAAUUCAUAUAAGGAUCUUGCGCUCACUAUGUCAUCAAUUUAGCGAAAGAUUAAACAAUUAAAACAACCAAAGACAUAAAUUGUUACAAUUUUAAUACUUUCAUGACCAAUUUUGAAAAUUAUCAUAAACUUCAAGGCUGUAUAAUGUAGUUUGCCCUAAAACCCCUAAAAUGUAUUUCAAGUUUUAACAUGAAUUGAGAAUCAUUUGGUGCAAGUAUCGAUCCAAUUUUUUCCUAUUUCACUUAUAUUUUAUGAUGAAGGUAGGUCAACUCAGCUUUUGGUUUUAGUAUGAUAUGCUAAUUAAAAAAACAGAUACAUGUGUUAUGAUUUAAAUCAAAUGAAAACACUACGUGACAGUUUUUUGGUAAGCUGAAAAAUUAAGAGAUACAUAUUUGUUUCCAAUAGCAAGACUUCAAACAAAUACAUAGAUGGCUUGUAAUGCUUUUACCAAUUCCGUUCAUUUGUUUUUAUACAGUUCAAUGACUAAACAACCUUAGUUUUAAUUGAUUUUUCGCAGAGAGAAUCUUUAUAUGGUGAUUUAUAAUAUGAACAGUUUUGAAUAUAAACACAAAGUUCUAUACAUUGACAACAAAAAAUUUUGAGUAGGAGUUCCUACUCAUCAUUUGAGUAGCCAAGUAUUGUUCUUAUGAACAUUACUUGACUAUUCAAAUAUUAGUAGGAACUCCUACUCAAAACUCUUAGUAUUUGAAUCACAGAGCUUUGUACUUAUGAUCAAAAUCGUUCAUAUUAUUAAUCACACUACAAAGAUCAUUUCUACAAAAAAUAAAUUAAAACUAAGAUCGUUUAGUCAAUCUAUUCUAGCAAAUACAUAGAUGGCUUGUAAUGCUUUUACUAAUUUCGUUCAUUUGUUUUUAUAUAGUUCAAUGACUAAACAAUCUCAGUUUUAAUUGAUUUUUUGCAGAGAUGAUCUUUAUAUAGGAUGAUUUAUAAUAUGAACGGUUCUGAUUAUAGGUACGAAGUUCUAUACAUUGACAACGAACAAUUUUGAGUAGGAGUUCCUACUCAUCCCUUGAGUAGCCAAGUAUUGUUAUAUAUGAACAUUACUUGACUAUUCAAAGAUGAGUAGGAACUCCUACUCAAGACUCUUAGUAUUUGAAUCACAAAGCUUUGUACUUAUGAUAAAAACCGUUCAUAUUAUUAAUCACAUUGUAAAGAUCAUCUUUGCAAAAAAAUGAAUUAAAACGAAGGUCGUUUAGUCAAUCUAUUCUAGCAAAUACAUAGACGGCUUGUAAUACUUUUACCAAUUCCGUUCAUUUGUUUUUAUACAGUUCAAUGACUAAACAACCUUAGUUUUAAUUGAUUUUUUUACAGAGAUGAUUUUUAUAAGGUGAUUUAUAAUAUGAACGGUUCUAAUUAUAAACACGAAGUUCUAUACAUUGACAACGAACAAUUUUGAGUAGGAGUACCUACUCAUCCUUUGAGUGGCCAAGUAUUAUUCUUAUGAACAUUACUUAACUAUUCAAAAAUGAGUAUGAACUCAUACUCAAAACUCUUAGUAUUUGUAUCACAGAGUUUUGUACUUAAGAUCAAAACCAUUCAUAUUGUCAAUGUUCUAAAAGAUGCUAGUCGGGCAGCAAGCUGGGGCCUAGCGUCUAAAUGGUUAGGCGGGGCCUAGGCAGACUAGACGGAUUUAAGUAAAUUUAUUAUAUUUUUUAUAAAUAAGUGUCUAUUUAUACUUAAAAUAUAUAUAAUUUCACCAUAAACUACAAAAUAGAAUGACAUAUAUGUUACGAAGUAUUGGAACAAAAUGAAAAUAUAGGGGGCAAGCAUAUAAGGUGUGUUCAUUUAGGUAUUUAACAAGUCUCUUAAAAUUUAUUGAAAAAAAUAAAAUGCAAAAUGAAAGUUAUCAAUUUUCCGUCUAAGUGAUUCGCAACCUAGUGGACGCCUAGGCGGGUCCGAGCAGGCUAGGUGGGUGUCUAGGCGGUCUAGGCGGGCACCUCAGCAGGUAUAGUCCCCCUUUCUUAAUUUUCAAACACCUAGCAUUAAUCGGGGCAGUGGUCAACCGCCUAGCACCUAGGCAGGGCCUAGGCGGUGCUAGGCGUGUGAAAUCCUGUUCCUGGAUUUCAUUGUUCCAAUAUACGUAUUUGUAUUAUUGAGAUUUUAUAUUAUUUAGGGAAAUUUUAUUAAGCUAUUUACAUUUAGAUUUUUAAAUUAGACUAAUUACAAAGAGUGAAGUUUAGAAAUUAAUUAUUUAAAAUUCAUAGACCGUUUGAGGUCACAAUUUAUCUUUUCGAAUAGAACUCAAUCUCACGAACGCGUAGGCGCAAACCGUUCUUGAAACAGAGUUCUAAUGGAAGAGUUAUUAACGUUUAAAGUUAGGGACAUUUUUGUAAUUUUGGCCAUAAUCUAGAAGGCUCCAGAUAGAUGGACCAAUUAUCUGUGUGCCACAUGUGUGGCUGUGAUUGGAGAAGGAAGAGAGAAAUGAGGGAAAUAAGGGAAGAAACAGUAGAAUCAAGAGAGUAGACAGGAGGGAAAUGAGAGGGGUAGAUAACCGGAUUUCCCCCUCGACUCAUUUCUUUUUGGCAACCCGACCAGACGAAAACAAGGGUUUCCGAUGCUUUUUUCGGCCAAAUUCUAGCAAAUUACGUUGAGACAACACCUGAGAAAUACCCCACGACCUUCCCUCUAACAAUUCCACCCAAAAAUUUAGGAAAAUUGGCCUUAAAUUUGGGAAAAACUGCACUGGUGGGUGCGAGGGUUAUUUGUCGUUGAUCCAUCAAUUUUGAAACGAUUUUCGUUCAUCACCACCACCUAUAGCAUCCUUUUGAGGCCUAGAACAAAGCCCAAACAAUUGUAGGGGUGAUGGAGCACUGGAAAUGACUGAUCGAAGCCACCCAUUUCUAGGGUUCCAGCUGGUUCGAGGUAAUUCCAAGCACUUUCUGGCUGAAUUGGACUUUGGCCCAGGUAUGAAAGUUGUUCCUAUCAUUGAGCUCUACAUGUCUGUAAAAUUUAGUAAUUUUUAGAGUUAGUCAAAAAAUCAGGUUUCCGUUCGUCGGAAACCGCCACCAGGCGUAUACGCUGGCUCAUGGCCAGUGGGUUGCCGAUGCUAUUUUAUGCUAAAUUGACAUCCUAAUCUUUGAAUUGAUAUUUGUAUAACGUGGUUGAUUGUUUGAACUUAGUUUCAUUAUGAUACAUCACUUGAUCAUUGUAUGAAUCAACGAUCUGGCCAUUGGAUCGUCACCAAACUCUAAUGCAUUAUAGAACAUAUUAUUUCAGGAUAUUAGAAACUGACUGAUCGGAAAUCCGAAGUACGGAUCUUCCCAAAUUGGAUUUCUAAGUUUGUAAAAUAAAUUGUUGACCACCACCUAAUCCUAUUAAUUGACGGAGGUUUGACUGUCGGAUCGCGAUGAAAUUUUAGUAUGUUGUUUUAUGAGCAUAAUAUGGACCUUAGGAAGUUACGGAUCCGAAAUCCGAUGUGUGGAUCUUCUGGAUUGAAUAGCUAGGGUUAUGGACCCCACGGUUGAUGGAGAGUUGACUUUUGGUCAACAUGUCUCGAUUUGUUUAAAAUACUAAAAUUAGUAUUAAUAGAAACUCAAUGAGGCUUUGCGAGCCUACCUCGGUGAGAGACUCUAAUAUAUGAGAUAUUGAUAUAGUUAUUAUCCUGGUUUUUAAUAUCCUUUCUGGAUACCACCUAACCUUAUAAAUGUGAUUUCUAAUGAAAUGUGAUUUUAUAUAUAUAUAUAUAUAUAUAUAUAUAUAUAUAUAUAUAUAUAUAUAUAUAUAUAUAUAUAUAUUAAACGUGAUUUGACUUGUGUACUGAUGAUAUUUGUGAAAUGUUAUUUGAUUUGCAUGAUUGGUAUGAUGUGAUGAAAUGUGAGGGCUAGUAGUAGACCGUUAACCUAUUGCCAUGGGGUUUGUUGCUUCAGAGCUUAGUUUCAUUAUGAUACAUCACUUGAUCAUUGCAUGAAUCGAUGAUCCGGCCAUUGGACCAUCACCAAACUCUAAUGCAUUAUAGAACAUAAUAUUUGAGGAUAUUAGAAACUGACGAAUCGAAAAUCUGAUGUACGGAUCUUCCCAAAUUGGAUUUCUAAGGUUGUAAAAUAAAUUGUUGACCGCCACCUAAUCCUAGUAAUUGACGGAGGUCCGACCGUCGAAUCGCGAUGAGAUUUUAGUAUGUUGUUUUAUGAGCAUAAUAUGGACCUUAGGAAGUUACGGAUCCGAAAUCCGAUGUGUGGAUCUUCCGAAUUGAAUAGCUAGGGUUGUGGACCCCACUGUUGAUGGAGAGUUGACUUUUGGUCAACAUGUCUCGAUUCGUUUAAAAUACUAAAAUUAGUAUUACUAGGGACUUAGUGAGGCUUUGCGGGCCUACCUCGGUGAGGGACUCUAAUAUAUGAGAUAUUGAUAUAGUUAUUAUCCUGGUUUUGUAUUUAAUAUCCUUUGUGGAUAUCACCUAACCUUAUAAAUGUGAUUUCUAAUGAAAUGUGAUUUUAUAUAUAUAUAUAUAUAUAUAUAUAUAUAUUUAGCCACUGACCUAUGUUUAUUAAGCGUGAUUUGACUUGUGUACUGAUGAUAUUUGUGAAAUGUGAUUUGAAGUGCUUGUUGAAUUGUUUGAUGAAAUGUGAUUUGACAUGCAUAUUUGAAAUGUGAUUUGAUUUGCAUGAUUGGUAUCAUGUGAUGAAAUGUGAGGGCUAGUAGUGGACCAUUAACCUAUUGCCAUGGGGUUUGUUGCUUCAGAGCUUGUUUCAUAAGCCAUUUCAUUGUUUCAUUUCUUGCUUCGUUAACUUGUUCUAGAUUUAGUAUUUGUGCUUUGUUUCAUUUCGUUAAGCCUUUGUAAAUUGAGCACUUGAUUCAUGUUUUGUUUCGUCGACCUGUUGUUAUGUCCUUGGCCCCUCGCUCAGUUCCAUUGAGUGGUCCAGUUCCCUACUCCGUCUGGAUUCCAUUGAGUGGUCUGGAAUCCCUCAUGAUCCGCGAUUCCGUUGAGUGGUCCAGAAUCGUAUCCAGCUUAGGUUUCAUUGAGUGGUUCGAUAUGCUUUGUACUCCGAGAUUCCGUUAGGUGGUCCGGAAUCGUAUCCACUUGAAUUCUUUUGAGAAGUCCGGAAUCCCUUCUACUCCACAAUUCUGUUGAGUGGUCUGGAAUCCCCUUUGGUGUUUUGGUUCCGUUGAGUGGUCCAGAACCCGAUGUUGAUGGAUUUCGUUGAGUGGUUUGAAAUAGCAUCAUUUGACUUGUUGGUUCCUUGGAUUUGAUUUCAACUUCAGAGAUGUAGGCUUUAGCCGAACUAUGUCGCUCUAACCCUGCAUUUCAAUGUAUUGUAUGUGUUAUUGAUUGAUGUGAUUAUUGGAUGGUGUUGGAAUGCAUAUGUGUGGGUGAAUGGCAAGAUGACCAGAGAAUAAUAUUAUGCUUCGUUGAAUGUUACUUGAGGUGCUACAUGCUUGAAUUAUGGUAUUAUGUUGAGACGUAGUGAGAUAUACGAUGAAUGUUCGAAUGUAGUGAAUGGUGAACUACGAAUGACUUGAUCCCUAUUGAGGGUACGUAGGCAAUCUAACGAAGGGGUUAGAUGCAACCAUAAAGUAUACAAAAAUAACUUCGCGAUCUGAAGCUUAUGUUGUGCUUUAUCCGUAUCCCGAAGGCGGGAUAUGUUAUAUAUGCGGAUACUUGGUGACGUUACAUGUCGAUCCUGAUGUAUGUCGGGAUCGAGGCAUGAAAAGGCGGGGAUUUUUAGAUCAUUGCAUAUUAUUAAUCACACUGUAAAGAUCAUCUCUGCAACAAAAUGAAUUAAAACUAAGAUAGUUUAGUCAAUCUAUUCUAGCAAAUACAUAAACGGCUUGUAAUGCUUUUACCAAUUAUGGUUCCCUUGGAAAAAGUAAGAAGAUAGGAACAAGACCAUUACUGCUGCCCUAAUAGUUAGUGGCUUGUUACAUGUAAAAUAAUGGAGCAAAGGCAACUCAAAGGAGCUCUCAAUUGUUCAUGUCCACUACAAUUUUAUCUUUCAUUUCCAAACCCAAACACACAUCAAAGUAAAAAGCUGAACAAACACAUAACUUAAGCAAGAUGUAACAUAAAAAUAAUUAAGGUUUCCACAAGACACAAAGCAAAUCCCAAAACCCUAGCUAGCAAGCUAGGAGAUUCAUGGAUUUGCAAAUCCCAUGGCUAAUCUUAUUUUACAGUAAGUUCUAAAACCAAGCUUUUACAGUCUUCUUCUUAUUUAUAGAGACCAUCACAGCUUUCUUCUUUGAGUCUGGAUCUUGGCUUGCUUCGAUCAUUUGUGGCAGCCACAUGAGCUGCAGCUGCAGCUUGAGCCACACUUGCAGCCAUUCUCUGCUCCAUAGCUCAUCUCAGACCCCUCAGAGAACCUGCAAUAAUAAUAUAGUCAAUUUUGUCUCUUAGUUAGAGAGAAAUUAUUAGCACUCCUGAAAAGUCAUUGUGCAAUCUUCGGAAAGUAUUUUUACCUUAUUUUUUGUAUUUAAUUAACCAUGGUUAAGACAAUAGUUGCCUUAUAAAAACUUACAUUUUCACAAGGGCAACUCCGGCAAUGACAGUUUCAGUGGAAGUGGUCUCUGAGUAGCUCAAGUCAGGGUAUAUGCCACACCUACACGUAUAUACAUAUAUAAAGAGAACGUAAUUAUUAGGAAAAAUAACUAAUCAAAGUAAUCAGUUCAUAGUUAAGAAUAUAAUUAGGAAUUAUGGAGAAUGAUGGUCAUAUAUAUAUAUGUAUGUAUGUAUUGGUUAGGGGAAUAGAAGAAUUACUUGCAGCCACUGCCGCACUUGCAGUCACUUCCACAACUACGAUUGCAAGACAUUUUCUUUAAAACUUGGUAUAAGGAUAAGGAGAAGAUUGUUGUAGUUCUGGGAAUUGAAUUCACUCAAAGCCUGGGAUGAGUUUUCUUGUGAGGGUCUCAACUGCUAUUUAUAGUGCAAGUGAAGGCUGAAGCAGUUGAAAUCCACAGUACACGUGGAUCAAUCCUGGAUAUCUAUGCGAAAUAUUAAAGUUUAUAGAGAUUACUUGCCUUCACCAACAAUCCACAAUACGUUAAAUUUUUCUUAAACACUGAGAUUUUAUGUUACUUUCUUUCAUGUGUAUAAAUGUUACAAUUUAAUUAAUAAUCAAACACUAUCUAAACUUAAACUUUUGGUAAAUGAUUAUUUGUUUUAAUGACAUUCGAUUUCUAUAUUAUAUUUAAAGAUGGAAUUAAGUUCAAAUUUGAUAGAGAGUAGUUGUUGAAUCAAACAAGCAAAGCUUAAAAGUUGAUGUUCAAAACAAAAGUACAGUAUCAAUGUUUAAAAUAGAAAGUUAAGGAUCUUAUUUCUUAUCAUUCAUGUGCACCACUCAAAUUCAAUUCCAUCAACUUAUUUUUUUGGGAGGAAUUCUUUCAUUUUAUUGAUAGUAUAUAGUCCGGUCUUUCAAUCAAAAAGUUUCUUUGCAGAAAAAAGGCAAUGGGCAUCCACCAAGUUGUUUCCUUAUAAAAGUGUGUAGGUAAAACCCUUUUGUUAUGAACUAGAUGCAUUGAUUUUAAUUUGGAAAAACUUUAGUAAGUUAGGCUAAGAGUCCCUUUGAAGUUUCAAUUACCAAUUUGAUUUUUAGUUUUUAUAUUUUGUGCUUGAAAUAUAGGAAACUUUGGGGAGGAAGGGGCAAAUGGAGAUGAGUGGUGUGACAUAAGAUAGGAAAUUAAAGAACAAUCAGUGAAACAAAAUUCUGAAAGUGAAAACAACUUAGUCAAUUUUAGUUUUCAUUUUUGUAUUUCUUUUCUUGAAUUCUUAUAUAUUUCUUGAGCGUUAUUUUCCUUCCUCCACUUUUCUAUGUCCCUCCCUUCUUCUAUGCAUUCCCCCUCCAUCAUUAACAAAAAAGAAAAACUAAAGUAAGUUGAAUAUCAGAGUGCAAGACGAACAAGACUACAAAAUAAUAAGAAUAUUAUUGAACAAACGAGAAUGCCAAAACGGCUACAAACCUAAGAAACCCUAACUCGGAUGGGCUAGGCCCAAAUCCUAAACUAACAAGCAAAACUCAAAUACUAAAAUAAACCUAAAUACUAAUAUUGUCCAACACCCCUCGUCAAACUCAUGGCGGUACACGAUAUGGGUUUGCCAAAGUAGAUGUGGAUGCAAAACUCCAAAUUCCAGUGCCAGUGCCCAUGCCAAUAUCAAUGCCAAUGUCAGUGCCAAUUCCAAUACCAAUGUCAAUGCCAAUACCAAUGCUGGUGCCAAUGUCAAUGCCAAUGCACAUUCCAACUUCGGAACAAACAAUCAAAAAAUCCAAUUUACUCUAUCCACAACGUCACUCGAAUGGUCAUCAGUCCAAGCAUUCGAGCGAUCAUCGUAGUGGGAACGACAGACAAACCAAAUAGACCAUAUUUCUUUCUUGCCCGUGUGGGCCUAAAACACAAUUUUUAUUUUCUUCCUUCCUUUUCUCAACCUUUCUUCAAUUCAUGCAAAACCAAUUGCAGCAAACAAGGCUUGCAAAACCAAUUGUAGCAAAAAAAAAAAAAAAAAAAAAAAAAAAAAAACUUCCAGUGCAAAGUCAAACUGCAGAAGGAGACUUCAUAGGAUUGUGACAAAUCCGACUUGAACGAGUUAUGUGCGGAUACGAUGAACGGGUGGAUGUAGCAGCGGAGAUGGUGGUGCGGGUUAGAUUGCAGGUGAUCCAAGCCGGAGACGAACUUGAUCUGAGUUUGUGAUUCUCGGGUCUGGGCUUCGUCAAACAAGCAAGUGACCAGAGACGAAUACGGACGGCGGGGAAGGACCAAAAGGCCGUCAACACAAUUGAAAAAAUUAUCACUUUUUUUCCUUGCAAACUGUCAAACACAACAAGACAAUCUGAACAUGAACGAUAACGGACACAAGCAAACGAAUACCAACCCAAAGCAGAUUAAAUCUCGAAGGAUGAAACCUACUCUGAUACCAAGUUGAAUAUCAGAGUGCAAGAUGAACAAGACUACAAAAUAAUAAGAAUAUUAUUGAACAAACGAGAAUGCCAAAACGGCUACAAAACUUCAAGAGGCUACAUUGUGAAUGACUUGUUUCUCAUACUAAAUUACAAGCAAUAUUUAUAGAGAACUAAACCUAAGAAACCCUAAGUCGGAUGGGUUAUGCCCAAAUCUUAAACUAACAAGCAAAACCCAAAUAUUAAAAUAGACCUAAAUACUAAUACUUUCCAACAAAGUAAACAACUAAAUAAUUAUCAAGGCAACCCUAAGUUGUAGUGAUUAAGUCAACUAACCUAAUCGUUGUAGUGAUUAAGUAAUAAUUGAUAAGAUAUGGCCAAAGAGUGAUAUAAAUAAUCCAGAGAAAUAUCAGUCCUUUAUUCCUGGGAUAGAUCGUGACCAAAACAUACACGAAUAAGUGACAAAGUGGUCAUUAUCUGUGGGCGAAUUUCUAAGAGCAAGAUAAUGUAAUUUUUGUGUGUGGAUAAACUAACAAUUGUCAGCUGUGAAUAAUGCUAAUUGUCCAAACGUUUCUUUUGGUUAAUUGUCCUAAGUUUGGUUCAUGGCAUCUUAUUAAGAAGGGAUGAAGUCUGCUGCUUAACAGACAAAUCAAACGUUCUUGUCUGGGUCCCUAAUUAAUUAGUGUCAAAUAGUUUCUUACAGAAAUAAAAAUUUGGCUCCCUUGGAAUCUAUCCCUCCAUGAUCUCGUAAAGUGUAUAUACUACAGCCUAAAAAGGGCCUCAGGUGUAGUGCAUAUGAUACAAACAACUUCAUCCCCAAAAAGACUAUUACGUCAAACUAAUGUAAUGAGAGAGAGAUAUACACAUGAAUGUAUACACUUGGCCAUGCCUAAGAAUCAGUUGUCAUCAUUUUAGAGGUGUUAACUGGCUGAUGAUCCAGUUGUUAUCAUCUUGAGUUGCACUGUAAAUAAAUACAACAACAACAACAACAACAAAGCCUUUUCCCACUAAGUGGGGUCGGCUAUAUGAAUCCUAGAACGCCAUUGCGCUCGGUUUUGUGUCAUGUCCUCCGUUAGAUCCAAGUACUCUAAGUCUUUUCUUAGAGUCUCUUCCAAAGUUUUCCUAGGUCUUCCUCUACCCCUUCGGCCCUGAACCUCUGUCCCGUAGUCACAUCUUCGAACCGGAGCGUCAUUCGGCCUUCUUUGCACAUGUCCAAAUCACCGGAGCCGAUUUUCUCUCAUCUUUCCUACAAUUUCGGCUACUCCUACUUUACCUCGGAUAUCCUCAUUCCCAAUCUUAUCCUUUCUCGUGUGCCCACACAUCCCACGAAGCAUCCUCAUCUCCGCUACACCCAUUUUGUGUACGUGUUGAUGCUUCACCGCCCAACAUUCUGUGCCAUACAACAUCGCUGGCCUUAUUGCCGUCCUAUAAAAUUUUCCCUUGAGCUUCAGUGGCCUACGACGGUCACACAACACGCCGGAUGCAUUCUCUAACACUUCAUCCAUCCAGCUCGUAUUCUAUGGUUGAGAUCUCCAUCUAAUUCUCCGUUCUCUUGCAAGAUAGAUCCUAGGUAGCGAAAACGGUCGCUUUUUGUGAUCUUCGCUAGAUUGCUCCGGUCAUUAGUGUGGAUAAGUAUAUAAAUGGAUAGAGAUAGGAAAGCAAACACAAGAUGUACGUGGUUCACCCAGAUUGGCUACGUCCACGGAAUAGAAGAGUUCUUAUUAAUUGUGAAGGGUUUACACAAGUACAUAGGUUCAAGCUCUCCUUUAGUGAGUACAAGUGAAUGAUUUAGUACAAAUGACAUUAAGAAAUAUUGUGGGAGAAUGAUCUCGUAAUCACGAAACUUCUAAGUAUCGGAGUGUGGAGUCGUCUUGACUUGCCUUAUCUGUCUCAUAGGUAGAUGUGGCAUCUUCUCUGGAAGUACUCUUCCUCCAUCCAGGGGUGGUAUCUUUAACUGGUGGAGAUGCACAAGGUAAUGUAUCAAUUUCACUUGAAGCUUACUUGUAGUUUCAGGCUUGGUCAAGCGCGAUACAAACCAUGUAGUAGGAGUCCCCCAAGUCGCCGAGCUAGGGGGUCUGCUGAAAGAGGUGACAGACAAGGUAAGCAAUCAGAGCUCCGACUGAUUGUUCACCUUCUCCCCAUCUUGCAGCAGCAUGAAGGAUAAAGAGAAGAAAAAUGAGAAGAGAUGAUAUGAGAUACUUUUGCUUUUGAAGAAGUAACUUUCCACAGGCAGGCUUAUUCUUGAACUGAGCUGGAGGGUUUUCUGGUUUCCUCCAGAGUAUAAGGGCCGACUGAAGAAUUUGAGGGUCAAAACAAGUCCAUCAAAUCUAGAGUACGUUCCACCCUGCUGAUAUGGGAUACUUUUGCUUUUGACAGAGUAAUGGAUGUAUCGGCACGUGUGCUGUUACGCUUGUCUCCACAUGCUUCCUUGUAUCCUUCGCACUUGCCCUAUCUGUUCCUCAAGCAGAUGCGGAAUCUUCCCUGGAAACAUAAGAUGUUGAAGAUGAGUACUCGAGAGCAAUGCCAGGUAAGUAAUCAGGUAAGGGGUUCCAGGCAGUCAGUUCCUGGCUGGAAGCUUGAUUCCAAGUGCUGACUGAUUGCUCUCUUUCUCCUUGUCUUGCAGGUAAAAACAAGGCCAAAGGAAAAGACAGGGAAAAAAGCAUGAUAUGGGAUACUCUUGCUUUUAACCCUGAUGAUAUGAGAUAUUCUUGCUCUAGUAUAGCUUGUUUGCAGAGGUAUUAUCGGGGGGAAAGAAAGCUGAAUAUUUCGAAAGGCUUCGUUGGGAGUGCCCUCUCAGAUAUGAUGAAGGGUUGAGCAUUUUUGCAGGUCUGCCUGUCCGUUGGGGAUGGAGGUCGACAUAUAUAGGAGUCUCCCUAACAAGUAGUAAUGCUAUUCCUUUACCCUGCUUGGUCAUAGCACGGUAGUGGGAGCUGCCAGUUUCACAUGUUUUAACUCUGUCAGAGCACUUUGAAAAAGUGGUCUGUGGUAUCUGGCUCUCGAGAUUCGGAGAACGAUGCCUCUUCGAUUUUUGAGAAAGCAAUCAUGCUGGGGGUCUGGCUCUCGAGAUUCGGAGAGCAGUGUCUCUUCGAUUUUUGAGGAAGUAAUCAUGUUGGGAGUCUGGCUCUCGAGAUUCGGAGGGCGGUGCCUCUUCGAUUUUGGAGCAAGCAAUCUUGUUGGGAGUGUUGUCUCGAAUGUGAGUAAAGGUUGGGCAUGUUUGCUAGUCUACCUUGCCACGAAGCACAAAGGUUGACACACAGGGACUUUCCAAUUAUCCAGCAAUGGUACUGUUCCUUUACCCUCUCUUCGAUUUUGAGAAAGUAGUCAUGUUGGGAGUCUGGCUCUCGAGAUUCGGAGGACGGUGCCUCUUCGAUUUUGGAGCAAGCAAUCUUGUUGGGAGUGUUUUCUCGAAUGUGAGUAAAGGUUGGGCAUGUUUGCUAGUCUACCUUGCCACGAAGCACAGAGGUUGACACACAGGGACUUUCCAAUUAUCCAGCAGUGGUACUGUUCCUUUACCCUUGUGGGUAAUAAUAUGGUAGCUAGACCUUCAAAAUUUAUGUGUCUAAACUUUGUUAGUGUUGUUUCUUUGCUAUUCUUUUACCUUUCUUGGUCAGAGCGAUGUAGUGGGAGCUGCAAGCUUCACGUGCUCAACUUUGGCAGAGAACUUUGGCAAAGUUAUCUGUGGUACCCAUGAGCUAUUGUUGCGUGUGGGAAGUGGGUGAUUGAACAGUAAGAUUCAUGUGCUUUCUACUUCACCAGAAGUCUUCGACAGAAUGCCCAUAAUUUCUGCAAAGCUGAGUGUGCGUGUGACAGGUGCUGACAAGGCUAGAAAAGUAGGUGCCUCUUCGAUUUCUGAGAUCGGCCCUCGUGGUCUCUGAGCAGCCCAGCUUUUGAGAAAGCGAGCGCCUCUUCGAUUGAUUCGAAGAACGAUGCCUCAUCGAUUUUUGAGAAAGCAAUCACGCUGGGGGUCUGGCUCUCGAAGAUUCGGGGAGCAGUGUCUCUCUUCGAUUUUUUAGAAAGUAAUCAUGUUGGGAGUCUGGCUCUCGAGAUUCGGAGGGCGGUGCCUCUUCGAUUUUGGAGCAAGCAAUCUUGUUGGGAGUGUUUUCUCGAAUGUGAGUAAAGGUUGGGCAUGUUUGCUAGUCUACCUUGCCACGAAGCACAGAGGUUGACACACAGGGACUUUCCAAUUAUCCAGCAAUGGUACUGUUCCUUUACCCUCUCUUCGAUUUUUAAGAAAGUAGUCAUGUUGGGAGUCUGGCUCUCGAGAUUCGGAGGACGGUGCCUCUUCGAUUUUGGAGCAAGCAAUCUUAUUGGGAGUGUUUUCUCGAAUGUGAGUAAAGGUUGGGCAUGUUUGCUAGUCUACCUUGCCACGAAGCACAGAGGUUGACACACAGGGACUUUCCAAUUAUCCAGCAGUGGUACUGUUCCUUUACCCUUGUGGGUAAUAAUAUGGUAGCUAGACCUUCAAAAUUUAUGGGUCUAAACUUUGUUAGUGCUGUUUCUUUGCUAUUCUUUUACCCUUCUUGGUCAGAGCGAUGUAGUGGGAGCUGCAAGCUUCACGUGCUCAACUUUAGGCAGAGAACUUUGGCAAAGUUUUCUGUGGUACCCAUGAGCUAUUGUUGCGUGUGGGAAGUGGGUGAUUGAACAGUAAGAUUCAUGUGUUUUCUACUUCCCCAGAAGUCUUCGACAGAAUGCCCAUAAUUUCCGCAAAGCUGAGUGUGCGCGUGUGACAGGUGCUGACAAGGCUGGAAAAGUAGGUGCCUCUUCGAUUUCUGAGAUCGGCCCUCGUGGUCUCUGGGGAGCCCAGCUUUUGAGAAAGCGAGCGCCUCUUCGAUUUCUGAGAUCGGCCUUCGUGGUCUUUUGAGCAGCCCAACUUUUGAGAAAGCAAACGCCUCUUCGAUUUCUGAGAUCAACCCUCGUGAUCUCUAAGCAGCCCAGCUUUUGAGAAAGCAAACGCCUCUUCGAUUUCUGAGCAGGCGCCUCUUCGAUUUCUGAAGCUCCGUCGAGUGCAGAUUUUUAUAGGGGCUGACAUUAAGUUCCAAAGCACACUUGAAUCUCCACCAGUAGAAGCUUCAUUCUUGCACUUCUAAGAUCUUGAUUUGUCCGACCUCUUCUCUCUUCAACACCUUUGAAAAUGUCUGGCCCCUCCGACCGUCGUUUUGACUUGAACCUUGUUGAAGAGGCAGCCCCGCCUUCUCCAGACAACAUAUGGCGCCCAUCCUUCGUCUCCCCUACUGGUCCUCUUACCGUUGGGGAUUCCGUGAUGAAGAAUGAUAUGACCGCUGCGGUGGUGGCCAGGAACCUUCUCACUCCCAAAGAUAACAGACUACUUUCCAAACGGUCUGAUGAGUUAGCUGUUAAGGAUUCGCUGGCUCUCAGUGUUCAGUGUGCAGGUUCUGUGUCUAAUAUGGCCCAACGCCUAUUUGCUCGAACCCGCCAAGUUGAAUCAUUGGCGGCUGAAGUGAUGAGUCUCAAACAGGAGAUUAGAGGGCUCAAGCAUGAGAAUAAACAGUUGCACCGGCUCGCACAUGACUAUGCUACAAACAUGAAGAGGAAGCUUGACCAGAUGAAGGAAACUGAUGGUCAGGUUUUACUUGAUCAUCAGAGAUUUGUGGGUUUGUUCCAAAGGCAUUUAUUGCCUUCGUCUUCUGGGGCUGUACCGCGUAAUGAAGCUCCAAAUGAUCAACCUCUGAUGCCUCCUCCUUCUAGGGUUCUGUCCAGUACUGAGGCUCCAAAUGAUCCCCCUCCGGUGCCUUCUCUUUCUGGGGCUCUACCGACUGCUGAGACUUCUCCUAAGCAACCUUUGUGAAGGCUCCCUCUUGUGUGUUUAUUUUGACUCAUGUAUAUGUACAUAUUUGUAGCUUAUCGGGGAUAUCAAUAAAUAAGCUUUCCUUCAUUUCAACGUAUUGUGUUAAAUACACCAAAGCCUUCUUCGCUAAGUUCUUUGAAUUUUCUUUUGUUGAAGCUUGUAUGUUGAAGCUUUCUGAGUGGAGCAUGUAGGUUGGGGUAGUGUUCCCUUAAUUUUCCCGAGUGAGGAAAACUUCUCGGUUGGAGACUUGGAAAAUCCAAGUCACUGAGUGGGAUCGGCUAUAUGAAUCUUAGAACGCCAUUGUGCUCGAUCCUGUGUCAUGUCCUUCGUUAGAUCCAAGUACUCUAAGUCUUUUCUUAGAGUCUCUUCCAAAGUUUUCCUAGGUCUUCCUCUACCCCUUCGGCCCUGAACCUCUGUCCCAUAGUCGCAUCUUCUAAUCGGAGCGUCAGUAGGCCUUCUUUGCACAUGUCCAAACCACCGUAACCGAUUUUCUCUCAUCUUUCCUUCAAUUUCGGCUACUCCUACUUUACCCCGGAUAUCCUCAUUCCUAAUCUUAUCCUUUCUCGUGUGCCCACACAUCCAACGAAGCAUCCUCAUCUCCGCUACACCCAUUUUGUGUACGUGUUGAUGUUUCACCGCCCAACAUUCUGUGCCAUACAGCAUCGCCGGCCUUAUUGCCGUCCUAUAAAAUUUUCCCUUGAGCUUCAGUGGCAUACGGCGGUCACACAACACGCCGGAUGCACUCUUCCACUUCAUCCAUCCAGCUUGUAUUCUAUGGUUGAGAUCUCCAUCUAAUUCUCCGUUCUUUUGCAAGAUAGAUCCUAGGUAACGAAAACGGUCGCUCUUUGGUAUUUCUUGAUCUCCGAUCCUCACCCCUAACUCGUUUUGGCCUCCAUUUGCACUGAACUUGCACUCCAUAUAUUCUGUCUUUGAUCGGCUUAGGCGAAGACCUUUAGAUUCCAACACUUCUCUCCAAAGGUUAAGCUUUGCAUUUACCCCUUCCUGAGUUUCAUCUAUCAACACUAUAUCGUCUGCGAAAAGCAUACACCAAGGAAUAUCAUCUUGAAUAUGUCCUGUUAACUCAUCCAUUACCAACGCAAAAAGGUAAGGACUUAAGGAUGAGCCUUGAUGUAAUCCUACAGUUAUGGGAAAGCUUUCGGUUUGUCCUUCAUGAGUUCUUACGGCAGUCUUUGCUCCUUCAUACAUAUCCUUUAUAGCUUGGAUAUAUGCUACUCGUACUCCUUUCUUCUCUAAAAUCCUCCAAAGAAUGUCUCUUGGGACCCUAUCAUACGCUUUUUCCAAAUCUAUAAAGACCAUGUGUAAAUCCUUUUUCCCAUCUCUAUAUCUUUCCAUCAAUCUUCGUAAGAGAUAGAUUGCCUCCAUGGUUGAGCGCCCUGGCAUGAACCCGAAUUGGUUGUCCGAAACCCGUGUCUCUUGCCUCAAUCUAUGCUCAAUGACUCUCUCCCAGAGCUUCAUUGUAUGACUCAUUAGCUUAAUACCCCUAUAGUUCAUGCAAUUUUGUACGUCGCCCUUAUUCUUGUAGAUAGGCACCAAAGUGCUCGUUCGCCACUCAUUUGGCAUCUUCUUCGUUUUCAAAAUCCUAUUGAAAAGGUCAGUGAGCCAUGUUAUACCUGUCUCUCCCAAAAGUUUUCCACACUUCGAUUGGUAUAUAUCGUCUGGGCCUAUUGCUUUUUUAUGCUUCAUCUUCUUCAAAGCUACAACCACUUCUUCCUUCCGGAUUCGACGAUAAAAAGAGUAGUUUCUACACUCUUCUGAGUUACUCAACUCCCCUAAAGAAGCACUCAUUUCAUGUCCUUCAUUGAAAAGAUUAUGAAAAUAACCUCUCCAUCUGUCUUUAACCGCGUUCUCUGUAGCAAGAACCUUUCCAUCCUCAUCCUUGAUGCACCUCACUUGGUUUAGGUCCCUUGUCUUCUUUUCCCUUGCUCUAGAUAGUUUAUAGAUAUCCAACUCUCCUUCUUUGGUAUCUAGUCGUUUAUACAUAUCGUCGUAAGCCGCUAACUUAGCUUCUCUGACAGCUUUCUUCGCCUCUUGCUUCGCUUUUCUAUACCUUUCACCAUUUUCAUCGGUCCUCUCCUUGUAUAAGGCUUUACAACAUUCCUUCUUAGCCUUCACCUUUGUUUGUACCUCCUCAUUCCACCACCAAGAUUCCUUUUGGUGUGGGGCAAAGCCCUUGGACUCUCCUAAUACCUCUUUUGCUACUUUUCGGAUACAACUAGCCAUGGAAUCCCACAUUUGGCUAGCUUCCCCCUCUCUAUCCCACACACAUUGGGUGAUUACCUUCUCUUUGAAAAUGACUUGUUUUUCUUCUUUUAGAUUCCACCAUCUAGUCCUUGGGCACUUCCAAGUCUUGUUCUUUUUGUCUUACUCUUUUGAUAUGUACAUCCAUCACCAACAAGCGAUGUUGAUUAGCCACGCUCUCUCCUGGUAUAACUUUGCAAUCCUUACAAGUUAUACGAUCCCCUUUCCUCAUUAGAAGAAAAUCUAUUUGUGUUUUUUUGACGACCCACUCUUGUAGGUGAUCACAUGUUCUUCUCUCUUCUUAAAGAAGGUGUUGGCUAAGAAGAGAUCAUAUGCCAUUGCAAAAUCCAAGAUAGCUUCCCCAUCCUCGUUUCUCUCCCCAAAACCAUGGCCACCAUGAAAACCUCCAUAGUUGUCUGUCUCCCUGCCCACGUGUCCAUUUAAAUCUCCUCCUAUAAAUAACUUCUCCGUCUGAGCAAUUCCUUGCACCAAGUCUCCAAGAUCUUCCCAAAAUUUCUCCUUCGAACUCGUAUCCAACCCUACUUGAGGUGCGUACGCACUAAUCACAUUGAUAAGUUCUUGUCCUAUUACAAUCUUGAUUGCCAUGAUUCUAUCUCCUACCCUCUUGACAUCUACAACAUCUUGUACCAAGGUCUUGUCCACGAUGAUGCCAACACCGUUUCUCGUUCUAUUUGUGCCCGAAUACCAAAGUUUAAACCCUGAGUUUUCUAGAUCCUUUGCCUUACUACCAACCCACUUAGUUUCUUGUAGGCACAUAAUAUUUAUCCUUCUCCUCACCAUAACUUCCACUACUUCCAUAGAUUUUCCCGUUAAGGUUCCUAUAUUCCACGUUCCUAAACGCAUUUUGCUCUCUUGAACUCUACCCUUCUGUCCUAGCUUCUUCACCCUCCCCCGUCUAAUAGGAUCAAAGUACUUCUUUUGUGUGUCCCGGGUAAAGUUGAUAGGAGCAUAUGCUCCCAAACAACUUUGAGUGGAGUCGUUCGAAAAGAAGUUUCUAUGGCCCCCUUGCUCAUUUAACACUGCAUCCGGGUGCCGAUGGAGAUACAGCGACCCUUGCUCACUUAUCACUGUGCUCGGGCCACACAGCGCGCCACUUACGGGUGACGCCCUAGCUUUAGCGUGAUUUUGUUCUGGAUUCAUUUUCAUAAGGAUUCGACGUGAUCAUGGAGUGCCGGCUGUCGACUACCUGACGCCCUCCCCCUCCUCCUUUAUCCGGGCUUGGGACCGGCCAUGUAAGACAUAGGCGGAGUUGCACUGUAAAUAAAUAAAAAUAAAAAACUAGCCUAAGCUCGCUAUCUCGUAAAAAAUAUGAGUUGCUCACAAGUUUUUCAAGAUGAAUAUACUCAUGUUGAAGCUUGAUUUGUUUCUUAAUCGAGCCAAAUUAGUUUUGGCUUGUUUUCUUCUUGCCAAGCUUCAACGAGUCAAACAUGAAUCAAACACGAUUAUGAAUCGAGCGGUUUUGAACCAAUUUGAGACCCUCUGAGAAAAUGGUAAUCAGUGCGCCCUUUCUCUUGUUGGCGUUGUCUCCUGUCUCGAAUCUGAGCAGUCGUGUUGCUCUCCACAAAUAAAAGCAGGGUGAGAGAUUGACUUUAGAUAUGAAGAUAAGUGCACACUGCUCUCAAGACACUAGAGUCGCAAAAUCUUUGUCCAUCUUUUAGGGAUAAAGACACCCCAUUCCUCCAUUUUUUUGUGGGUUUGAUUUACUAUCUUGUAGUUUAAGCCAUCUCCAAUCGAAGACUGGCCAGAGAGCUCGUUUUAGCCCUCUGGCCCUCCAAGAAAUUAAUAUUUUAAUGAACAGUGUAGGGCCAUAUUUCUUACCAUCUCCAAUUGAGGGCCAAAGGGUCAUAUGGCUCGUUUUAGUCCUGUCACAAAAAACCGUCUCCAACCAAGGGUCAAAGGGCCAAAGGGCCAAACAUAAUUUAUUAUUUAAAUUUAAAAACUACAACUACAAAUAUUUAAAAUAAUUUGUGAAAGGAACAUGCUUAUGAAAAGAACUACAACUACAACUACACUUAUUAUAAUUGUCUCACAUCGGCUGUGGGAGAUGUAUGAGCAAGGAAACAUGCUUAUAAAAUGAACACCCCAACUUUGACCAAAUCACCUUUCUCGGCCCAAAAAAUCUAAACCCAUAAUUAAAUAUUUUUAGAAAAUUUUGCCACCCAAAAAAAUUAAAAAAAUUGUAAAAAAUAAUAAUAAAUAUGACGUCAACAUGUGGCCUGGCUAGUUAGCUAGUUUGGGCUAGCCACUUGGCCCUUUGGCCCCUUUUUGUCUAGUGGGACCCACAAGCCCUUUGGCCUGGCCCUUAGUUGGAGACGGUUUUCGGGCUAUUUUUGGCCCUCUGACCCCUCUAGACCCUUCGAUUGGAGAUGACCUUAGUUCCCCUCACAUGUGCUGUGGAGAAAACAGAAAAAGAUAUUGCAACAAGGAGACUCCCUCCAAUUAUUGAUCCACCUUUCAUCGGGUGGGGCAUCAAGGGCUUCUAUCCCCUUAUUGUAGAGCCAGCCAGCUAUAAUUGUGCAAAAUAUUUUUGGUCACCACCUUUAAGUGAUGAUGAUGCUUACCACCUUAUGUAUCACAAUUGGAUGAGUUUAAAUUUUAAGAUCUUUUAUUGGAUAGACUUAAAUCUCAAAAAUUAAACUCAUCUAACGGUGAUAAAUAAUGAUGAUGAGCAAAAAUGCACCUGUAAUUGUGACUUUAAAAAUUAAAGGAUGAUAUUCUCUUGAAAUCUCUUCACUUCAUCCUCACCCGUCCUUUUCUUUGCCAUCUUUUGUUAUCAAAGGUUCUCCAUUUACCCUCUCUUUCCUUUGAAAAUAAGAAGAAGAAAGAAUUCCUCUAAAGUUAUUCUAACUUGCUGAUAUCUUAUGUAACGAAUAUCAAAUAUUAAGGGAAAUAAAAAUUGCAAAUCUUAUUUCUUUUUCUUUUCUUUGCGCACUUGUGUUUAUAUUUAGCUUUUUGAUUGAAUAGAUCGGAAAAAAAAAUCAACAAAUAUAAAAUAAAGAAUAGCGUCCAGAUGCAUAAAAAGAUUGUUUGGAAAUGAUCUCCCAAUAUUAAACUUUAUCAUAUAAAUUUUCGUAUACCGUUACAUGAGCAGUGAGAGAGAGAUUUAAGGAGCCGAAGGCUAGUGGUAGAGUAUGGGACACACACACACAUGUGAAAGACAAGAAGAAAAACAAGAAGUCCAUCAGAUAGCAAAAGCUGAUGGAUAAUGGAUGGGUACCAAUUUCUUACAAGGAUAUACACAGAAAUGACAAGGACAGAUUUAACAGAAGAUAGAAGCCCCAAAAAUCACAGUAAUGGGCUUCAUCUUCAUUUCAUUCCGGGGGUUCCAACACAGAGAGUGCUUGUGAUACAGUUUUUUAGAUUGGGGAAGUUUUCCGGCGUGGCUAUAACACCGUCACGUAGUAUUAACAAUCACGUUGUUCAUUUAUAUAAUAAUACAAGGAUUAGUAACAACAUUGAGAUGCGACAGUCACACUUAAAAAGUUCUUUUGCAUUUUAGUGUCAUGAACUAUUUGCUAUUUUGUGUGUGGAGGAAGCCAGCCCACCACUAACCCGUAAACCCUAAACCCUAACUUGACGCCUCUAACCACCAAAAAGAAAAAUGGGUUUUUUUUAACUUUAAUUUAAGAAGAUUUAAAUUUAAAAUAAACCUGGUGUUAGAUUACAUAUUUAUUAUAAUCCCUUGAUGUGUCCUUAAUUCAAAAUAAUUAAUGUACAUUUUAUUUAAUGUCUCCCAUUAAAUAUUUAAAUUUACUAAUAUACAAAUUUUAAUUUAUUUUUUGAACAAAAAAGAGUUUUUUAAUUUAUUAAUUUUAUUUAACAUUCUUCAAACUUGACAAACUCAAUUAAUGUACCUAAAUGUUAGUACCGAAAUGUAUUAUAUUGAACUAGUGUAUUUAAAUGUUAAUACCGAAAUGUAUGUACCGAAAUGUAUUAAUUAAAUUAUUGUAUCUAAAUGUGUGUACCGAAAUAUAUGCAUCGAAAUGUAUUAUAUUAAAUUAAUGUACCUAAAUGUUUGUAUCGAAAUGUGUGUACAAAAAUGUGUGUACCUAAAUGUAUGUACGGAAAUGUUUUAUAAUGAAUUUAAUGUACCUACAUGAAGAAGACAAAGUACAUCGAAAUAUAUUGUAUAAUAAAAAUUAAUUUAUUUAAAUGUUUAGAACAAAAUAUAUUACGAUAAAUGAAAUGAAAAUGAAAAUCAUAAUGAAAUAAAACUAAUACAUUAAAAAUUAGGAAGAAAAAGAUAAAUAAUUAAAAGAUCAAAAUAUAAUUAAUAAAUGAGGUUAUUAAUGUGUCAAGGGACUAAAAUUAGAUUUUGAUCUUACUUAUGGUUUUAAACUAAAAGUCAUCUUUGCCAAGGAUUAAAAUGAAUAACUGAAAUUUUGUUUUCGGUUACAAUAUAUACAUUGGUAUACAGAAACUGAGCAUAAAGUGAUGUUUCCAAAUUCAAUAAUGAUAUUCUUAUCAUAUUUUUGUACCACAAUUGUAUACAACAUUAGGUGGCAUCUGAUGUGGAUAGCCACAUCAUCUAAAUUAAUUAGCAUUUAAUUUCAAAAUGUUAAUCAAUAAUUAAUGAAAAGAUUGUUAAUUAAAUGAUGAUUGUGGUAUACGAUGAGUCUUCUUCUGACACCUAAGAUAAGUGUUUUAAUUAAUAAAAAGAUUGAAAUUAAAUGAUGUAACUUGUCCAACUCAUCUGCCACCUAAGAUGGUAAAUAAAUGUGGUAAGAAUAACAUUACUCUUCCAAAUUUCUUUUUAGCCUGAAGGUGAAAGCUGAUUGAGAGAGCUUGCAACGAGUAGAAGGGGGAGAGCAGAGAGCACAAAGAGCAGAGCUCUGCAACUGGUUUCGUCGAUGGGCUGGAAAUGAUUGAUGGGCUUGUUUCCGACUAAAUUAUUUCUUCAUAAAUCAUGGCUAGAAUACAUGAAGCCAUGAAACCAAUUGGUCCAAGAACAAUGAGAUAAUUUUGUUUCUACUUUGUACCCAAAAAAAUAAAUGAAAACACUGACACAUGGUGUUACUAUUCGUAAAAAACUUACACAAUGUUCCUCUUUAAUGUAGAAUACAUCUUACACCAUUUAAGUUUGAGGUAAUUUUCAAAACGGGUGUGAAAUGUAGUUAGCCCUAAAACCCUAAAAUGUAUAUCAAGUUUUGACAUGAAUUGAGAAUCAUUUGGUGCAGGUAUGGAUCCUUUUUUUUUUUCAUAUUUCACUUCUAUUUUACGAUCAAGGUAGGUCAAGUCAGCUUUUGGUUUUAGUAUGAUAUGCUAAUUAAAAAACACAGAUACAUGUGUUAUGAUUUAAAUGAAAUUGUAGACAUCGAAAUUUCGGUAAAUAAAUGUUGACCGAUAAAUCAAAGUUUCAACGCUCAUGUAUUACAUAAAUUUUACACGUAGCGUGUGUCUAAACAAAAAAUCGAAAUAAGUUGGAAAAGUCAUCAAACAGGACACGUGUCAACACCUGGCAGAAACGACUUAUUUCAUCUGGAAUAUUAUAUUCAAAAUUAGGCCUUGGAAAUUUCUAUAAAUAGAAGGCUAAUUCAUUCAUUUGGAGGAAUUCAUAUUACACCUUGAAGCUCUGAAGCUCUGAAACUCCGAAGCUCUCAAGCAAAUCCCGAAGGAUCAAGAAAGCCCUUUUCGUUCUUCAUCAAAUCCACCUUCAAGAUCAAGCCCCGACGGCCCUUGAAGAAAGUGUUCUUCGUUCUUCGUUCUUCAUUCAUCAUUCUUCCAAGAUCAAGCCCCGACGGCCCCUUGGAUCAACAAUCAUCCACCUUCAAGAUCAAGCCCCGACGGCCCUUGAAGAAAGUGUUCUUCGUUCAUCGUUCUUCCAAGAUCAAGCCCCAACGGCCCUUUGGAUCAACAAUCAUCCACCAAUUCAAGAUCAAGCCCCGACGGCCCUUGAAGAAAGUGUUCUUCGUUCUUCGUUCAUCGUUCUUCCAAGAUCAAGCCCCGACGGCCCUUGGAUCAACCAUCCACCAAUUCAAGAUCAAGCCUCGACGGCCCUUGAAGAAAGCACCAUCGUUCAUCAUCCGCUCAUCCAAGAUCAAGCCCCAACGGCCCUUUGGAUCAACAACGUCGACAAAUCCACACAUUCAACCGUUCUUCAAGAUUAAGCCCAAAAGCCCUUGAAGAUCCGUUCAUCACUGUUCUUCAAGAUCAAGCCCAAAAGCCCUUAAAGAUCCGUUCGUCACUGUUCUUCAAAGAUCAAGCCCAAAAGCCCCUUUGAAGAUCCGCUCAAAUCCACCUUCAAGAUCAAGUCCACGGCCCUUGAAGAACGUUCAUCCUUAGAUCAAGCCCAACGGCCCUUUGGAUCAAUCACACAUCCACAAAUACACACCUUACGGAGAUCGAAUCAAAAGAUCAAAAUAGAGAGAGAUUGUAACCCAAAAUCAUCAAAAAUACAAAUAUUUGUUUGUGCACGUUGUUCUUGUCGUUUUCGUUUCAGGAAUUUUCCGUGUUCACAGAAAUGAAAACACUACGUGACAAUUUUUUGAUAAGCUGAAAAAUUAAGAGAUACAUAUUUGUUUUCAAUAGCAAGACUUCAAACAGAACUUAAGAGAUAUAUAACUUACAUUUAUAAGCUGCAAACAUAAAUUUCUGUUUACAAAACAUAAGGAAAGUAGCUUGAGAUCUUUGGUUUCAACAAUAUUAAGUACAAAAAACUUCAUCUAAUAGUUCAUCAAACAUCAUUAAUAAAUAGGUUUAUUUAUAGAUCACAUAAUAAAUAGGUUUAUUUAUAGAUUGGCCCCUUAAAAUUGUCUUUUAGUCUCACUUUGUCCUCCAAAACUGCCUAAAUCGAGCUAUUUCACCUUAUGUUCAUCAAUUCUGUCUCACGGACGUUAAAUGGAAGAGCAUUCCGGGUAUUUCAUACCAUGCUAGUAGCGAUGAGGUAUUGUGGUUGACGAAAUAUGAAAUUUCCAGACUACCCUAAACCUCUAAACUGCUAAAUCGCUGCCAGCGUGGAAGUAAAUGAGUGAAAUGGCUCGAUUGUGGCAGUUUCAAGGGUUAAAGUAAGACAAAUCCUGUUUCAAGGGAUAAAGUGAGACCAAAUGACAGUUUUAGGGUCAAUCAAUAAACCUAAUAAAUAUUCUCGAAACUGUUACAGGGUUCAUUAGGAUUUGGAGUUUACCAUCUAAGCAAACUUAUUGAAGUUCUAUUCAUGAUCUUAAUAUUACAUUAAUCCAAAUUUGAGACUUUGAUUAAUAUUAAUCUAAUGUCGAGCUGCAUGAUAGAAAUUCCGAGCAAUUAAUGAAAUGUAGUGGAAGUUGGAAGCAGAGGUAUUAUCUAGAGAAAUGUAGUUAUUACAAGAAAAGAAAAGGUUGGCAGUAAUACAGGAUAAACGACUGGUGCCAUCUUCAACACUUACCACAAAUUUUGAUUGAAAUUCUACAAACUCCAUCUAUUAGACCAAUCAUCGUCGAAAUUAUAUCCGCUUACAAACAUCAAUAGCUAAAAGCUAAAGAAUAAGAAGGCACGUGUUGGGCCAGGUACGUAGGAAACUGGAACAUCCAUGAGAGGAGCAAGGAGCCCUACUAUGAAGACGGUGAAGAAAAAUCCCAUGGCAUAAACAAAGAUGCGAAGCCAUAAAACGUGAUACACUGUCAGUGCAACACCAGCCAGGAAUGACGAGGACAUCAUGGUAAGCGUUACGCCUAGCACCUUUAAGGUAAAUCUCAUGGCAGCAUAGAUUAUAUUAGGGUCAUGCGUUUGUGCCCACAUAAGGGGAAUUGAAGCAGUAAUGGAGCCGCACAUCGCCACGGUAUUGCAUAUCAAGAAAAAUUUGAAUAGGCUAUGCGUAAGAAAAAU
rnacentral:lncRNA from 1 species